GGCCACCACCUCCGCCGCUGGUUCCGACGCCGAUCACCUCUUCCGGUGCCGAUCUUUUUUUUUUUUUUUCUCUUUCUCCCUCUCCCCAUCUUCCUCCCCUGCCAUCCUCCCCCUUUGCCCGAUUUUGAUCCUCUCUCUUUUUUUUUUCUCCCUCUCCCUCUCCCUUACUCCUCCCCCACCAUCCUUCCCCUUUCCCUUCUCCUCUGGCUGGUCGCCAGACUAGAUCGCACCUAGGGAGGGUGAGGGUAGCGGGGGAAGAGGAGUAGAGGGGGAGAAGGAAGGAGUAGAGGGGGAGAAGGAAAAUUGCAAAAAAAAAAAAAAAUUUUCAGGUGCCAGUAGAUUGAGCAGAGGCGGGCGAGGGAAGGGGGAUGGGGAGAGGGGAGGAGAGGGGUGGAGGAGGAGAAAAGGGUGGCGGGAAGGAAAUGGGUGGUGGGGGAGGUAGAGGGGAGGAAAUGGGUGGCGGGGGAAGGAAGGGGAAGGGGAGAGGGAGAAGAGGGGUGAUGGGGGAGGGAGAGGGAGGAGUGGCGGGCAGGAGAGGGGGAGAAAAAAAAGUUGCAGAAAAACCCAAAGCUGCAUUGGCAGUGAUCUGAAGAGGGAAUAGGGGAGGGGGAAGGGGAAGGGAGAAGAAGCGGGAAGGGAGGAAGGAAAAGAAAAAAGAAAGAAAGAAAGAAAGAAAAAAAGAAAAAAGAAAAAGAAAGAAAGAAGGAAAAGAAAAAGGAAAAAAAGUUUUUCAUCACACAAAAAAUUUUUCUACAACUUCUAAAAAAAGUUUUUUCAUCUUACAAAGUUUUUCUACAAUUUCUACAGUGAUCUACAGUAAAAUUUUAUAUAAACACCUAAAAAAUUCACCUUCCAAACAGGCCCAAUUCAUGUGAUUGUGCGAGUAACUUUGUUACACACGUAAUUUUUUUUUUUUUUUUGCACACUGAUUGAAUGUACAAGUAUAACUUGGUCCAUAAGUGUAGAAGUAUAACUAGUUAAAGUUUAUUAAAUUAUAUGUAACAAACUAUUAAGAUUAUAAAUAUGUAUCUCUAUUUUCGUGAAUAUACUCUAUAGGUUUAGUACUUUCUUGAACUAGUAUUAAAUUCUAAUUUUCAUUGCGAAUUUAACAUGUUGAAAUUACAACUAUUAAUGGCUAAUUAAUCAUAAUCAUAAAGAUAAAAAUGCUAAAUAACUUGCUCAAAAUAUUAGUAUCAAAUAAUCAAGUAAAACAUCAUAACUAAUUAUAGAAAGUUCAUUCAUAAUUUCAGGCAUAAAUUAUAGAAAUAUAUAAUAAACACAAAAUCAAAACUUGUAUAAUAACUAAACUUGGAAUCAAUUAAAAAAAAUAAAGAGUUGGGAAGGAAGAAAAAUCUUUGUCACAUGAGCUGCUUCAUUGCCAUUUUCGUCUUUCAACUUCAUCCUUAUUUAGUUAAUACACAAGAGAAGAUGAACUAACUAAAUUUAAAUUAUCCUACACUAACCUAAAGUAAAGAACUAAGAAACUAAUUAAGUUCUACAUUUAGUAGUGUUAUUCUUAAACUGCCCAAGUUCUCUUGAUUCUUGCUUAGAUGUGUUUCUGUAGAGAGAAAAUUGGUCCAAAAAGGGCAUUUUAGAGCUUCAAUUCUUCAACUAAAAGAUCUGCAAUUCCUUCCUCAAAAAUGUGAAAUUAUGGAGCAAAUUGUACAAGUUGAACCGCACUUUCGGAUGACAAUUCGGCUGUACAGUGCUGAACUAGAUUGAUGCUCUGUUCUUCUCUCGAAAAGCUGCCUGCCAUGCAUUAGUGAGCCUCCACUACGGAUCCAGAGACGGAUUCUUAUUUCUCUCUUUUCUUUGUGUGCAUUGCAUUUCUUCUAUUUUUACUUGGAAACUGCUUUAAAUCAUUAAGAAUCAUCCAAAAAUUUUCUUAUUUCAUUCCAAUUGAUGAUUGAGUCAUUAAAACAUACGAAAAUAUGAAGUUUUCACACUUAAGUUCAUAGAAAUGCAAUUUUUCUUACUUCACCACAAAAUACAAAAUCAACUAGAAAUCUAGUUAUUUAGUUCUUAUAAUGGCUAAAACAUAUCCAAAAUCAAGUAAUAAAAUACAUUAAAAAUAUGAAAAAUAAAUUCUUAUCACUACUCACUUAAAGGAAUCACAUACAAGACGAUUCUAGGCCAAAAAAAGAAUAUUAGCAUUUCAAUUUAUUUUAUCCAAUAAAUUUAAAAAAUAUUUAAUGGUAAAAAUAAGAUAUUUUAAGUUGAGCAUCCAAAUAAUCUUAUGGGGGUCUUUCCUUAUAAACUAUGUAAAAAGGCAUUUCUAUCAAUUCAAAUAUUUAAAUGAUCAACUUCAUGGGUUGGAAUAAAAUAAGGGGUAAAAUGAGAAGAAAUAAACAUUUAGGGAUAAACUGCAACUUUGACCAAACCUUAAGCAGAUUUUUUGUCAUUAACCCUUAAUGGAAGGCCAAUAAUUUACCAACAAUACAAAAUUCAAAUUGUAAAAUUUGUACUUGAAUAUAACAUCUGUGACAGCCCCACCUCACUCUAAGGCAAAUUAAAGGGUUCGGCAGACCGCCUGCCUAGCUCUCGCCGGGACUCAGUCAUACCUCCAUCAAAACCAGAAUAAAACUACAAGAAUCACGACGAAAUGGAAGGGCCGCCGCCAUGUAGGAUCCAACCAAGUACAAGUACACUUUGUUUGCCAUGAAAGAAUGUACAUUCCCGAAUAUAUAUAUAUAUAUAUAUCACAUAAACAUGAGGAAACAUUAUAAAUAUACAUAUUAAUAAGUUUACAAAUCCAAAAGGAAACAUUGUAUUAAGAUACAUUUAGGGUUUCCAAUUUGUCGAGGAGCUAUACCAAGAGAACAAAAAAAUUUCUAACUAGCUCAACUCAUUUCUCUAAACAUUGCAGUUCUAAAAGAUGGAUCCCUGUAAGGAAAACAAGGAUAACAGAACGGGGUGAGCUAAAAGCUCAAUGAGGUACCAACAGUAUAAACAGUAGAAUCAGUAGAAUUCAUGAGAAAGCACUUUGGAGGCAAAUAUUCACAUCAAAUACGAGAAAUGAAUGAACAUCACAAUGUAAAGGAUACAGGUGGCUCUCAGGAGCCGCAUCCCCAUUGCUAUACUUGAUCCAGCCUCAUUGACCAUCCAUCAAUGUUCGAAUAAAGAAACUAGUCCAGUAGAACACCACUUAAAAGCCAAAAUCCCGUUCACCAAACAUACCUAUUACCGGGUCCGAACGCCAAACAGAAACAUGAAUGGUAAUACUCGAGUAUACCGGAAUCAAGAGUCUCAAUACCCAAAGAUUCCCCAAGAACAGGUACCCAUGGAUUGUCAAUUAUCUUGACCAAGCCCUUGCUGACUCGAUUUAAUUAACUCCCCAUGAGGUUGAGCUCAAGUUUAACAUGACGAUCAAGUUUAACAGGACGAUCGUUGGACACACUUCCAAACGAUCGCAUAACAAGUACAAGUAACAAGUUCAAGUACAUAGCAAGUACGAGUAAUAGAUUCCAAUUCGUUCAGUACAGGCAAGAGAACGAGUGUGAUAAAGUAUACUCUCGUCUCAUACAAGAUAAACAGUCAGGAAAUAUAUUCAAAUAGCAAGUUGCAAGUACAGAAAAUCAGUUUAGCAAUAACUCAGGGGAGUGGUGCACUCACCUGAUCAAACAAGGAUAAUUUCAAAAGUUUUCUUCCCAAGUAUGGCUUUACUCGCCGGCACCUCCUAGAACAAUCAAGGCAAACAUUUAAGACUGGACUCCAAGACCUAAUAAGUGGAAUUCACAAGUAAAACUCGAUUACAAGUCAGGUGCCUAUCCAAAUGAACCAUUAAUGUAAAGCGAAGAGGUGACUUUGGAGUGAAAAGAUAACGAUUAGUCCUAAAGGCAUUAACAAUCUCAAAACCCCUAUCUACAAUGACUGACCAACUCCAAAUUUGAAAUAGAAAAUGAAAGUAAGAUCGAUACUAGGAAAAUAGGAUUUUUCAGUUUCAUGCAACCCUAUAUGAAAAAUCAUAUCUCAAGUUUUAUAGGUCCAAAAUUAGUAAAAGUUAUACCGUUGGAAAAUAAAUUCAAAGGGCUAUAACUUUCCAGAGAACACCCUCAUAAGAUUCAGAAUGCAAGUCAGUCAUAUUCAAGCCUCAAGUUGCUGCUUUAUUCAGUGAAAGACAGAACAGGUACAAUAUUUCAGUCAACUUUGAAAAUCACCAUAAAUGGUACAAACAUAAACAGGGUCUGAAAUUUACAUGGUUUAUAACCCUAUGAAUUUAGUUUAAAACACAACAAACGGAACUCAAUUCCGACAUUCCUACAUCAAGAUAUAGCAAAUUUCCGGAGACUGUGCAGAAGUUCCACGAAAAUUUUGACAGCAUUUCCCUUGUCUUUCCUUACUUUCCAACCAAACCUCAACACCCACAAAUCACAAGCUAUCAAACACCUUUAAUUAGAGCCACAACAAGGCUCGAAUACGAGUCAUAAACCGAAUCCACAUAUCACUAGAGUAAAAUCAUAUGGAACGUAUAAGUGCAAAAUCAAACUAGGACAUAUGCGGAAACGAAGUUUGGGUUGGAAAACAAAAGGCAGAUUUGCUGUUGCUUAGCGGAAUUAACACAACUGAAGCUAUCCUCAUCGGAUUGAGGUGUAAUUUACACCAUUUUGAAGCUAAGAGAAAUGGCUACAAUGUUGAAGAAGGCCACUCAGUCCAGUUUGCAAUGUAUCUAAGUCAAAUUUACCAAAACAACCCCAGGUUUUCCAAUUCAAAGUUUACUGUGGCAGUCCUGAUUCAUUCAGUCAUAUCUCAGCAUAUACAACUUCAAUUCAAGUGAUUCUAAAGCUAUUUGAAAGCUAAGAUACAAGGCUAUAAGUCUUACGAAAACACCAACAACCAAAUCAGUAGUAUUCCUGACCAAACUAACCAAUUACAGAAGCGGAUUAGCAGGUUCGGACAUAAACAGGGUAGCAGGGGUAUUUCAGUCUUUUCACAAGCUACGUUGCUCCGAUUGAGCUGAAAUUUUGCAGGCAACUAUAAAAUAUCAUUUUCUACAACUUUCAUGUUUUAACCCAAGGCUAAUUCAGCCUCUAACUAGGGGAAACAGUACCGGGCAGAAGGGGAAAAAAUGAAAACCCUAAUCUGGAAAUUUCGGUUCAAAGCGAAAAUUUUCCGCAAAUAGCUACAAUUUACGCAUCCAAGUUUCAUUCUAAACCAUUCCAAGCCAUCAUCCAUAGCUCAACAACAUUAAACAUAUAAAAAUAGAAAAAUCAUGAAUAAAUAGAAAAAUUCACCUAUUUCAACCAAAAAUCACAAAAUAGCACCUAAAAUUAUCUCUUUAACUCACAUAAGGUACCAAUUAGACAUUAUUAGGAUCAAAAGGAAGGUUCCUUGGUCACAUACCUUGCAAAUCCAAGAAAAGACCCAAUUUAACACCUUGGUCUUCCAAACCACUUCGCAACCAACCUUAAUACCACUAAACUAAGAGGUUUUAUGGAGUAAUUUGAAGAUUAAACGGUUGAAUUGAAAGAUUGGGCAAGAUUAGAGGUAAGAAAGUGGAGAAGUUUUUCUUCCUUUUUGCUUGAAGAUGGCUGGCCAAGAAGAUGAAGAAAAUGAGAAAUUUUUGGUCAAUUUUUGUUUUAAUUGGUAAAGUAAUGAAUAGUGGUCAAAAUUUAAAAAUAAAUCACAAGGUGACACUUGUAGGGAUGGCAACGGGGCGGGGUUGGGGCGGGGGACCCCUCCCCCGUCCCCCGCCCCGUUGCCUAUUAGUUCCCCCCGUCCCCCGCCUCUCGCUUGCCCAGCACCGCUUCCCCCGCGGGUGCCCCCGCGGGGUUAAUAAAAUUUUAUUAUAAUUAAAUUUUAAUAAAUAAUCAAGUACUAAAAUAUCAACGCAUCACCAAAUUAUUAUUCAUUGUAAUUUUACAAUUGAAACUCAUAAAAACAAUCAAAAAGAAGUUAUUUGAAUACAAUCCAAUAUGAUGAAAUAAAUAUAACUAAAAUAGUCAAGUUUUCAUUUUUAGUACAAAUGCAAUCACUAAUUCAUUAUUGUGUUUGUGUUUUUUUUUGAGAAAAAAGUGUUAUUCUAUUAAGUGUAAUUAGAAAUUUAGUAUAAAUGUAUUAGUAAAUUUAGUAUAACUAAUUAAUAAAUUUUAUUAGUAGACAUGUAUAAUUAUUCAUAUAAUUGAUAAUAUCAAUUAUAUUACAUAAACUACUAUACAUUAUAUAAUACAUCUAACUAAUAAUAUCAUUAUCAUAAGUUUAUAACUAAUUAACUUACAUACUAUAUAUAAUUAUAUAUAUAAUUAUAUUAUUUUUUUGAGGGUGCCCCGUUUCUAAGCGGGGGGAAUCCCCCGCUCCACCCCCCGCCCCAACCCCCGCCCCGAGAGCCCCCCGCGGGGCGGGUGCCCCCCAUUGCCAUCCCUAGACACUUGUCAGCCUCAUAAAUGCUAAGCUAUUCUUUUGUUUCCUCAACACUCAUCCAAAUGAUAUUUUCUAAUUAUCUCUUAACACCUAAUAAAUUAAACCCUGUAUACAAAACUUAACCUAAUUGGCCGAAUAUUACUGAACUUUUCGCACUAGCGGGUCCCACGCCCGGUAUACGCUCCAAAAAUCUCAUGAACUCAAUUAUACUAGAAAAAUGUUUUAAAAAUCCUAUUUACUCAUAAAACGAGUUAGAAAAUUUUCUAAUAAAGAAAUCACAGAAAAACAUGCGAUUAAAUAAAACAAAACCCUAGAAAAUACGAAAAUUUACGGGUUCUCACACUCUCUCCCCCUUAAAAGAAUUUCGUUCUCGAAAUUCCUUAUCAUCGUCUUUUUCGGGAUACAAAAAUUUUACUAUUUCCAUCUCACAAUCAAAUUGAGUAUCAUACUUAGCUAACCAAUCUGUACCCCUUCACUAACUAGGCUUAUUGAAUUCUUUUGUAUAGUUUCUUCUUCCUUGCCAAAUUGCAAUUCUUAUACACCAUUCUAGUGGGCAAACGGUGGGAUACUAGAAUCUUACCUUCCAUGUCCUUAAAUGGGUCAGAGACUUGAUGUUGUUCUAAGGAGUACACCCGAACUGACACUUUCGAUCCAUUCUUUUCCGUCUUCGACUGGUCAGGAUUGGUGGUGGUUGGCUGUUGGCUGUUGGCUCCUACUCCCUUUUCGAGAUCGGCUUGGGCAAUUUGCGAUUUGAUGAUCUGCGCUCCCACAACGCAGACAUUUCCUUCCUUGCUUUCAGCAGACAUCUUCCAUAUGAUUCGGGUUCCCACAGUACCCGCAGGGACCACGAGAAGCGGAGACUGAGCCUCUCUGUGAAGCACUACUUGACAUUCUAGGUAAUUGUACUCCCCCAUUUCCCCUUCCAAUCUUAGGAGGCGUACCCUUAUCCCCUUACUCUGAGAUACUUCCAGGAAAUCCCCUUUUCUUAGUUUGAAAGUUUCUAACUUGAAAUCUUGCGCUUUCAACUCGUUGAGCUUUUUCUAUCGCAUCACUAAAGGUAUUGAAUUGGGCUAUAGCCAGGUCUUUCUGGAUCUCAACGUUUAAUUCUUGGACAAAACGCCUUAUCCUCCUUUGCUCAGUCACUAUUAGUUCGGGAGCGAACUUGGACAAUCUGGUGAACUGGCUCUCAUAUUCGGCGACGGUUUGAGUUCCCUGGCUGAGCCUAAUAAACUCAUCUUCUUUCUUUUCCUGGAUCAGGGGUGGAAAAUACUUCGUGUUGAACUCUCUCAUGAAAUUCACCCACGUCCUUGGGGUUUGUUCUCUUUUUCAUUUCAGUCUUAUGAUGUUCCACCAAGAACGGGCUGCUCCCUCUAGUUGGAAGACAACAAAUGUGACCUGUCGCUCCUCAGUAUAAUGUAACGCGGCAAAUAUAUCAAUUAUCUUCUUUAGCCAUCUCUCGGCCACGUCAGGGUCUGGUCCCCCCAGGAAUUUAGGUGGCGAGAACUUUUGAAAUCUUUCGAGGGCUCUAUCCUCACCCUCAAUGUGAUUACCAGGGUUUCCUGGCUGAUAUUAGGAUUUUGACCCUGAUGUUCUAUUACGUGUGCCAAAAGGUCAGUCAUACGUUGGAUAGCGGCAGCUACCUGAACGUUAGGGUCCACUCCAAGUUCGGGAUUAGGUUCAGGCAUUGGUUCCCGAUUUCCUCUUUCAUUUGAGGUUCCGCGCUCCCGUCCCUAUCCACUACAAGUACCGUCCAUUUGGUUUAACCAGUCUAGGGGUGAAGCGCGAAUAUAAUAUUAAAACAAAGUAUGCAGGUAUAAGUGAUAGAUGUAGGCAAUAUACAUAUAACACAUCUAACACAGACAGAUCACACAAUAGCAAUCAAUUAAAUACAAGCAAAAGGAAGCAUCAUGAAUAUUACUAACUAAAUCAAUGGUACAAGACCAACCAACUCAAAGUUGUCCCUCUUUAGGGUUCCGGGCACGAUCCACCAGAAUAACCUAAUUUAUAUCUUAGGCAGGGUCAAUCAUCCUUAGUUUUACGCUAACACAUUACAUGAUGUCCCGUAGAAGCAAAUUCUAGUUCGCCCAAGUCACUUCUAACCUAGGCUCUCAUCUAUUUAGUAGUCGGGUACAAGAAUCCCAAAAUAAGAUAAUUCACAACUUGGGCUGGCCAGUCCCAAGGCUAAUUCAUCUACAAUUGAGAUUCUUACCUGACCUACAUAUCUACUAUCCCAAAGUGCCAUGAUAAAGAUUUAUAACUUAUAACGCUUCAUGAUCCAUAGCUUAAGCUCAAAGAGCACUCAUACAUUGGUACACAUUCAUGGAAUCGGGACCAUAACACCACUUGGCCCAAACUCACUCCGCGCAGAGACCACGCGAAGUGGCUUUGAUACCACCUGUGACAGUCCCACCUCACUCUAAGGUGAACCAAAAGGUUCGGCGGACCGCCUGCCCAGCUCUCGCCGGGACUCAGUCAUACCUCCAUCAAAACCGAAAUAAAACUACAAGAAUCACGACGAAAUGGAAGGGCCGCCGCCAUGUAGGAUCCAACCAAGUACAAGUACACUUUGUUUGCCAUGAAAGAAUGUACAUUCCCGAAUAUAUAUAUAUCACAUAAAUAUGAGGAAACAUUUUAAAUAUACAUAUUAGUAAGUUUACAAAUCCAAAAGGAAACAUUGUAUUAAGAUAUAUUUAGGAUUUCCAAGUUGUCGAGGAGCUAUACCAAGAGAACAGAAGAAUUUCUAACUAGCUCAACUCAUUUCUCAAAACAUUGCAGUUCCAAAAGAUGAUUCCUUGUAAGGAAAACAAGGAUAACAGAAUGGGGUGAGCUAAAAGCUCAAUGAGAUACCAACAGUAUAAACAGUAGAAUCAGUAGAAUUCAUGAGAAAGCACUUUGAAGGCACAUAUUCACAUCAAAUGCGAGAAAUGAAUGAACACCAUAAUGUAAAGGAUACAAGUGGCUCUCAGGAGCCAAAUCCCCAUUGCUAUACUUGAUCCAGCCUCGUUGACCCUCCGUCAAUGUUCGAAUAAAGAAACCAGUCCAGUAGAACACCAUUUUAACGCCAAAACUCCGUUCACCAAACAUACCCCUUAUCGGGCUCGAACGCCAAACAGGAACAGGAAUGGUAAUACUCGAGUAUACCGGAAUCAAGAGUCUCAAUACCCAAAGAUUCCCCAAGAACAGGUACCCAUGGAUUGUCAAUUAUCUUGACCAAGCCCUUGCUGAUUCGAUUUAAUUAACUCCCCAUGAGGUUGAGCUCAAGUUUAACAUGACGAUCAAGUUUAACAGGACGAUCGUUGGACACACUUCCAAACGAUCGCAUAACAAGUACAAGUAACAAGUUCAAGUACAUAGCAAGUACGAGUAAUAGAUUCCAAUUCGUUCAGUACAGGCAAGAGAACGAGUGUGAUAAAGUAUACCCUCGUCUCAUACAAGAUAAACAGUCAGGAAAUAUAUUCAAAUAGCAAGUUGCAAGUACAGAAAAUCAGUUUAGCAAUAACUCAGGGGAGUGGUGCACUCACCUGAUCAAACAAGGAUAAUUUCAAAAGUUUUCUUCCCAAGUAUGGCUUUACUCGCCGGCACCUCCUAGAACAAUCAAGGCAAACACUUAAGACUGGACUCCAAGACCUAAUAAGUGGAAUUCACAAGUAAAACUCGAUUACAAGUCAGGUGCCUAUCCAAAUGAACCAUUAAUGUAAAGCGAAGAGGUGACUUUGGAGUGAAAAGAUAACGAUUAGUCCUAAAGGCAUUAACAAUCUCAAAACCCCUACCUACAAUGACUGACCAACUCCAAAUUUGAAAUAGAAAAUGAAAGUAAGAUCGAUACUAGGAAAAUAGGAUUUUUCAGUUUCAUGCAACCCUAUAUGAAAAAUCAUAUCUCAAGUUUUAUAGGUCCAAAAUUAGUAAAAGUUAUACCGUUGGAAAAUAAAUUCAAAGGGCUAUAACUUUCCAGAGAACACCCUCAUAAGAUUCAGAAUGCAAGUCAGUCAUAUUCAAGCCUCAAGUUGCUGCUUUAUUCAGUGAAAGACAGAACAGGUACAAUAUUUCAGUCAACUUUGAAAAUCACCAUAAAUGGUACAAACAUAAACAGGGUCUGAAAUUUACAUGGUUUAUAACCCUAUGAAUUUAGUUUAAAACACAACAAACGGAACUCAAUUCCGACAUUCCUACAUCAAGAUAUAGCAAAUUUCCGGAGACUGUGCAGAAGUUCCACGAAAAUUUUGACAGCAUUUCCCUUGUCUUUCCUUACUUUCCAACCAAACCUCAACACCCACAAAUCACAAGCUAUCAAACACCUUUAAUUAGAGCCACAACAAGGCUCGAAUACGAGUCAUAAACCGAAUCCACAUAUCACUAGAGUAAAAUCAUAUGGAACGUAUAAGUGCAAAAUCAAACUAGGACAUAUGCGGAAACGAAGUUUGGGUUGGAAAACAAAAGGCAGAUUUGCUGUUGCUUAGCGGAAUUAACACAACUGAAGCUAUCCUCAUCGGAUUGAGGUGUAAUUUACACCAUUUUGAAGCUAAGAGAAAUGGCUACAAUGUUGAAGAAGGCCACUCAGUCCAGUUUGCAAUGUAUCUAAGUCAAAUUUACCAAAACAACCCCAGGUUUUCCAAUUCAAAGUUUACUGUGGCAGUCCUGAUUCAUUCAGUCAUAUCUCAGCAUAUACAACUUCAAUUCAAGUGAUUCUAAAGCUAUUUGAAAGCUAAGAUACAAGGCUAUAAGUCUUACGAAAACACCAACAACCAAAUCAGUAGUAUUCCUGACCAAACUAACCAAUUACAGAAGCGGAUUAGCAGGUUCGGACAUAAACAGGGUAGCAGGGGUAUUUCAGUCUUUUCACAAGCUACGUUGCUCCGAUUGAGCUGAAAUUUUGCAGGCAACUAUAAAAUAUCAUUUUCUACAACUUUCAUGUUUUAACCCAAGGCUAAUUCAGCCUCUAACUAGGGGAAACAGUACCGGGCAGAAGGGGAAAAAAUGAAAACCCUAAUCUGGAAAUUUCGGUUCAAAGCGAAAAUUUUCCGCAAAUAGCUACAAUUUACGCAUCCAAGUUUCAUUCUAAACCAUUCCAAGCCAUCAUCCAUAGCUCAACAACAUUAAACAUAUAAAAAUAGAAAAAUCAUGAAUAAAUAGAAAAAUUCACCUAUUUCAACCAAAAAUCACAAAAUAGCACCUAAAAUUAUCUCUUUAACUCACAUAAGGUACCAAUUAGACAUUAUUAGGAUCAAAAGGAAGGUUCCUUGGUCACAUACCUUGCAAAUCCAAGAAAAGACCCAAUUUAACACCUUGGUCUUCCAAACCACUUCGCAACCAACCUUAAUACCACUAAACUAAGAGGUUUUAUGGAGUAAUUUGAAGAUUAAACGGUUGAAUUGAAAGAUUGGGCAAGAUUAGAGGUAAGAAAGUGGAGAAGUUUUUCUUCCUUUUUGCUUGAAGAUGGCUGGCCAAGAAGAUGAAGAAAAUGAGAAAUUUUUGGUCAAUUUUUGUUUUAAUUGGUAAAGUAAUGAAUAGUGGUCAAAAUUUAAAAAUAAAUCACAAGGUGACACUUGUAGGGAUGGCAACGGGGCGGGGUUGGGGCGGGGGACCCCUCCCCCGUCCCCCGCCCCGUUGCCUAUUAGUUCCCCCCGUCCCCCGCCUCUCGCUUGCCCAGCACCGCUUCCCCCGCGGGUGCCCCCGCGGGGUUAAUAAAAUUUUAUUAUAAUUAAAUUUUAAUAAAUAAUCAAGUACUAAAAUAUCAACGCAUCACCAAAUUAUUAUUCAUUGUAAUUUUACAAUUGAAACUCAUAAAAACAAUCAAAAAGAAGUUAUUUGAAUACAAUCCAAUAUGAUGAAAUAAAUAUAACUAAAAUAGUCAAGUUUUCAUUUUUAGUACAAAUGCAAUCACUAAUUCAUUAUUGUGUUUGUGUUUUUUUUUGAGAAAAAAGUGUUAUUCUAUUAAGUGUAAUUAGAAAUUUAGUAUAAAUGUAUUAGUAAAUUUAGUAUAACUAAUUAAUAAAUUUUAUUAGUAGACAUGUAUAAUUAUUCAUAUAAUUGAUAAUAUCAAUUAUAUUACAUAAACUACUAUACAUUAUAUAAUACAUCUAACUAAUAAUAUCAUUAUCAUAAGUUUAUAACUAAUUAACUUACAUACUAUAUAUAAUUAUAUAUAUAAUUAUAUUAUUUUUUUGAGGGUGCCCCGUUUCUAAGCGGGGGGAAUCCCCCGCUCCACCCCCCGCCCCAACCCCCGCCCCGAGAGCCCCCCGCGGGGCGGGUGCCCCCCAUUGCCAUCCCUAGACACUUGUCAGCCUCAUAAAUGCUAAGCUAUUCUUUUGUUUCCUCAACACUCAUCCAAAUGAUAUUUUCUAAUUAUCUCUUAACACCUAAUAAAUUAAACCCUGUAUACAAAACUUAACCUAAUUGGCCGAAUAUUACUGAACUUUUCGCACUAGCGGGUCCCACGCCCGGUAUACGCUCCAAAAAUCUCAUGAACUCAAUUAUACUAGAAAAAUGUUUUAAAAAUCCUAUUUACUCAUAAAACGAGUUAGAAAAUUUUCUAAUAAAGAAAUCACAGAAAAACAUGCGAUUAAAUAAAACAAAACCCUAGAAAAUACGAAAAUUUACGGGUUCUCACACUCUCUCCCCCUUAAAAGAAUUUCGUUCUCGAAAUUCCUUAUCAUCGUCUUUUUCGGGAUACAAAAAUUUUACUAUUUCCAUCUCACAAUCAAAUUGAGUAUCAUACUUAGCUAACCAAUCUGUACCCCUUCACUAACUAGGCUUAUUGAAUUCUUUUGUAUAGUUUCUUCUUCCUUGCCAAAUUGCAAUUCUUAUACACCAUUCUAGUGGGCAAACGGUGGGAUACUAGAAUCUUACCUUCCAUGUCCUUAAAUGGGUCAGAGACUUGAUGUUGUUCUAAGGAGUACACCCGAACUGACACUUUCGAUCCAUUCUUUUCCGUCUUCGACUGGUCAGGAUUGGUGGUGGUUGGCUGUUGGCUGUUGGCUCCUACUCCCUUUUCGAGAUCGGCUUGGGCAAUUUGCGAUUUGAUGAUCUGCGCUCCCACAACGCAGACAUUUCCUUCCUUGCUUUCAGCAGACAUCUUCCAUAUGAUUCGGGUUCCCACAGUACCCGCAGGGACCACGAGAAGCGGAGACUGAGCCUCUCUGUGAAGCACUACUUGACAUUCUAGGUAAUUGUACUCCCCCAUUUCCCCUUCCAAUCUUAGGAGGCGUACCCUUAUCCCCUUACUCUGAGAUACUUCCAGGAAAUCCCCUUUUCUUAGUUUGAAAGUUUCUAACUUGAAAUCUUGCGCUUUCAACUCGUUGAGCUUUUUCUAUCGCAUCACUAAAGGUAUUGAAUUGGGCUAUAGCCAGGUCUUUCUGGAUCUCAACGUUUAAUUCUUGGACAAAACGCCUUAUCCUCCUUUGCUCAGUCACUAUUAGUUCGGGAGCGAACUUGGACAAUCUGGUGAACUGGCUCUCAUAUUCGGCGACGGUUUGAGUUCCCUGGCUGAGCCUAAUAAACUCAUCUUCUUUCUUUUCCUGGAUCAGGGGUGGAAAAUACUUCGUGUUGAACUCUCUCAUGAAAUUCACCCACGUCCUUGGGGUUUGUUCUCUUUUUCAUUUCAGUCUUAUGAUGUUCCACCAAGAACGGGCUGCUCCCUCUAGUUGGAAGACAACAAAUGUGACCUGUCGCUCCUCAGUAUAAUGUAACGCGGCAAAUAUAUCAAUUAUCUUCUUUAGCCAUCUCUCGGCCACGUCAGGGUCUGGUCCCCCCAGGAAUUUAGGUGGCGAGAACUUUUGAAAUCUUUCGAGGGCUCUAUCCUCACCCUCAAUGUGAUUACCAGGGUUUCCUGGCUGAUAUUAGGAUUUUGACCCUGAUGUUCUAUUACGUGUGCCAAAAGGUCAGUCAUACGUUGGAUAGCGGCAGCUACCUGAACGUUAGGGUCCACUCCAAGUUCGGGAUUAGGUUCAGGCAUUGGUUCCCGAUUUCCUCUUUCAUUUGAGGUUCCGCGCUCCCGUCCCUAUCCACUACAAGUACCGUCCAUUUGGUUUAACCAGUCUAGGGGUGAAGCGCGAAUAUAAUAUUAAAACAAAGUAUGCAGGUAUAAGUGAUAGAUGUAGGCAAUAUACAUAUAACACAUCUAACACAGACAGAUCACACAAUAGCAAUCAAUUAAAUACAAGCAAAAGGAAGCAUCAUGAAUAUUACUAACUAAAUCAAUGGUACAAGACCAACCAACUCAAAGUUGUCCCUCUUUAGGGUUCCGGGCACGAUCCACCAGAAUAACCUAAUUUAUAUCUUAGGCAGGGUCAAUCAUCCUUAGUUUUACGCUAACACAUUACAUGAUGUCCCGUAGAAGCAAAUUCUAGUUCGCCCAAGUCACUUCUAACCUAGGCUCUCAUCUAUUUAGUAGUCGGGUACAAGAAUCCCAAAAUAAGAUAAUUCACAACUUGGGCUGGCCAGUCCCAAGGCUAAUUCAUCUACAAUUGAGAUUCUUACCUGACCUACAUAUCUACUAUCCCAAAGUGCCAUGAUAAAGAUUUAUAACUUAUAACGCUUCAUGAUCCAUAGCUUAAGCUCAAAGAGCACUCAUACAUUGGUACACAUUCAUGGAAUCGGGACCAUAACACCACUUGGCCCAAACUCACUCCGCGCAGAGACCACGCGAAGUGGCUUUGAUACCACCUGUGACAGUCCCACCUCACUCUAAGGUGAACCAAAAGGUUCGGCGGACCGCCUGCCCAGCUCUCGCCGGGACUCAGUCAUACCUCCAUCAAAACCGAAAUAAAACUACAAGAAUCACGACGAAAUGGAAGGGCCGCCGCCAUGUAGGAUCCAACCAAGUACAAGUACACUUUGUUUGCCAUGAAAGAAUGUACAUUCCCGAAUAUAUAUAUAUCACAUAAAUAUGAGGAAACAUUUUAAAUAUACAUAUUAGUAAGUUUACAAAUCCAAAAGGAAACAUUGUAUUAAGAUAUAUUUAGGAUUUCCAAGUUGUCGAGGAGCUAUACCAAGAGAACAGAAGAAUUUCUAACUAGCUCAACUCAUUUCUCAAAACAUUGCAGUUCCAAAAGAUGAUUCCUUGUAAGGAAAACAAGGAUAACAGAAUGGGGUGAGCUAAAAGCUCAAUGAGAUACCAACAGUAUAAACAGUAGAAUCAGUAGAAUUCAUGAGAAAGCACUUUGAAGGCACAUAUUCACAUCAAAUGCGAGAAAUGAAUGAACACCAUAAUGUAAAGGAUACAAGUGGCUCUCAGGAGCCAAAUCCCCAUUGCUAUACUUGAUCCAGCCUCGUUGACCCUCCGUCAAUGUUCGAAUAAAGAAACCAGUCCAGUAGAACACCAUUUUAACGCCAAAACUCCGUUCACCAAACAUACCCCUUAUCGGGCUCGAACGCCAAACAGGAACAGGAAUGGUAAUACUCGAGUAUACCGGAAUCAAGAGUCUCAAUACCCAAAGAUUCCCCAAGAACAGGUACCCAUGGAUUGUCAAUUAUCUUGACCAAGCCCUUGCUGAUUCGAUUUAAUUAACUCCCCAUGAGGUUGAGCUCAAGUUUAACAUGACGAUCAAGUUUAACAGGACGAUCGUUGGACACACUUCCAAACGAUCGCAUAACAAGUACAAGUAACAAGUUCAAGUACAUAGCAAGUACGAGUAAUAGAUUCCAAUUCGUUCAGUACAGGCAAGAGAACGAGUGUGAUAAAGUAUACCCUCGUCUCAUACAAGAUAAACAGUCAGGAAAUAUAUUCAAAUAGCAAGUUGCAAGUACAGAAAAUCAGUUUAGCAAUAACUCAGGGGAGUGGUGCACUCACCUGAUCAAACAAGGAUAAUUUCAAAAGUUUUCUUCCCAAGUAUGGCUUUACUCGCCGGCACCUCCUAGAACAAUCAAGGCAAACACUUAAGACUGGACUCCAAGACCUAAUAAGUGGAAUUCACAAGUAAAACUCGAUUACAAGUCAGGUGCCUAUCCAAAUGAACCAUUAAUGUAAAGCGAAGAGGUGACUUUGGAGUGAAAAGAUAACGAUUAGUCCUAAAGGCAUUAACAAUCUCAAAACCCCUACCUACAAUGACUGACCAACUCCAAAUUUGAAAUAGAAAAUGAAAGUAAGAUCGAUACUAGGAAAAUAGGAUUUUUCAGUUUCAUGCAACCCUAUAUGAAAAAUCAUAUCUCAAGUUUUAUAGGUCCAAAAUUAGUAAAAGUUAUACCGUUGGAAAAUAAAUUCAAAGGGCUAUAACUUUCCAGAGAACACCCUCAUAAGAUUCAGAAUGCAAGUCAGUCAUAUUCAAGCCUCAAGUUGCUGCUUUAUUCAGUGAAAGACAGAACAGGUACAAUAUUUCAGUCAACUUUGAAAAUCACCAUAAAUGGUACAAACAUAAACAGGGUCUGAAAUUUACAUGGUUUAUAACCCUAUGAAUUUAGUUUAAAACACAACAAACGGAACUCAAUUCCGACAUUCCUACAUCAAGAUAUAGCAAAUUUCCGGAGACUGUGCAGAAGUUCCACGAAAAUUUUGACAGCAUUUCCCUUGUCUUUCCUUACUUUCCAACCAAACCUCAACACCCACAAAUCACAAGCUAUCAAACACCUUUAAUUAGAGCCACAACAAGGCUCGAAUACGAGUCAUAAACCGAAUCCACAUAUCACUAGAGUAAAAUCAUAUGGAACGUAUAAGUGCAAAAUCAAACUAGGACAUAUGCGGAAACGAAGUUUGGGUUGGAAAACAAAAGGCAGAUUUGCUGUUGCUUAGCGGAAUUAACACAACUGAAGCUAUCCUCAUCGGAUUGAGGUGUAAUUUACACCAUUUUGAAGCUAAGAGAAAUGGCUACAAUGUUGAAGAAGGCCACUCAGUCCAGUUUGCAAUGUAUCUAAGUCAAAUUUACCAAAACAACCCCAGGUUUUCCAAUUCAAAGUUUACUGUGGCAGUCCUGAUUCAUUCAGUCAUAUCUCAGCAUAUACAACUUCAAUUCAAGUGAUUCUAAAGCUAUUUGAAAGCUAAGAUACAAGGCUAUAAGUCUUACGAAAACACCAACAACCAAAUCAGUAGUAUUCCUGACCAAACUAACCAAUUACAGAAGCGGAUUAGCAGGUUCGGACAUAAACAGGGUAGCAGGGGUAUUUCAGUCUUUUCACAAGCUACGUUGCUCCGAUUGAGCUGAAAUUUUGCAGGCAACUAUAAAAUAUCAUUUUCUACAACUUUCAUGUUUUAACCCAAGGCUAAUUCAGCCUCUAACUAGGGGAAACAGUACCGGGCAGAAGGGGAAAAAAUGAAAACCCUAAUCUGGAAAUUUCGGUUCAAAGCGAAAAUUUUCCGCAAAUAGCUACAAUUUACGCAUCCAAGUUUCAUUCUAAACCAUUCCAAGCCAUCAUCCAUAGCUCAACAACAUUAAACAUAUAAAAAUAGAAAAAUCAUGAAUAAAUAGAAAAAUUCACCUAUUUCAACCAAAAAUCACAAAAUAGCACCUAAAAUUAUCUCUUUAACUCACAUAAGGUACCAAUUAGACAUUAUUAGGAUCAAAAGGAAGGUUCCUUGGUCACAUACCUUGCAAAUCCAAGAAAAGACCCAAUUUAACACCUUGGUCUUCCAAACCACUUCGCAACCAACCUUAAUACCACUAAACUAAGAGGUUUUAUGGAGUAAUUUGAAGAUUAAACGGUUGAAUUGAAAGAUUGGGCAAGAUUGGAGGUAAGAAAGUGGAGAGAUUUUUCUUCCCUUUUGCUUGAAGAUGGCUGGCCAAGAAGAUGAAGAAAAUGAGAAAUUUUUGGUCAAUUUUUGCUUUAAUUGGUAAAGUAAUGAAUAGUGGUCAAAAUUCAAGAAUAAAUCACAAGGUGACACUUGUCACCCUCAUAAAUGCUAAGCUAUCCUUUUGUUUCCUCAACACUCAUCCAAAUGAUAUCCUCUAAUUAUCUCUUAGCACCUAGUAAAUUAAACCCUGUAUACAAAAUUUAACCUAAUUGGCCGAAUAUUACCGAACUUUCCGCACUAGCGGGUCCCACGCCCGGUAUACGCUCCAAAAAUCUCAUGAACUCAAUUAUAAUAGAAAAAUAUUUUAAAAAUCCUAUUUACGCAUAAAACGAGUUAGAAAAUUUUCUAAUAAAGAAAUUACAGAAAAACGUGCGAUUAAAUAAAACAAAACCCUAGAAAAUACGAAAAUUUACGGGUUCUCACAACAUCUCUUUUACAAAGUUGUACAAAGUGUAGGGCAAAUUAUAAGAAUUAAUUUUCUAUAUAUAGAUCCAUGAUAAUUAAUCAGAAUUCGAAUUUGAAAUUUAAAUUAUGCACAUUUAUCAUGCAUCUAACUGUGAUAGCCCGUGGAUACAUUGAUAAUGUAUAUAAAAUUAAUUCAAAUUAUAUCGGGUUCAAAAAAAAGAGCUAUGUCAUCGACCAACGAUUUCAUUGACCAUUGUUAUUGACUUACUGCCCCUCUCCCAUUACCGAAGCACUGCAUGCGUCUGGGUUGAUGCUUUGGAGGCCUAAACGGCUGACGCGAUCAUAGAAAUAAUAAUAGACUCAAAAUUGCAGCUAAUAAUGCAGGGUUUGAGACUUGACAGGAGGAGAGGGAAGGGUUCUUUUACUACAAAAGGCAUCGUUUCACGAUGCAGACAUUUAGAAAUGAUCGAUUACUUUCAAUCCAUAUCAACUUUCAAAUCAAAUUGGGCAUCUUAUCAAGUUUAUGCCCCAAACGAAAAUUGCCAAGCAGACUCGGGAUAAGCAUUCAACAUGAAAGAUUAAGAUUCGCCAGGGAAUCCCGCACUUUGGCAUGCAUUUGUCAUCCCGCAGAAUUAGAUUCUCGCCAGUGAGGAAUCUCAAAAACAGGAAAAGCUUAGUGACUGAGAUAAUCAAGUAGUCCAGUAAGGUUAAGCAAAAGAGUAGCAGUAAUCUCGGGAAAAUAAGACGCCUGCAAGAACAUUCAUCAGCUUACAAAAAGUGGGAUAAUCAAGUAGUCUAGUUAAUUUCUCUUUCAUUUGGUUCGACUUCUUCAUGUUACCAAGUUCAAAGCAGAGAUAGUCAUCCGAUAUAGCAAUUGUAGUGCAUAACUUCACAAUUUUUAGUUUGCCUGUCAAAUAGAUAGGUGAACCAUAAAUAAAACUGCACAGUUGUAAUUUUAUCAAUUGUUUCUAUUCUCUGAUGCACCUAAAAUGUCAUAUGUCUUCAUGUUAAGGGCCGAAAAGCGUAGAUCACACAGCACUGGUGAGGCUAGAAUCCCCUAGCACUCGGAAGACUAAAGGUGUUGGGAUUUGGGAACAUCUGCAAUUCAUCAUGAACUCCUACAUGGAAGGCCUCUAUAUAUUGAGUGACUACAGGAAACAGACGGGCAAAUCGUGCUACAUAUAAGGUGCAGUUAGUCACAAGUCUGGCGAAAUCUAGGACCGUGACGGGACACCGAAUAGGAAAAUAAUCAGUGGACUCUUGAUCUCCUAGAUGAAUUUUCUUGCACUUCGUUGCCAAUUGCCAUAUCUGUUUCCGUUUUAUAUAUUUUCUAAUACAGGUUUAUACAGUGUUUUCCAUAUUAGUAUGCGUAGUUGGCUAUUUUAUUAUCUUCCUUUGACGAUACUAAGAAUAAUAUAGUGUAAAAUGAGAGUAACUGGUCCCUCUAGUAUAGCUUUGAUUAGCAGCAGGUUCUGAUAAAAAAGCAGAAGUCACAAUGUUUACUGUUUACCUCCACAAAAAAUUGACGUAGCACAACCAAAAUGAUACUUGCCCAUGAUCAGCUCAUGUUCAGCUUGAUAGUUCACUCAUUCAAGUUCACGAAUCCUGUUAAAUGUUAAACUAGCAACCAACUGCCCUAUUCCCUUCCCCAUCUCUUACUUCCCCCCCUCUAGCUCUAAAAAAAUGUACUUCAAAAAAAAAUUAAAGCUACUAGGAUCGUUACUAAAAGUGUUGAACAUAUCCAUUUGAAAGUAAUGCAUUUGAAAUUUACUAUUGAGUGAAAAACUUCAUGUGGAAUCGUGUGCCUACUUAACUACAAGUCCCUAAAAUGUGGAAAUUCACGACAGUGUAAUAUUAAUAGGUAGGCAUGUGAGCUGAUCAUCGCUGCACAAGACUUUAAGCCACCUUCAUUUGCACAGAUCACCGCAAAAACAUAAGGUCAAAUCUGCAAAUGAAAUAGCUUCAAGCGAACAUGAUCCAAUUUUCAGCUUGGAUGAGAAAUGGAGGGAGAAACACCAAAAUUAUUGGCUCGUGUUCAAAAGCACACUCAAUGGAGGAUCAGAAAGUAGAUUGAUUCCCAUCGAUAGGUAACAUAAAUCUAGAAGAAGGACACUUUUGGAUUCCCUGUGUUUGAUAUGAAAUUAUUUUGGAUUCAAUCUACCAAAAUUAUUCGCUCAUGUUCAAACACAGGCUUUAUGACAUCUUCUACUGUGACUUGCUGACAUUGUACUUUUGCUCAUUCAGUAGACAUGAAGGAACACCAAGAAUUUGUAUUGCCAUCUAAAUAACAACCGAAGCUUCAAGUUCAAGAGUCGCCAUUCAGUUGAUAUAUAGGCAAAGGGCAAGUAGACUGUCUUCUAUCUGUUCCGAUUGAAUUUUAUCCAAAAUAAAAUUAUCCAAAGUACUUAGGCUCCCCCUUCAAACUCUAGGGUCGUCCAAUGUGUUUUGAUUGCUUUUAGGGAUAGUUUCGGAAACCAACUUUGAGAUUUCUAACACUCUCACUCGCGUCCCCUAAGAUUUCUAAAAUUACUCUAACCUCGCCUAAGCUCAAUGUUUUGGUAAGAAAUUCAGCCUAUGUCAGAAAAAGUGGCUUUAAAAAAGUGUUUUGAGUAGUAAGAUGAUAAUUUUAUAAAAAAGUGCUUUUCAUGAAGUUGUAUUUCUAAAAGAAAGGAAUGUUAUCUAUAACAGGAUGUGAGGUAAUGUUGGGUGUCUGAAUUGAUAUUUGUUGUUUAAUUAUAUAUUAAUAGCACCUCAAAUAAUUAAAUAGUAAAUAUAAAUUAUUGGAUGAUUACAAAUAAAAUCAGAUAAAAAAGAGUAUAAAAUUGAAAAUACAAUUUCAUGGUAUGCCAUCACAUAAUACAAUCCUUUUAUAAUUAUAAUCACAUAAAGUGUAAUUUUAGUUAAAAUUAGGUACUAUCAAUAGUUAGAAUAAUGUAUACUACAUUGUCUAUAAUAUUUCAGAUGAGUGCAAAGAGAAUUGCCUGAGAUAUACGCUAGCAUAUUCAAUGCUGGAGCAUCAAUUUGAUAAUAUCAAUUGGUUAUACAUAGUUGCAUAUGUUCAGGCGAUUAAACCAAUGAAUCACUACGAGUGUACAAUUGAUAUUAUAUCCAUGAAAGUAAGUUAAUCUGAAAACUUUUUGUGAAUAAUGCUACAAAAAAUUCAAAAUUAUGAGACUAAAAUCUUAAUCAAAUAGAAAAAGGUUCGUGUAUUUAUAUUGAGGUUCUUGCAACAACUUAGAAUGAGAAAUGGUUCAUGAAUAAAUUUCAUCUUCAUUAUCUAUUAGAAUUCAAAGAAUUUAAGUAGCAGUCAAAUCCUUUAAACUCAAUGUCAAAAGUUGCACAAAAUAUGCAUUUUGUAGAUGAAAAUUGGAUACUAGUACUAUAUUUGUUCCUUAUGCUGCUGACAAUUAUAAAUGGUUUUUGAUUGUUAAAUACUUCUCUUUUUAAUGCAUUCUCUCUUACUUAUUAAAAUAUUUAUCUUAAUGAAGAAUCCUCCCUUUUCAUGUCAAAUUUGAACUUUUUCCUUGGUAGAAAAACACUUAUAUUACAACUUGCUAUGACGCCUGUACAAUAAUUUGUUCUAUAUUGUGAUCAAUAUAGAAAUUUUUAUUGUCAUCUUUUGAAUGUCUAAUUUCCUUGUAUCUGGGAUUUGAGCAUCAAAGAAAGAAGUGUUUCGCAAUUUUGGGUAGCAUUCUAGAAGAUGAGGAUAGAAUUAGUAUCACAAACAAAAUUAUGUUCAAGUUUAAUUAGUUACUCCAUCUUUUUACCUUCAUCUUUUAAUCUAGUUUAAUUAGUUACUCUCAAAUUUGUUGACCUAAUGCUAUUUUGUCCCUAAAUUCAUUUGUUAACAACCUUAAUGGCUCAAGGUAUACAAGUAAAUUUACCGUAUUUUAGGUAAGUAAUGAGCCCCAACACACUGUCAGGGGAGAUCAAUGUAACUUUAGAAACAUCAGGGGAGUUUUCUGAAAUUAUCCCUUGUUUUUAUAUCCAAAAGACUUUGUAGAUACAUGCAUCAAAGACAAAGCAACGCAAAAGUAGAACAUUAUAGUAUCUUGUUUUCCUGACGAGUUCAAUAUGAAUCUAAUGCAGUAAUCUCUGUAUUUUCUUUAUCAUGAUGAGUAUCCAAAGACAUUAUCCAGCAUUUUCUCCUAUUUUGACAAAAUUUUGGUUGUACAAUGACUGCAAAAGCAGGCUGUAUCCCUGCACGGUGGACUGACUCGGAUAUGGCUAGUAAAAAGGAAGACCUAACAGGGACACAUGGAUACUUAACUGAUUUUGCCUCAAUGCUUACUUGCUUAUUCCCAAGACAAUAAUGUUAGACGGAUCCCAGAGAAAUCUGGGGUCUUAUUAGUUAAUUCAUGGCACUAAAACAGUUACAGGGGCAGUGAAUGCCGAUGGGUAGGUGCUUUGGAGGCUUAAAUGGCUCACAAGGACAUAGAAAUUUCAUAUAUUCAAAAUCAGAAGUAAUCAUGCAUAGCAUGAGACUAUACAGAAACAGGAGAGGGAAGCGUUCUUUACUACAAAGGCAUCGUUCCAUGGUACAGACGUUCAGAAAUGAUGGAUAACAGUUGAUCCGUAUUUUCUUUCAAGUCAAAAGGGAACGGUAUCUUAUCAAGUCUAUGCCCUACAGAUCGAAAAUUGCCAAGGAGACUCGAGAUAAGCGUUAAACGUGAAAGCUUUUGAUUCGACAGGGAAGAUAAGGAUCCUGCACUUUGGCAGAAUUAGAUUCUCAACCGUAAGAAAUGACAAGUUUAAUAACUGAUAUUGCCAACUGACAGUAUGUUUGAUAAUAUAAAAAAGUGUUGAAUCUGAACUUUUUCAGACAUUCAGAUAUUUUAAGUGUUUGAUAAAUGAAAAUCUAUUUGUUGAAUUUGUUAAGCAGUGCUGAACUUGUGUGUAUUUUUUUCAGCAUAAGAAUCCUAACUGAAUACUUAAUUCUGAUAAGAAUCAAUAGAAUUACUUCAACUAUCUUAUCUUAUCUAUCAAAUCUACCCUGAUUUAUUAAUUAUAUUCAAAAUUCUUAUCUAAUUAAAUAAUAUAAUAUUCUCUAUCUAAUGAUUUUCUAUUUCUCUUUUCUUUCUUUUUAAUGACUUUUACAUCUUCUCCAUACUCCUCAUAUAAUAUAUUUUAUCUUUUAUAUUAAUUUGAUUUAAAAAUAAAUAUUGUUAUUUUCAUACCUAAAAAUUUUAAACUAAUUAAAUCAUAGGUUCUAUUUCUUUUUUGGAUGAAAAGAUAUAAAGGCAAAAUUGUUAAAUUUAACUUAUUAAGUAUUCAGUUAUGAAUGUUUAUCAAACAGUAUAAAUAGAUUCAGCAUUAAAAUUCAGGCAUUCAUAUAUUUCUUUUCAGUGCUUAAAAUUCAGUAAAUUAAUUAUUUCAAUAUUCAGAUUUCAGAAUUCAGACUUCAGAAUUCAGAUUCAGCUUUAUCAAACGGAACCUGAGAUUAGUAAUUGGCAUUACUUGAUUACUUCCAUCAUCCGAGUAAAAAGGGCAGAGAAAGACACCUCUACUAAGUACUAACUGAUAUUAAUUCAAAGACAUGAAAAGUCUUUUUGGAAUUCAUAUACUAGCUAGACAAUUAAUGUUCUACUAUAAAUGAUUUCCAAGGAGGCCUGUUAGACAUGGACUACCCUCAAGUAUAUUUUAUGGUUAAGUUUGAUAGAAUGGAUAACAAGUGCUUAAUUAUUGCAUUUAUUCUUUGUUGAGAGUAAGAGCUGGCGAGCUGCCUCUCAAGCGGCUAAUCAAUUCAUUAUUUUCCCCACGUAUUAGCUCAAAAUUCACCCCUUGAUUCGUCCUUUUCAACGUCUCUUUCCUCCUCUAUCAUGAUAGUAGCAUUAUCUUUUCUUUUUUUUUUUUUCGGUUUUCCCAAAAAAAAAAAAAAUGAAGAAAGAGAAGAACAUAGUGCUUGAUGCCUUUCCUGAUGCACAAUGACUUUUCAAUCAAAUACAUAUUCAUAAUGAGAUUCCCACCAUCCCACAAAGGGCAUAUAGGGCAUUUAAGUGCAAAAAAGAGUGCCUAUAAAUACAAGGAGUCUGUCUUGUUGUUUCAUGUGCUAAACUCAGAGCUACCAAGCUUCGACAGUCGCAACCAAUUACAAAAUCUAUUGCCAGUCUUGCUCGCGUCCUAGCUCCUUAAGGAAAAAAUGGCCGCCGUCGUUGCCAACCCCCACAUCAACAUUUCUGAAAUCACAGCCAACAGUAAUAUUCUAUACAUAUUCUUUAAAAAUUCACGCAUUAGAUUUAUAGUUCGAUUGCAUUGCAUGUUUAUAUUCUUUUUAAAUAAAAGAGUGGUUUUUAUGCUGUUUGGAUUAAAACGGGCUUUGCUCCUUGAUGGAAAUCAGUGAAAGCGGAGGGAGUCCAGUCCCCUGAGAUAGAAGCUAUAGUGAAGGCACUUUCAGACGACACGAUAUGGAAUACAAUCGAGGGAUUCAAGGGCAAGGACAUGAGCACUCAGGAGAAAAUGAUUGUAUGACUAGUUAGACCUAUUUUUUCCUUCGAGUUUUGCAUGUGGUUUUGGGAAUUAUAUUACUAAACUACACCAAAUAAUUGCCCUUCAAUUUAUUCAUAGGUUUUAUAUCUAUUAUGACUGGUAUUUAUUUUGAAUGCUUACAAUUAAAAUCGCCCAUGCAUAUCGGUUUUUAAUUCAUUCUUUAGGAGAAGGCAAUUUGUUUCACAAUAUCGAUUCUGUAAAUUCUUAAUUUUCACACAUUUGAGUACGUACUGAAAAAGUACCACGUAAACUUUGCAUUUUGCAUUGACUAGUUUUGACAAAUCAAAAAAGAAUUUCAUAUACAGUAGCGAUAGUGCUAAAUUCUUUAUUUGAAUACAAAAAAGAAUGAAUAAGGAAGUAGAAUGAAUUUUGAGGCCAUAAAUAACUUACAAAAAAACUUGUUUGGAAUGAAUUUUAAGUCGAACGAAUUUUGUACAUUCUUCAAUUGCUUAUGCAAUUUAUUAUUAUAUUAUUAUUAUUUUUUGUAUUUCUAGUUUCUUUCACGUAAUGUAGUUUCAUAUUAAUUGAUUAAAUUUAGUUUUCUGGUUGUUUGUUUGAAAAGGAUUCCAAUUAAUUUUAUAAACUCAAUCCUUUUUGUAACUAAAAAAGAAAUGUUUGGGGUUUACACUGUACAGAACAACAUGGUGGCCGGUGGUCACCUGCCUCAAGUCGGUGUUCCUCUUCCAACGCCAGUGAACCCAACUGACCCUCACGUGAUCUCGGUCGCAAAAUUUGCAGUGGCAAAGUACAACGACAAGCAUGGGACAAAACUGGUUUUCAACCGCGUGAAUGGCGGCCUGCAGUGGAAAAUUGUUAUUGGCACUCUCUAUAUCCUUGUCCUUGCAACUCAGGAUUCUAAGGGCACGUAUACCGAUUAUGCAGUGGUUUUUGAGACCUUUUUGGGUCAGAAGUACCUCUUCUGGUAUAAGCAUUAAUCAAGCUUCACUGCCACUCUUCAGCUGAGGAUGACUUAUGUACUCUAUUAAGUACUUUUAAUUAUAUGGUGUCUAUGGUGUGGUUUGAGUAUGUGUAUGGACGUUUAAAACUAUGGAUGUAUUGCUGACAAGCAUACGUCUCCCCCACGGCUGUACUACUAUGUUAAAGGGUGCACUUGUACCAGCAAAAAUGCACCAUAUUCAAUAAAUAAAAACAGCCAUCUAUGUUUGAGUUUGUAUACAUGUGAGUAUCUUGUUCCUCCAUUAAUUGCAUGCAGGUUACAAUCUCUGUCUUUUGCACGUCGAAACGUACCAUGCUCAUGAUUACUUUUAAAGUCUUCUAAGUAAAUGUUACUUACAGUGAAUCCAAACCAGAAAACAAAAUGAAAGGUUGACUUAUAUAUCUUCUACAUCCUAGAACCAUUCUUUUUGUCACCAUCCUAUCAUGUGCUAAUUAAGCUUAAAAUUGAUAGAUAUGAGCAAAUAAUGGUCCGUUAUCUUUAAGAUGUGACAACAAAAUUGAUAGUUCUAAGUACCAUUGGAUUAUAAUACUUAUUUCCUAAUUUUUAUUUGACUUUCAAUGGAGUAGAGAUUUUGAGAGUCAACACAAAUCGUUCAAGCAAUCAAGAAGAAAACAAAAUGCUAUGGUUAAUAUUAAGGAAAAGUAUAUGUCGGAAUUCAUUCACCUUUCAGUUUUUCAACUGUGAAUACUGAAUAGCGACUAAUAACUCUUGAAGUCAAACGCAUGCGCAACUCAUUUAUAGAUGUUGGCGAUACUAGUAAUGAUGGUAGUAUGAGUUCAGUUGUAUACACAGACAAAUUGAUUGUAUAAUAAAGAGGGUAGAAGCGUAAUAUUGGCCCUCAACAUUUAGUUCCUGUACAAAAAUAUGAUGGAAUUAAACUAAGUUAUUCUAUUGGUUUAUUUCCUAAUGCUUUUAGUUUCUUGUUUUGGUGUCCUGUUUAUUUAGUUUCCGUAUCAGUUAGAAAUCUCACAUCAGUUUCCAAAUAAGUUUCGAUUUACAAUUGUAUUUAUUUAGAAAGUUUUGAAGUCUAUACAUACUAAUAGUCUAGUACAUUUUUACCUAAAGAGUUGAGUUGUGUCAAGUUGUGAGAUAUAGCAAAAGGCUCUAGUUGAGAGUUGUGAGUUGUUGUAAACGAAAAACUAUGAUUUGAUAUUCUUAUUGUUGGGUUUUGAGUUGAUAAAAUUAUUGAGUAUUUGUUUGUAUGUCUCCUCCUCUUCCGACAUAUUAUUAUGUGUCGAAAUUGCUUCUGGCCGUGUGUGUGUUUUUUAUUCUGGGGCUUGUUCGUGAAACUAAAAUAUAAAUCUAUGUUGUUUACAACAUUGUGCAAUUUUUAUCUUUGAUAGUAAAAAUGAAUUUGAGGUUUGGAGUUGGAUGAUGAAGAUUUUUUUCUUCAAGCUAUUGGAAUUUAGCAUAUUGUCCAGAUAGGAUUCACGGAACCGCAGAAGGGAUGGAAUUAUUAAGUAGUGUAGUUAAAAAAUUAGAGAGAAAUAAACAGUUGGAUCACAAAGCAUUCCAUUAUCUCACUACAUAAGUCCAGUUGCAUGUAGUUAAAAAAUUCAUACAUACAAAGAUGAAAAGUGAGGCUUGAAAAUUUUUGAUGAAUUCUUGUUGUGGUUAUGGUAGAGAAGAAAUUUGUGACAAUAAAGAAGAACAAGAAUUAUUUUGAAUAGGUAGGGAAAGAAGAAGUUGCAAAAAUUUUAAGUGCAUAUAGAGAUUAAAAAUUUUGUGACUAAAAAGGAAAUUUCGCAAGCGGUUGAGAAAGAAAGUGAAAUCAUUUGUUAGAUCAAAGAUGUGCUUGAAAAUUAUGGCAAUGAAGAAAUUCUUAAUUUUGUCGGUGUUGAUGAAUUAUUUGAAAAAGAAUAUCAAACAUUGGAAUUGGUUGAGAUCAAUUAUGGACUGCAUGAUUUAGUUGAAAAUUGUGAUAGGGCUAAAAUUGGUGUCAUUGUCAACGUGAACCAAACAAAGUAAGAUUGUGGUGGUGUUGAAAAUUUUGUUGGUGAAAUUCUUGAUUUCGUGGUGUUGGGAGAUUUUCUUGGUGAUAUAAAGGAAUCAAAUUAUGGAGUAUGCAAUGAGCAAUGGGUAAAUAUGUUUGAAUUUUUUGACAAAGGAGACUAGGCCAAGAAAUUGUUUUAGAAGUACAAGUUUCGGCCACUAUCAUGUGAGAAGAUGAAAUUAAAAAUGAAUUGUAAGUUGGUGUUUGAUGGAGAUUCAAAUUCGAGAUGUUAUUUGAGCUUAGACCUGUCAAUUGGGCCUAAUGAGCCAGGCUUUCAUAAGCUCAAGCUCAGCUCAUUUAAUUUGGAACAUUAUCGGGUUUCGGGCUAUAAGUUUCGGGUUCAUAAAUGUGAAGUUCAUACUCACCUUACAUAAUAUUCAGGUUGUGAGCUUUAAUCGGGUUUAGCCCAAUCUCACUUAUUACUCCUUAAUUUUCUUAAUACAAUUACUGUAACUAUUAAGUUGUAAAACUAAUUUAACACUUACAAGACUAUAAUAUUAAAACUAAAAAUGAACAAAUAAUAGUUCUUAAAAAGUAUAUAAACCAAAAAAAUUUCAACAAUAUUUAUAUUUAAUUAGUUCAAAAUGUAUGAAAUAUAGUAAUAAAACAUGCGAUCAUAAGCCAAUACAUCUUUAAAAGUUGAAACUUUUUUAUAAUCUUGUGAUUUGAAUCCAAACAUGCUUGAUGAUUUGUGUUUGUAAACCAAAAGGAAAUCAACCAAUAUAAUGCCAACACAAAGAUUUACUUAACCAAUAAGAAAAGUUGGAGAUUCAAUUAUGCAUUACUAAUAUUGACUCUCAAGAAAGCUCAUGAAAAAGUCUUUAGAUGUAUUUUUGUAUUUUGUAAUUUAUAUAUAUUUAGUAUUUAAUAAUAAUAUAUUUGGAUAUAUAAUUAUACAUAAUAUCAAAAUAUAAAUAUUAUAUAUAUAUGUAAUUAAAGGGCCGGGCCUAUAUCAAGUUUGAACCUAAUAAGGCCCAAGCUCGACUCAUAUUUAAUUUGGGCUAUUUUUUAUGCUCAAACUCAGAUCGGCUCACUAAAAGGUCGGGCUCAUCGGGCUUUCUGUCAAGCCGAACGAGCCGAGUUUGGGCUGGCCCAACCCCAUUGACAGUCCUAUUUGAGCUAAUAGAGAGUUUAGUUUAAAAGAUACAAUAAUGGAAUUAAAUUAAGCUAUUCUAUUUGUUUAUUUUCUAACUCUUUUAGUUUUUUGUUUUGGUGUCCUGUUUAUUUGGUUACCAUAUUAGAUUAGGAAAUCUCAAAUUAGUUUCCAAAUAAGUUUCGAUUUAUAAUUGUGUUUGUUUAGGAAGUUUUGUAGUCUAUAAAUACUAAUAGUCUAGUACAUUGUUACUUGAAGAGUUGAGUUGACUUAAGUUGUGAGAUAGAGGGAAAUGCUCUAAGUUAAAAGUUGUGAGCUGUUGUAAGCGAAAAUCUAUGAUUUGAUAUUGUUAUUGUUGAAUUUUGAGUUAAUAAAAUUAUUGAAUAUAUAUUUGUGUGUUUAUUGUCUUUGUCUUGCAACAUAUUUUUAUGUGUAUCAAAAUUGCUUCUACUGAGUGCAUGCAUGUUUUUUGUGCCAACAAAAUAGUUUCUAAUAUUUUGAUUACAAUAAAUUUGAUCCUUGAAAUUUUUGAUUUUAUGCAAAUUUUGGGCAUCUCGUGAUAAAUCACAAUAAUUAACUACUAAAAUCAAAUUGGUGUUAGUAAAAAAAAAAAUUAAAUUUUGCAUUGGUCCCUAAAUACUUUUAGAAUUUCAAUCAAUAUGGCCCCUUAGGUUUCAAAUAAGCAUUGUUAUGGUUUUAAAAUGAAAUCAAAUGUGAAUUGAAUUAUAUAUGUAUUGCAAAUGUGUACCCAAAUCCUUGUGUAAAAACCCUAAAAUAUUUCAAAUUAGCAAAAUACCAUCCUUGAGUCUAAAAGAAACUAUUUCUUAAAUUAGUUAUAUUUGAAUAAGUAUGCACACAUAAUAUACAAAAUAUAAAUGAGGAGAAGAAGAGAAGAAUUAUAAUUUUAAUGCAUAACUUUUUAUUCUAGCUACUAUUCUAUAUAUGUAUGUAUGUAUGCAUGCAUGUAUAUAUGUAUGUAUUAUAUUUGUGUGUAUGUAUAUGUAUUAUAUUUGUAUGUAUGUGUGUGUAUGUAAGUGGUCUUAUAUAUAUCUUAUUAAUUUGAUUUUCUUUUUAAGGUAGUUUGAAAUCAUAAUUUAGUUAUCGUGCAUUACUCUGUUACACUUAGCAAUCUUUUAUCUUUGUAUUAGAGUAUGAGUGCUAUUUUCAUAAUGUUAGAGUAUGAGUGCUAGCGUUGGAACUAGCCUAUUCUCAUUUAAUUGUGUUUCUCGAUUAUAGAUUUUGAAUCAGUUUUGUUUGAUAUUCUCAUUUACAUUUGCAUUUAGAUUUUAAAUGUUUAAUAGUCAUAAAGAUUAAUAUACAAGAUCUAAGCUUUAAUUGGUUUAUGAUAAAAUGUAAUUUGUACUAGUACAUUUUUAUGUAUAAGUUGCUAGCCAACCAUGUUAUUUGAGUUUUAUUUGAAUCAAAACCACUCAAUUUUGCUCUUAUAUUAUUCUAAUAGAUGAAGAGUUUAAUUGGAUAGAAAAUGGACUAGAAACGUGGCACGGAGAUGUAAUGGAAGAAGAAGAAAUGAAGAGGAAAGAGAUGGAUAGGAAUGAGACAUUUCAUUAUUUUGGUAAUAACUUGAAUUACAAAAAUCAAAUUGAGAUGAUUCUUGCUUCAUUUUGAAAGUAAGAGAAUGAUUUACAAUUCUUCUCUAUAUUAUAGUCCAGUUCUCAAGUUUUCGUAGCCAAAAGUCCAAACUACUAAACUGUAUUUUUGCUGUGGUGCUCUUCUAACUAGUUCUCAGUUUUUUAGGUAUAUCUCAGCAUCCAAACUUCCAAAUUAUAUGAUUCUUAUGGCAUUGGAAAGGUAGUUCAAAGAGUAAUAACUUUUAUGUUUAAUGCGAAAACUGAUUCGGCCUCUUUCAUUUAGUAUUGGACUUCAAAAAGGUUUCACACGCGGUUCCAUAGAGAUCAGCUCACAGAUCGGUAAUAACCGGCGCCGAUUGUGCAUUUGGUCUUCAUGUUGGAGUUUCUCUAAUCCUAAUGCUAGAUGCCAGACUUUGAGCAAGUAUUCAUUGAAAAAAUGCAGGAAAACAUGAUUUUUCAGUUCCAAUAAAGCGUAAUUCUAUCUUGUUUAGGAUGCAUCUUCAUGAAACUAUAAAUAGGGGUACUCUACAUCGUUUUUAGGUAAAACAAAAAACACUAGGCUAAACUUUAGUUCAUCUAUUUUACAUAUUUUUCUUGAGAUAUCAAGAAGAAGAGGUGAAAAAAUUCAAGAAGCAACCAACAUGGAAAUUGAAACUAGACCGAUUGAGAAGUUUUCUUUAAUUUAUUCUUCUAUAUUGUUGUUUAUUGAAUUCUUGGUUUUAAUUAUGAAUAUGUUGAACUAAUUUCAUUCUACGAUAGGGUUUUAUGAAAAAGAUUGGAAUAUUUAUUCUAGUUAAUUUCUUGAUUUUUGCCUUAAUUUAUCUACUUUGGUUUAAUUACAUGUUUCUAAUUGUCCACCAUAGACAUUCUCUUAGGAUUUGUAUUGAACUAAAAAGGGACAUACAAUUAUGCACUAGAUAGGUAAACAUAUUUAGUAUAAUCAUUAGAAUGUGUCAGGGUUUGUAUAAUAUAAUUAUAUUACCUAUGAUCUUAAGGAUUUAAUUAAAUACUUAUGAUCUCGCGAGAGAUGUGGAAUUUAAUUUAGAUAUAUCAAGAGAUAAUCUAAUGUACCAUUGCGUGAUAUAUUUUUGGCUUGUUAAGAAAUUAACUGUGACGCCCCCACUUCUCCCUAAGGCGAACCAAAGGGUAUCCGCGGAACGCCUGCCCAACUCUCGCUAGGAUUCAAGCAACUUCUGUUUAAGCUUAUAACGGUGUUAGAUGUCAACAACCAGAUAAUAUAAAUACAAAUAGUGCAGAAGCGUUCAAACUUAACAAUAUUUCACAAUUACCCAAAUCCUUACAUUGGUUUUCCAUAAUACAGCUCAAAAUAUACAAUAGCCAAAAGUCUAGUCAAAAGUAUUGGAACCCUAUUACAAGAGUACACAAAAGGAAAUCUCCUCCGAAUCUCAUUCCAAACCCAAAUCCUGUUAAGGAAAACAAAUCUACAGGGUGAGCAAAACGCUCAUGAGGCCAAGAACACACAUGCAAGCACAUAGUCCAAGUAACAAGCCCAAAUAACAGGUCAAAAGAUAAAGUACAAGUAAUUGACAAUUCCAAUGAAAUGUAAACAGAAACAAUUCAAGGAUAUGGUAGCUCUCAGGAGCUAAGUUCCACUUGCUCUGCCGAUAUCAUUCGUAUACCUUCCCGCGAUGACCCUCCGUCAAUCGAGUCGGUAUUUCCAUUCCGUAGAUCAUCACUUACUUUCCUCCGUCCACCGUACACCUCUCGGGCCCGCAAGACAUUUAUAAGGCGAUACUCCACGAGUAUGCCAAGCAAAACCUCUCAUUAGGUCAAUCUUAAUUAUCUCAUGGCUCGCUAAGGUUCCCAACCAAGCCCAUGCCGAGUCGAGUCCAAGGUCGGCCUAUGAGUUUGGGCAUCCCCUAUUUACAUUUGAGAGUCGGGGAGAUUCACUCCAACGACGUAUGCAGGCAUAGCAUACCAUUUCAUUUCAUUCAACAUUCAAUUAUCUCAUUUCAUUCAAUUAAGUCAUUCAUAAUUCAUUUGGUACAUUUGAAUCAUGAGUCAUUUAUUUCAAAUAAGAACGAGUGCGGUAAAGUACACACUCGCCUCUAUUUUCAAAAUCUCCAAACAAUGAUAACAAUUAAGUUCUUAUCAAGUAUUCAUACACUUGACACUCACCAAUAAGUAAUGAGGAAGAAAUGUCCUUCGGAGCUUUAGGCAUUCACUGUGGGAUCCUCUUGAAGGUCCUCUUGUGUGCCUGAGCAAUUAAUAAUGGACUAUUACUGAUAAUCCUCAAAUAAUAAGGGAGGUCGUACUUUAGUACGAUAUUAGAAUGUAUCUCGAAAAUCGAGCCUAGGUUUCUCUUUUGAGAAAUCGAGACUUAAUAAGGUUACAAAACUCAAGUAGGAACGGAUCAUUAUUCUUAAAAUCAUUGGAUGGAAAUGAGUACGUGCAAAUAAGUUUCAAAACGAACGACUGAAGUCGGAACAGGACGGGUGACGUCGCAAUCCGGCUGGAUAUCCGGUUGGAUUCCUGGCCGGAUUGGAGGCUGAGAGCAACCUCCAUUUUUUUUUUCAAAUUCCAUCACCAAUCCGGCCGACUAUCCAGCCAAGAACUGGGCGGAUUCAAGGCCGGAUUCUGGUGAACAGUUUCCCAUGCGGAUUUCUUUCAAAUGGUCUCAAAUUUCGAUUUUUGGUGUAAUCUUUGAAAAAUCAUAACUCACUCCCUAAUUGUCCAAAAUUAGAAAAUUUGAUACCGUUGGAAACAUCUUUCAAAGUACUAAAAGUUUCUAGAAGACACCUCUUCAUGAAUCCAAGUGAAAGGUAUUCAAAUUUUGGUUUGAAGUUGAUAACUUGUGUUAUCAAGACAGAUUGAAAUUGGUUUUCGGCCAACUUUGAAAAUUCGGAAAAAUUCAGUCAAUUUGAACUAGUUUUUGAAAUUUGGAACUCUAUUAGAGUUGUAAUCCAGGUUUAAAACAAAAUAAGAGGAAUGAGAAUUGAAGUUUCAAGCACCAAGAUAUGGUAACUCAAAGUUACCCAAAUUUUCUUGUUAAACAAGGGUUUUCCAAAUUCAAACCAUGAACUUUGGAAGUUUAGUUGAGCAAUGAAACAGCCUCGGAAUAAUACCAAAAUUAGCAGUAUUACAGUACCAUAUAAGGGCUAUUCCUCUACCAAAUUUCAUAGAUAAAUAAGCACGGGAAGUGGGUUAACAAAACCAUUGAAAUCACAAGAAAUUCUAAGGCUAAGCUGCCUUUGAACUUUCAUUUUGCCAUUUCCAAACAUUUGGUCAAGGAACAUCUCAAACAUGGUUCAUUCCAGUAGGUAAUUUCCAACAUAUGUUCAAGAUACAUUCGAUAGAUGAUUUACACUAAGAAGCUUCGGAUAACAAGUCCCAAACCGUAGUUAGUUUCAAAUCUGUCCAAAACACUGUUUUCGUUCACAAAGUCAGUUUUGAAUUUCGAUCAUAAAUCACUCAAUUCAACUCAGAAUUGAGCGUAGUUGGUGGUGUUAGAAAAUAGACUCAUAAGGCUAUAUUUUCUCAGAAGAAACCAUUUUCAAAAUCUAUCCAUAACCAGCUCAUUCGUGAGCAUCAAGUUGCAGCUCAUGUGCUGCCUUCCAGGAAGCAACGAAACAGGACAGUAGAUUUCAAAUGAAUGGUUUGGCUCACUCAAAUGGAACCAGAAUGUGAAUUUUAUACAUUCGGUUAUACAUUCGGAAAGCUGGGAAUGUCUAGUUUCCAGUGCCACAAACAACACUCGAUUCUAACAUCGGUGUAAAAAGAUAUAGCCGAAACAAAAACACUGCCUGGGUGAAUACGGGAUUAGUUUUCAGAUUUCUAAGCUUUCGUAAAUCCAACAUUUGGGUGACCAAAUCAAGUUAUUUUUCAAUGAAACUUUUUACACAACCAAUAUAACAUGUAAACAACAUAAACAAGUGGUCGGACAAGGCAGGGGUAAAACGGUCACUUUUGCUCCAAGUACCUCCUUUGAUUUUCUACCAACAAUACAACAUUAAUCCACUAAUAUAAGCACUAAACCAACAUUAAUUUUAUCAUCAAUCAUCAAAUCAGUCCAUCCAAUCCAAGUGGGAGUUCAUAGAGCCCACACAAGCAUUUUUCCAACAUAAACAAGCUACCCAUAUGCAUGCAUGAGUUUAAAUGCGCUCUACUACUUCCAUAAAUUAAGAUUAUCGAGGUUGAUCCUGACUUACUUCGCUAGAUGAACAAGACAGAAAUUUUCGGCCCCUCCUUAGCCUAAGAAAACCGUGGCCAGCAGCCCCCUUUUGUAGUUUAAUGAGGUCUCCAAGCGAUGAGCCAAGUGUGGAUGAAAUUUGAUGUGAAUUGGAUGAAGAUUGAUGAAGAUUUUGUGAAGAUAUUUGGAGAACUUUGGUGUUGUUUUGCAAGCUCAAUGGCCAGCUGUCUUAAGGGAAAAAGAAGGAGUUGCACAGCUGUUUGAGGUGAUAAAGUGGAGAGUUUUGAUCUGGUGUAAUGCUCCCAUGAGAAGCCUAAGAAUGUGUGGCCCAAAAUGCUCCAAAAGUCAACUCUCCUUCACGCGCACACGCGCGCGUUUUGUGCUCAAUUCCUCUUGCAUUUGUUUCAUUAGUGCACUAAACCUCUCAUGCACUUGUAUUCAUAUUAAUAUUAUUCACUAUUAAUUGUCCCAAAAUAAGGGUUUAAAGUCCCUCAAUUAAAUCGCGUGUGUAAAACGCAUAUCUCCAAAUUAAGCGCGAUAAAGUGAAAUCUCCAAGAAAUUCUUAUAACGAUGGUACUAAUAACUAUCACUUGAAUACUUAAACAUAGAAAUACCUAUUUUAAGUCCAUCCUACAAGUCUCUAAUUUUGCAAGUUUAUUGUAUUCUCGAAUCGAUUAUUGACUCCAAUCGCGUAUUCACUAUUUUUACUUAACGAGUUUCCAAAAAUUAAAUUUUGAAACGAGUCACUUUAAAAAUAUAACGAAACUAUAAACCCAUGUAAUUAGGUCUAAAGAGGUUAGAAAAAAAUAUUCGGAAUAAAUGGGCAAUUAAAUAUUCAAAUACGCUCGAAAUAGGAAUUUAAAAUAAUAAAUUUUCGUGAGUCCUCACAUGAGUCGAGUAUUAAUUUCUCAAUUAACCUUUCUUAAUCUACUAUUGAUCAUUCUUAAUUCUCCAAUAUUAAUACACUCCUGAUUCAAGUAUAGCCUCGAAAACGUGUACUCUUUAUUCCGAACUAAACGAAUUUUUUUGAAAAGUGAAUUUUCCAACAAAAUGCUUUAAAAUAUAAAAGAGGCGUUGUUGCAUAUAAAUGAAUUUUUAAAUGGUCGAAAUAAAUAAUUCGGAGAAAAUGAGUAAAUAAAUAUUUAAGUAAACUUGUAAUAUCCGAUAAAUAAGAAAAUUUUUGGGUCCUCACAUUAACUAAAUAAUUAAUUCUAAUUCUGGAUCUAAAUCUGGAUCCCUAGUCUUUUUCAAUUGUUUUCUCAUCUUUAUUUAUUUGAUUUGGUUAUCUAUUUUCUUCUUUAAUUAGUAAAAAAAUAAAUCUUUUGAAAUUUAUUAUUUUUCGAUAAUAAUUAAAUUAGAGAAAAUUAUCUCGUCCCUGUUCGUUCAAUCCCUGGAAUACUCUAGAUGAUUUUAUUAUUACAAUCAACUUUGUGCGUUUGCAGAAAUUUGUUGAUCAGUUUCAACUAUUCUCAAUAAUAUAAUUACUUCCUACAUUGGUUUAAAAUUAUUUUGUACAGUUUUCACAAUUUAAUAUAUUUCGAAAGCAGAACGUGAACACCUGAACAACGGGGAAUAAGAGUCUUCCUCAAGCUGACAGAAAUGAGAUGUGGUUUUUACUUUCUGAUGCCAACGCUGGCCCAACGUACAGCGCGGAAUGCACUCUACAUUUUCUUUGAAUCUGUCAGGCCUACUGCCUAAUACUCGCGGUGCACAUUUCAAACAAAAGAGAAUAUGAGAUUCGCCCACACCAAUGCCUCGCAGAAUCUGAAUAUUAGGUGCCAUAGUAUUUUCUACGUCAAGCUGUAGAACCUGCGAGUAUUGCUUAACAGCAAGCACAACAUCUUCAUCGGAAUGGAGUGAGUUUUUUAGGAAAUUAUAAGCUGGAAUUAGACGGUUUCCCAAGCCUCUAUGAAGUAUUUUCGGCGAACCACAUGCCAACUUACGAAUGUCAAAGCUUGAGAAUCCAACAGAUUGCAAAAAUUCCAACUUGGGCGAAAAUGUCUUGUCAGGGUUGGCUGAGAGAAUUUGUGGACACCCAUAAAUAAGGGUAGAGAUUUGAGCUUCAUAAUGCAACUGUUGAGACUUGAGACUGCAUUUUCUGGGGUUUUGAAGUUAACAUAUUUUGACUUGAGGCGAAAUGGGCUCUCUUUCUGGAGACAGCCCACACGAGUUAAUCUAGUCAAAGAAACUACCAUUGACUGCUUUUCUGAAGUUCUUAUGAUGGAAGAUGAUGAAAAUGGCAGGUCGGUUUGAAGAAAAUGCAGUUCUUGUUUAUGGAAUCGUAUUAAAAUUGUCAAUUGAGCAAUUUCUUGCAUAAGCCAAUGUCCUACAAUUGCAUACGAAAUUAAACAUAUUUGAGAAAAUAUCAGCAACAUGAAAAUGAUUUUAGAAGGUUCACCUCAAGAACCAUACAUGUCUGAGAAGUAUUCAUCAAUCCCAAUGCAGCAUAGAACCUUCGUUCAAAUUCUCAAUUCAUAAACCCUAAGCCAACAAGUAGAAACCCUGCUGCAGCUUUGACAUGUAUAACUUUCUCCAGUUCCUGCAGUAGUGGGGUGGCGGCCGUGCCUGGGUUGGUUCGUGACAGAGAAUUCCAACCUGGUAGCGAACCUUGAGUCGCAGUUCCAAUUCCGGUUUGGUUAGAACCGCACCCAACACCACCCCCCCCCCCCAAAAAAAACAAGAAAAGUCAUGGGGCAAAUGCUAAUUACUAUUUUUUUCCCUAUUGCAUUCAUUUACUUAUAUAAUUCAUUGAAUACCUUCAAAUUUUCAAUAUUAGUUGUUGAUAGUCAUACUGCUAUUCAUUUAGCAAAGAACCAGGUUUAUCAUGCAAAGACGAAGCAUAUCGAUGUACGGUAUCAUUUUGUGAGGAAGAUUUUGGAAGAUAGUACGAUACUACUUCAAAAGAUUCAGACUAAGGAGAAUCCUGCUGAUAUGCUUACGAAGGUUGUGACAACUAUCAAAUUCCAACAUUGUUUGAAUUUGAUAAAUGUUGUGAACAACUUGAAGAUUGGCGCUUGACAACGCAUUUGAAGACACCACCGAAUUUUGAGGGAGAAGAUUUGUAUUUUUGGUGGGAUUAGAAAUUAUGCCAAGGUGGAGAUUUAUUGAAUUCAAAGCCUCAAUUGAUGACUUUUCCAAGCCAAAAUUGUUGACUUUGAAAUCUUUGGCCUAAGUUUCUAAAUCCCACAUCAGUUAGUUUAACAUUUGAGAGGUUGCUUGAGAGCUAUAAAUAGCUCUCAAACAAACCAAUUCAAUCACACCAAGCAAGAGUUAAUAACUUGCUUCCUUCUCUCUCUUUGUAAUAUUUCUUUUAGUGAAAUAUUAAAUUGUUGGUAGUGUCCGAGAACGUAGGCAAAUUAGCCAAACCUCGUUAAAUUCUGGUGUUCUAUUUUAUUAUCUAUUUAGUAGCUAUAUUUGUAGGUAUAUUUGUAGUGAGUUAUUGUGUAAUUAAUUGCUUAUAUAGGUGAUUCUGUUUAGGAAAUUGGUACUUAAGCAAGCCAGUAUGUCUCACCAAAUAUUUCCUGGGAAUUAUCAUUUUGCAAUUUUAGGUACAAUAAUUUACUCGUUAUACCUUAAUUUGGUAGAGCUUCCGCAACAAUUGGUCCCACUUAAAACCCAGUCUCCUAGAUAGAAUUUACGUGUACGGUGUAUUAUCACAACUAGAUUCGUGUAUACAUAAAUAAUACGUACACACGAAUAAGAAAAUACACCCAAAUGAACCGUAUAAAACACUAGUUGUAUUUUUGAGUGGGAAAUUACUCGGUUUCUCCAAUAGUUGUAAUAUUCUUUUAUGGAAAUUGUGAGGUACUAUUUGGUAGAAUUUGUAUCAUCUUUCUUUUCCUCGUUUGUUAAAUAAUCACAUGAAAAUUUUAUUUUUCUCUAAUUUUAUUUUCUUCAGCUUCUUCUUAUCUAAUUUUGUGGUUACGAGUGAAUAAGUCCAGGUCGAACUAAAUUAGACACUUGUAACAGUAGAGAUAAGAAGAAACUAAAAAAAAAACAAAAUUCGAGGAAAAUAAAGUGUUCACGUGAUUAUUUAACAAACAAGGAAAAGAAAGUUGAUACAAAUUGUAUAAAAAGAAUAUUACAACUGGGGUGGCAACGGAUUAUGUCGUAUCGUUAUUGUGUUCAAGUCAAAAGGUGUCACCUCUAACUCAAUCUACUAGAUUUUGAAGUCGUGUCCUACUUAUUAAUAGGUUGACACGAUCCAACUUGCUUAACUCGUUGAUAGGGCGUAAAAUGUAGUGCAUUUAUAUGUAUAAGUUGUUAGUUAACUAUGUUAUUUGAACUUUAUCUUGAGUAGAAAAUAGUUAAUUUUGUUCUUAUAUGGUUUUGAUAGGUGAAUAGUUUAAUUGGAGAGAAAACGAAUAAAAAAAGGUGAUGCAAAGAAGUAAUGGAGGAAGAAGAAUUUAAGAGAAAGAGAUUUCACAAAAUUGACAUAUUUCAGUAUUUUGGUGAUAAAUUGAUCAACUAAAAUCAUAUUGAGAUGAUUCUUGAUUUAUUUUAAAUUUAAGAGAAUAUCUACAAUUCUUUUGAGACAUUAGAAUCCACUUCUCAUGUUUUCAUAAUAAAAAAUCCAAAUAAUUGAAGCAUAUUUGCAGUGCAAUAUACUUCUGACUAGUUCUAGUAUUUUAGGUAUAUCUCAGUGUACCGACUCUAAAUGACGUGAUUUUUAUGGCAUUGAAAAAUUAAUUCAAAGGAUUUUAACUUUCAUGUUUUGUACAAGAGCUGAUUUGUCCUUAUUCAUGGAGAUUUUGGGCUUCAAUAUGAUCCACAUGCGGAUCCAUGACCGGCACCAACCAUCAAUUUAGACUUCACGUCGGACUUCUUCAGAUUCUUUUAUAUUUUGAUCUUGGCCCAAUGAUUGGUACCAGACAUUGGGACGACACUACAUAUUUCAGUAUUUUGGUGAUAAGUUGAGUUCCCACAAUCGAAUAGAGAUGAUUCUUAAUUUAUUUUGAAGUUAAGAUAAUUAUCUACAAUUCUUAUGGGACAAUAGAGCCAAUUUCUCAUGCUUUCAUAGUAAAAAAUCCAAAUUACUGAAGUAUAUUUAUGCUGCGAUGUUCUUCCAACCAGUUCUCAGUAUUUUAGGUGUAUCUCGGCGUCUAGACCUCUAAAUGACUUGAUUCUUGCGGCAUUAGAAAGUUAAUUCAAAGAGUUCACUUUCAUGUUUUGUGCAAAAGUUGAUUCGAUCUUAUUGAUGGAGUUUUUGGGCUUCAAAUAUGAUCCAAAUGUGGAUGCUUAAAGAUCCACAAGUGGCUCCAUGACCGGUGCCGAUCAUCAAUUUUGGAUUUCAUGUUGGACUUCUUCAGCUCUUUUGUAUUUUGAGUUGGGCUCAAUGGCCAGCGCCGGACAUUGUUAGGACAUUGGACCGACACUACAUGUUUUAGUAUUUUGGUGAUAAGUUGAGUUAUCAAAAUUGGAUUGAGAUAAUUCUUGAUUUAUUUUAAAAUUAAGAGAAUUAUCUACAAUUCUUAUGAGAUAUUAGAGUCUACUUCUCAUGUUUUCAUAGUAAAAAAUUCAAAUUACUAAAGUAUAUUUGUGCUGCAAUGUUCUUCCAACCAGUUCUCAAUAUUUUAGGUGUAUCUUAAUAUCCAAACCUCCAAAUGACUUGAUUCUUCGGCAUUGGAAAGGUAAUUUAAAGGGUUAUAACUUUCAUGUUUUAUACAAGAACUGAUUCGGCGUUACCGAUGGAUGUUUUGGGCUUCAAAUAUGAUCUAUGUGCGGUGCCUAGGAGAUCCGCGAGCAGAUCCAUGAUGAGCACCGAUCAUAAAUUUGGAUUUCACGUCGGAUUUCUUCAUAUUCUUUUGUAUUUUGAACUUGGCCAAAUGACCGGUGUCGGACAUUAGGCUGGUCAUUGGGUCGGACAUUAUCAAAAAAAUGUGCGAAAAUAUAAUUUUUCAACACCAAUAAAAUCUAUUCCUACCUUGUUUAGUAUACAUCUUCAAGAAAAUAUAUCUUCAUGAAUCCGAUUAAUUUAGCAACCAAGUACCCCAUCCCCUUCCCCAUUUCUUAUUUCCCACCACUCUCGCUCUCAACAUAAAAUAUGUAAUUUUAAAAAAUAAAGCAACUUGGAUCGCUGACUAAAGGUGUUGAACACAUCCAUUUGAAAAUAAUGCAUUUCAAAACUACCAUUGAUUGAAAAACUUCAUGUGAAAUCGUGUGCUUUGGAGGCUUAAGUGGCUGACACGAACAUACGAGUAAUCAUGCAUAGCAUGAGACCUGACAGAAACAGGAGACGGAAGAGUUCUUCACUACAAAAGGCAUCGUUCCAUGAUACAGACGUUUAGAAAUGAUCGAUAACAGCUUGAUCCAUAUUUUCUUUGAAGUCAAAUGCAAGGUACCUUAUAAAAGGAACUCAGAUGCCAUUCCUGUUGCUUGAUGCUCAUUUACCCUCCCAACAAUUUCGUUGCUUUUCAACUAAAUGUACAUUUACUUGUCAUGAAUAUACGAGCCCAUCAAAUUUAUACGCACUUGUGAAUUUUCACCUCAUAAAGCAAGCGUGAAGGAAACGGACAAUGUGUGGAUUGUAACACGUAAAGCUGUGAGUUACCUAUUCGCAAAUAGAAUGGGAUUGUUUUGAUUAGGUAUUUGCUUUUGGAACUCGGAAUAUGUUCUGUGGAAAAAUCUGAAGUAACGAGCGUUGUGGUAAUGAAACUGUUUUUACCCGAUAUAACAGGUAAAAACACUUUUAGCGACCAUUUGAUUACCUGUUGUACUGGUCAUCUAAAUAAAAUAGUACCUAAAAAUAUGGUUAGUAAGUUUUACAUUAAAAAUAGUAAGUUAACUCAAGAAAUUAGUAACUUUUAUGUCUCAAAAAGUAAAUUUGAAUAAAUAUGGAACUUACUUUUUUUUUUAAAGUAAAUAACUACUCUAUAUCUAAAACUUACUUUUUGGAGAGUAAGUUUAGUUCAAAUAAUAGUAAGUUUUUAUAGACUAAUAGUAAAUAUUGUUGAUAGAAUAGUAAAUUUGGUUAAUCAUCAAAACUUACUAGUUUAUGGCAUAAAUUUACUAUUUUACUUAAAGAAACUUAUAUGGAACAAGUAUUAGGAAGUUUAUUUGAAAUAAUGCUAAGAUUUUUUAUUAAUAAUUGAAACUUAGUAUUAUAGUUAGUAAUUAGUCGUAAUGUAAAUGUAUGAUACACAAUUGUACAUAUCAUUUAUAAAUGUUAUAUGUUUUAACCAUUUUAAAUAAACUAUGAAAACUUUUUUUUUUUUGCAUAUGACCUUAUAAAAUAUGUAAGAAUAAUUUGUCAUAUUAUAAAUUUUGAAUUAUUUUUGAAUUUGUGAAAGGUUAAAAAGUUUGGAUGACAGUAAAAAAAAAAUCUUUCGAAUUAUAUAUAGAAUUGGACUUAUCUAUACAUCACAAUUUCCAUAUAUGGACACCGAUGAAUAUAAUAAAAUGGUACGCAAUUUUCAUAAAUUAAUGCCUAUGAAUUUAAUAAAAUGGUAAAAUCUUAAUAAAUUUAUUUUCUGGGUCACAAGUAUAAAAAUUAAAGUUGUAUUAACAUAGCAUAAUCUUUGAAAAUUAUAGUAAAAUUACCCAUAUGUUAAGUUCUAUGACUUUCAAACAUACUUUGUAUCAUUUACAUUAUGGAUUUGUAUCCAUAUGUUUUCUAUCAAACUCUUUUUUCUAUUGGCAAAUGGUAAGUAAAUUAUUAUAAAAGGGCAUUUUAUAAUAAUCAUAAUUUUUAAUAGAUGAAUUUUAUGUAAACUGUUAAAAUUAUGAAUUCACAAACGACUAAAUCUAACUACUUUAUGGCACAUAUUAGUCUAAAUGACUAAAAAAUUACUGCAAUCAUGUGCACGUUGAUUGUUGAAUUGAAAUUUCCUUUAUUACUAGUACAAGUUCUUCUAAUCAAAGCAAAAUAAAAUCAAAUAUCUUUUCCUUUUGUAUGCAGUAGUUAAGCUUAAUAGAAAAUUAUUAAACCAUUUUUACAAUACAUAAUUUCUCCUAAAAUUUGUAACAUUUACCAUGACCUCUAACCUUGACAUCGUUAUUUAAUUUACCUUCUAAAUUUAAUUUAAUUUUCUUAUAUUAAUUGUUAUACUAAUUUUAUCAUUUUUGUUAUUAUAUUAUUUCUCAUUUUGUUUAGGUUUUUACUCUUAUUAUUUCUUGUGUCUCAGAUAUAAAUUUAUUUUAACUUUAUCAACUUAUUAUAUUCAUAGGUGUUAAUUUAUAAAAUUUUGAUACAUAAACAAGUAAUAUUCUAUAUAUAACUAGAAAGAUUUGUUGUUAUUAUUAUCCAAACUUUCAAACUUUUCAAAAAUUGAAAAUAAUUAAAAACUUAUAAUACGACAAAAUUUUAUUACAUAUUUUACGAGAUUAUGUGAAAAGUCAAACUUUUUUCCAUAGUAUUUUAAAAUAUGUAAAUAAAUUUUUUUAAAUGAUAACUAUAAUCUUGUAUUAUACAGGUAUAUUAUGAGUACUUACUAACUAAGGUACUAAAAAUUAAUCAUUAAUAGAACAUCUUAUCGUUAUUUCAAAUAAAUUCCCUAACACUAGUUUGAAAUAUGUUUUAAAGUAAAAUAGUACACGUGUCUCAUAAAUCAGUAAGUUUUGAUUAUUAAUCAAUUUUACCAUGUUAUCAGUAAGAAUUACUAUUUAUGUAUUAAAACUUACUAUUAUUUGAAUUAAACUUACACUAUAAAAAGUAAGUUUGGGAUAUAAAAGUAUAAAAGUUACUAAUUUAUUCCAAUUUACAUUUUGAAGUAUAAAAGUUACUAAUUUAUUACAAUUUACAUUUUGAAGUAUAAAAGUUACUAAUUUAUUACUGUUAACUUACUAUUUUAGAUGGAAAACUUACUUUCUUAUUUUUAAGUGUUAUCCUAUUUAGGUAGAUAGGCCUAUCACAAGAUCAAAUGGCCGCUAAAAGUAAAUAAAAAAUAAAUAAAAAAUGGUCAUGUAAGUGUUAUCCUAUUUAUGUUUCAAAAAGUAAAUCGAAAUAAAAAUGAAAGUUACUUUUUUUUAAAAAUUAAAUUACAACUCUACAUUCGAAACUUAGUUUUGUGGGGAGUAAGUUUAGUUCAAGUAAUAGUAAGUUUUUAUAGAUUAAUAGUAAAUUUUGUUGAUUGGUUAAUCAUCAAAACUUACUAGUUUGUGGCAUAAAUUUACUAUAUUACUUAAAGAAACUUAUAUGAAACAAGUAUUAGGAAGUUUAUUUAAACUAGUGUUAAGAUUUUUUUAUUAAUGGUUGAAACUUAAUAUUAUAGUUAGUAGUUGUUGGUAACAUAAAUGUAUAAUAAUGAUUGUAUGUUUCAUUCAUAAAUGUUUUGCGUUUUAAGCAUUUUAAUAAAUGUAUGUAUCAUUUAUAAAUGUUAUGUGUUUUAAUAAAUUUAUUUUCUAGCUCACAAGUAUAAAAGGUAAAGUGAUCGUAUCUAAUGUAGCGUAAUCUUUUAAAAUUAUAGUAAAUUUACCCAUAUAUUAAGUUUCAUGAGUUUCAAAUAUAUUUCGUAUCAUUCACAAUAUGGAUUUACACGCACAUUUUUUAUGAAACUUACUUUUAAUUGGCAAAUAGUAUGUAAAUUAUUAUAAAAUGUCAUUUUAUAAUAAUCAUAAUUUUUAUAGGUGAAUGGUAUAUAAACUGCUAAAAUUGUCAAUUUAUAAAUGAUCAAAUCUUACUACUUUAUGGCAUAUAUUAGUCUAAUCAACAAAAAAAUUACCGUAAUUAAGUGUACGUUGGUUGUUGAUUUGAAAUUUGCACCAAGGUCACUAUUUCGAUAUUACUACCACAAGUUUUCUAAUCAAAGUAAAACAAAGUCAAAUAUCUUUUCCUUUUGUAUGCAGUAUUUAUGUUUAGUAAAAAAUUAGUAAACCAUGAUUACUGAUAGAGCAAUUAUUUGGCACAUUUUGCACUAUUAUUCUACCCUAAUUUUGGCUACUCAUGAUGCUAAGAAUUGAGAUUUUGCUCAUAUUUGAUAUUUGUAUGAAUUGUAGGUGGUUGGCGUUAAAAAUAAUCUUUUGAGGCAAAUUUCCAAAAGACCCUUCAUCUCAGGGCGUGCCCACGCCAAAAAUUGUAGGAGGUUACUCAAAAGGACGGACCCGCGGGAUUAAUUACAGCAAAGCCAACUAAGGAUCCCGGUCCACAUGAACCCAAAGCACUGGAUCAAAACCUUUAAACAAAAACUUUGUUCCUGACCUUUGGUGGACUUCUCCUGCAGCAGCUUCAAAUCGAAAAGGAAAGAAAGGGCCAGGGAGGUCGUAGGUAUUAGAUUAGUUUUUGCUUUUGAGUGUCCGUCACUUUUUCCUUUUGUUUUCUUUGGUAGCAAAUAGGAAGAGCCAAAAUCAUGUGGGCUUAGGAGAGGAUUUCUUUGAUUCUUCCCUGUAGCCGUUUUGACUGGUGGCUUCCAUUCUGUACAAUUAUUCCAAUAGCUUUUAGCCUUUUUCUGGACUUUGCUUCAGGACAGACGCAAGAACAAGAAAAGGAAUUCAGGGAUUUUCUCUUUCGUUCCUCCAUUAAUUCAUCUUUCCCAAUUCCUUAGCAAUUAAUUAUUUGGCAAUUGCAUGGAUGAAAUCAAUCAACCCAUGUGUGAUUGAUGCGAUGAGGCGCGGCUAGGUCUCUCCCCUACCCAAAGGUCGACGCAAAGGCGCGGUCCAUAAUAUCUGUGAGAUCUAAUCGAAUCUUCAUUAUUUCUUCCAAUUUGGUGCUAUUCAUGCGUUUCCUAAAUUAAUUGUUCAUGGGUAUUCUAUUAAUUGAAUAUCAACGGCCGGAUAUUUGAUUUAAUAUAAUAGCCUAUUGCCACGUUAAUUAAAUUGAAUCCGUAAUUAUUCGUUUAGUUGACAACUAGUGGCAACCACCAUAAUUGGCUUUAUGUUGGGGAAGCGUAAGAUCUGAUUUAAAUAAACCCUCUUAGCGUGUUUAUUGGUCAGGGUUGGGUUCUUCUAGCUUUAAUGCAGUUGGAUAAUUAAAUUCCUACGGUCGUACCUAGAGUUGUUAUCUGGUUAGGGAAACAGUCAAUGGUCGUACCUUGACUGUCAAAAAGUAAGGAAGAAUUGGUUGUCAGAGCUUGUUGAUAACUAUAACCAACCUGGUGACGGAUGGAUGAAACAUUUUUGCGUCGAUGAUCAUUUAAUUGGACCAUGCCUGAGCAGUUGAUCAUUUGGAUAGAAUUUUAUUAAUUGCUAGUUUUAGUAACUUGUGCUUUGUGAAUUAGUUUUGAAUUUUAUUGGCUUUAUUUUUAUUCUUAUUUUCAUUUGCUUCCCAUUGAAGACCCCCCACUUGUCUUGACUCGAAAGGAAACGAAUUAUCUCCAAUCCCUGUGGAUUCGACCCUACUCACCACUAUAUACAAAAUCUGUAUUUCUCUUGAGUAGGUAAUUAUUAUUGUACAGGCUCGACACCUGUUAAUUUUUGGCGCCGUUGCCGGGGAGUUGGCGUUUGGAUUAUUUGGUUCUUUUCAAAUUCAGUUUUUAUUCUAUUUUAUUUUAUUUUAUUCUUCUUGGUAUUUUUGCUAGUUUAUGCUCCGCUCUUCUCGCACAGGUGAAUUGGUAUACGAUCCUGAGGUUGAGAAGGCAGCGCGUAGGCGGAGGCAAGAGACCAAGAGGCAAAAAGAAGGACACUUAUUUGCUGCAAACGAGUCAGCGGAAGACGAAGUAACCAUGGCCAACACCCAAACAUUGAGGGAGCUGGCUGUCCCGGAGCUGACUCACCAGCCCUUAUGCAUCACAUUCCCCACUUUGGCUGAGAAUACUGUUUUCGAACUGAAGUCGGGGUUGAUUCAUCUCCUACUUUCUUUCCAUGGUCUUUCGGGCGAAGAACCCCACAAGCACGUCAAGGAGUUCGAGGUGAUUUGCUCUAGUAUGACACCUCCUGGGGUCACUGAAGAGCAAAUCAGACUGAGAGCCUUUCCGUUCUCUCUCAAGGAUGCAGCUAAAGAUUGGCUGUACUACCUACCAGCAGGUAGUAUUACCACAUGGGCACAGUUGAAAAAGAAGUUUUUGGAGAAAUUCUUCCCUGCAUCCAGGGCUGCGAGUUUGAGGAAGAAAAUCUGCAGCAUUAAACAGUAUCCCGGGGAGUCCUUGUAUGACUAUAGGGAAAGGUUUAACAAGUUGUGCACUAGAUGCCCGCAGCAUCAAAUGAGUGAACAACUGUUAAUCCAAUAUUUCUAUGAAGGAUUCCAGUCAACUGAUAGGAGUAUCAUCGACGCUGCGAGUGGGGGAGCAUUGGCAAAUAAGACCCCGAGGGAAGCAUGGCUGCUCAUUGAAGCUAUGGCAGAGAAUUCUCAACAGUUUGGCUUCCGUGAGAGUAACUCUACCCGCAGGGUUAAUGAGGUGGAGUCGACAUCUAUUCAGCAACAGUUGUCGGAGCUAACAUCCGUUGUUCGACAAUUAGCGGUAGGGAAUGUGCCCCAAGUAAAGGCCUGUGGAAUCUGCACAAAUAUGGGUCACCCUACUGACUCAUGCCCUAUAUUGCAAGAUGAUGGAGUUGAACAAGUAAACAUGGCUGGAGGCGUGCCCGCGCCUCGUAGGCAGUACGAUCCAUACUCCAACACGUACAAUCCGGGUUGGAGAGAUCACCCCAAUUUCAGUUAUGGAAAUAGGCCACAAAAUGCAUUCUCCAAUUGUCUACCAGGAUUUCAGCAACCAUGGCAACCGAAACCGCAACCCUCAUCCUCCAACACAGGGAGUUCCUUGGAGGAUAUUGUCAAGAAUCUGGCUACGACUACCGCCCAGAUCCAGCAGGAGACUAGACAGCUGCAGCAGGAGACCAGGUCAUUGACCACAAAUAUGGCUCAACUCCAGCAAGAAACUAGAGCCUUAACCAUGAGCACCAAUCAGUUUCAGCAGGACACAAAAUCAGGCAUGAAGGAUAUGGAUGCUCGAAUAAGCCAAAUGGCAACUGCCAUCAAUCGCUUGGAGUCCCACGCUUAUGAAAAGUUACCCUUACAACCCGAAGUAAAUUCCAAGAAUGUAAGUGCCAUAACACUGAGGAGUGACAAUACACUGGAAGGGUCUAAAGAGGGAAAUUCAAAAAGCAAGAGUGAGAAGGAGAUAGAAAAGGAAAUUGAGGAGGAAGGACGUGUUCGUGAGGAUCCUAAGGUAAUCUCCACCUCUCCACUCACUACUAACUUUAACUUACCCCCAUUCCCUUGUAGGUUGGACAAGACAAAAAGGGUAGAGAAGGAAAAAGAGCUCUUAGAUGUGUUUCGAAAAGUGGAGAUCAACAUUCCCCUGUUGGAUGCAAUCAAACAGAUACCGAAGUAUGCCAAGUUCCUAAAAGAUUUGUGCACCCACAAAAGAAAGCUAAGGGGGGACGAAAGAGUAUCAGUGGGAGAAAACGUGUCAGUUAUACUCCAAAGGAAACUCCCACCAAAAUGUGGAGACCCAUGUAUGUUCACCAUUCCCUGCAAGAUAGGAGGUACUCCAAUUAGGAAAACGAUGUUGGAUUUGGGGGCAUCAAUUAAUGUUAUGUCUAAGACAAUCUAUGCUUCUCUUAAUCUUGGCCCAUUAAAAGGCACAGACAUUAUAAUCCAACUUGCAGACCGUACCAAUGCUUAUCCAGAGGGGUUAGUUGAAGAUGUUUUGGUACAAGUCAAUGAGUUAGUCUUUCCUGCAGAUUUCUAUGUCUUAGACAUAGGAGAUGAAAGGGCAUUAAGUCCAUCACCUAUUUUGCUAGCUAGACCAUUUUCAAGCACUGCUAGGAUAAAAAUAGACGUGAAUGAGGGUACUUUGUCGAUGGAGUUUGAUGGUGAAAUUAUAAAUUUCAAUAUUUUUUAUGCGAUGAAAUAUCCGGAUGAGGUUAACUCUGUUUUUGUUUUGAGUAAUUUUAAACAUCUUGUACAGGACACAUGUGAAUUGAAUAGGGGCGAUGCACUGGAAGUGGUAUUGGCCAAACAUCUUGAGUUGGGAGCAACUCUUGAGGUAGAAAUAAGUGAUGAGCUAUACCACGCAGUUGAAGCACUGCAUUCGCUCCCACCACUGUCCCCAAGGUAUGAGCUUACUUCUCUCUUUGUACCGGAAACUCAAACGAAAUUGUUGCCUUCUAUUGAGCAGGCACCUGAGUUGGAGCUCAAGCCUCUCCCAAAGCACUUGAAAUAUGCUUUUCUCGGGGACAAAGAGACACUGCCAGUCAUCAUAUCUGCAUACCUGUCACCAAGGCAAGAAGAUAACCUGAUUCGUCUUCUUCGAGAUCAUAAGGAGGCGAUUGGGUGGAGCAUAGCAGACAUCAAAGGAAUUAGUCCCUCUUUAUGCAUGCAUCGGAUCCGGCUUGAGGAGGAUGCAAAAUCAGUGCGGCAGGCACAACGGAGAUUGAACCCACUGAUGAUGGAAGUGGUAAAGAAGGAAAUACUUAAACUCUGGGAAGUGGGGAUUAUCUUCGCCAUCUCAGACAAUCCCUGGAUGAGCCCAGUGCAAGUAGUCCCGAAGAAAACUAGAGUGACCGUAGAAGAAAACCAAGAGAGCGAGAUAGUCCCGGUGAGGAAACCCACAGGGUGGCGUCAGUGCAUUGAUUACCGGCGUCUGAAUGCUGUGACAAAAAAAGAUCACUUUCCUCUCCCGUUUAUUGAUCAGAUGCUAGAAAGGUUAGCGGGUCGCGUUUAUUACUACUUUCUUGACGAUUUUUUAGGUUAUUUCCAGAUCGCAAUAGCACCGGAGGAUCAGGAGAAAACUACUUUCACCUGUCCCUUUGGUACAUUUGCAUAUCGGAGGAUGCCUUUCGGCCUCUGCAAUGCUCCGGCGACUUUUCAGAGGUGUAUGGUAAGUAUCUUUUCUGAGUAUGUAGAAAAAAUUAUUGAGAUAUUUAUGGAUGAUUUUAGUGUAUAUGAAGAUAGUUUUGAUGAAUGCCUGGAUAAUUUAGCUUUAAUUUUGAAGAGAUGCAUUGAGCCUAAUUUAGUUCUAAAUUGGGAAAAGUGUCAUUUCAUGGUGGAUCAUGGCAUUGUUUUGGGGCAUGUAGUUUCAGCCAGGGGUAUAGAAGUGGAUAAAGCAAAGGUCGAUAUUAUUUCUGCUUUGCCUUACCCCGUAAGUGUACGGGAGGUGCGUUCCUUUUUGGAUCAUGUAGGGUUCUACAGGAGAUUCAUCAAAGAUUUCUCCAAAAUUGGAGCGCCCCUGUUCAAACUGUUGCAGAAGGAGGUAGCAUUUGACUUCACCGAGGAGUGCAAGGUGGCAUUUGACAGGUUAAGGGAGUCAUUGACAUCACCACCUGUUAUCCAGCCUCCGGACUGGAGCCUCCCAUUUGAGAUAAUGUGUGACGCGAGUGACUAUGCAGUGGGAGCAGUGCUGGGGCAACGGAUUGGCAGGGCAGCUCAUGCAAUAUACUAUGCAUCAAAGGCGUUGAAUGGAGCUCAACUCAACUAUUCUACAACAGAGAAGGAAUUACUUGCUGUGGUUUUUGCACUAGGAAAAUUUAGACCUUACUUGUUAGGUGCAAAAGUAAUAGUUUUUUCUGAUCAUACAGCCUUGAAAUAUUUGAUGACAAAGAAGGAUGCUAAACCAAGGCUUAUUAGAUGGAUCCUGCUCCUUCAAGAGUUCAAUUUGGAGAUUAAAGAUAAAAGUGGGGCAGAAAAUUUAGUUGCUGACCACUUGAGCCGCUUGCUUGCUCAUAAGGAGGAGCAACCAUUGAGGGAGGCAUUUCCAGAGGAGCAACUACUUGCCAUUAACUCGUCUACACCCUGGUAUGCUGAUAUAGUAAAUUUCUUAGUGAUUAAUCAAUUGCCUGCAGGGUGGCCAAAGGCUAAGAGAGACAAGUUGAAAAGUGAUGCCAAAUAUUACAUUUGGGACGACCCGUACCUGUGGAGACAAUGUUCGGAUCAAGUCCUAAGAAGGUGUGUGAGUGCAGGUGAAUUCCACUCUAUUUUGAAUUUCUGUCAUUCGUUUGCAUGUGGAGGGCAUUUUGGUCCUAAGCGGACGGCUCGUAAGGUGUUGGAAAGUGAUUUUUAUUGGCCUACCCUCUUUAAGGAUGCAUAUUUGUUCUGUAAAUCUUGUGAUAAGUGUCAAAGGGUGGGGAAUAUCUCUCGUAGAGACCAAAUGAGUCAGACCCCCAUAUUAUUUGUUGAGAUUUUUGAUGUCUGGGGUAUAGAUUUCAUGGGUCCUUUCCCCUCGUCUGUUGGUUUCUUGUACAUUAUACUUGCUGUUGACUAUGUUUCCAAAUGGGUGGAGGCAAAAGCCACCCGGACUAAUGAUUCGAGAGUGGUUGCAGAUUUUAUAAAAUCUAACAUCUUUGUUUGUUUUGGAAUGCUGAGAGCUAUAGUGAGUGACAGGUGCACCUAUUUCUGCAAUAAGACAAUCACUGCAUUAUUUCGUAAGUAUGGUGUGCUCCAUAAAGUGUCCACUCCAUAUCAUCCACAGACGAAUGGUUAGGCCGAAGUGUCAAAUAGCGAGGUCAAGUCAAUUCUAGAGAAGAUGGUGCGGCCUGAUAGGAAAGACUGGAGUCUGAAAUUGGAAGAUACUCUCUGGGCCUACCGCAUUGGAUAUAAGACACCGAUUGGGAUGUCCCCAUAUAGGUUAGUUUUUGGGAAGCCUUGCUACCUCCCGGUGGAAUUUGAACACAGAGCAUUCUGGGCGCUUAAGCGGUGUAAUAUGAACCUUAUGGAGGCCGGAGGAAAUAAAAAGCUCCAAUUACAAGAGUUGGAGGAGCUAAGGAAUGAAGCCUAUGAGAACGCUGCAAUAUAUAGGGAGAAGAGCAAAAUUUUUCAUGACCAACAGGUUUCGAGAAAGUCAUUUGUCGUAGGGCAAAAAGUCCUACUUUAUCACUCGAGAUUUAGGCUUUUUCCUGAUAAGUUGCGUUCCCGUUGGAUUUGUCCAUUUGUUGUCUCUAAUAUUUUUCAUUAUGGUGCAGUGGAAAUCCAAAGUCUGAAGAUGGAGAAAAGGUUCGUAGUCAAUGGUCACCGUCUAAAGUCUUAUUAUGAAGGGUUUAAUAGUGAGCAAGUGGAGGUUCUAUUCCUUGAUAAUCCCAGUGGUGAAGUCUAAACAGUUGAAGGCCAUGUCUAGCCAAAAACAUUAAAGAAAGGCGCUGCUUGGGAGGCAACCCAAGGAUUACCAUAUUAGUUGUGAUCAUUUUUCCUUACUCUGCGAUUUUUCAGUUUUAUUUUAAUGUUUUGAUUGUUUUUGUGGUGUUGGACAGAAGAAUAGAGGUUCCAAGGCGUGCCCACGUCCUGGAAGAGGUACGCCAAGUGACCUGAGCAAAUUGGAGACUAGCAGUUCCAGGGCAUGCCCACGACUUGACGGAAUUUCGUUUGGACAUCAUUUAGAUGCCGCGGUCAGAAGACCAUGUCCUUCAAGGCGUGCCCACGCCUUCCAACUCUUCUGAUAGUGAAAAAAAAAAAUUGUUGACCAAGACUCUACUUUUUCCACUUUUUCCUUCUUCUUUGACUAGUCUUGGACAAUCCUUCCAAACUUCUUCUGCCUAAGCUCCGAUAAUACUUCUCCCUGUUUUGGUCAAGCCGCCGCCGCCUCCAUGGUACGCCGCCGCUACAGUCCAUAGUCCGCCGCCACAGCCAUCGUGCCCCCCCUGCGCGCUGCCACCAACGCGACCUAGCAGAUCCAUAGCACCUGCGCCCCAGCAGCAGACGCGCGCUACCUGCGCGCCUCCCUCCUCCUCUGCGAAAUCCCCUUUGCCAGGCGCGCGACAGCGCGCAAUUUACCUGCGUGCUUGCUCCAGCCGCGCACCAGCUCCCACAGCAAGCAGAUCCGCGCGCGCGAGCCUCAGCCUAGCAGAUCCGCAGCCCUACGCGCGCGACCAGCCCUUCUCCUCAGGCGCGUCCUCAGCGCACGCGACGCCCAGCAGGCGAACCAGCGGCCCACCGCGCGCCAGCCUUCGCGCGCGCCAGUCCUUCUCUCGCGCCUGACAGGCGCGAGCACCCGUGCGCAAGCCGCGCGCGCUGCUCGCCUUCUGCCGCAGUAGAGCGUUCACCACCCGCACAGCCGUGCAGUACUGCCCAUUCCAAUUCAACUUGGCGGAGCACUGAACUUACUAGUGGUACCCCUGUCUCUCUCUUGUGAAUUGGAAACUGAGGUAUUGGAGUUUUUAUUGUUGAAAUUUUGCUUUGUGUGGGGCUAUUUGAUUAAUUGUCUGAAUGGAGAUUAUAUCUGCUUUUCAUUGACUAUCUGUAUUGGGGGACGUUUGUGGGCUUUGGUGAAUCUGUUAGUUGUUAUUUGUGGUCCGUGUCUCACUAAUUGUUGACUAUUAUCAACUAUCAUUGCAAUUUGUGCGAUGUUGGAACUGUUUUCUUUAUUAUUGUCGGCCACGUGACACCAGUGGGAGACCUUUUGUGUUGGCUGCCUUGUCGUUGUUCGGUGGGGUGUUUGUGCCCCCUUUGCUAUUGAGCUGCGCAAUAUUCAGUAAUUUUUGUUAACUGUGGUCCCCUAUCUGCUUUUGGUGGUUGGUUGGCUAUCUCUGAGCUGAUUCACUCUAUCUGUGGUCCCUGAAUGCCUCCUAAAAAGGCAACCACUGUUGGGCCGUCUGGCUCCCAACCCUGUAAGAGACGAGCGCCGGUUCAACCCCCCAUUCGGUCCCGUUUGGGUCUGAAUAAGAGCACCAUGUCUCCUGGGGAAUGGGGGGAACCGAUCACUAAUCUUACAAGGGCCCAACAGGACCGGUUUAACACCUUGGUGCAUCGACCUUUUGCCCCUUGUAAGUGCUUCCAUGCCCCUACCCUAGACCAUCUGCGAAUUGCACGGGAAGUUGAGCAGUUGUUCUUGGCAAUAGGUUGGAAAAAGUAUCUGAUCAUUAACUACCCCACAUUUGAGGAGCUUUUCUGUGAAUUCUACUGCUCUUUUGAGUUUAUUAGGAAUGAAUACAUCACUUUGGAUGAGCCGGAAAUUAUUCAAUUUAGAUUAAAAGGCACACAGUAUAUUUUUCCAUCAAUGAAUUUAAUCUGACUUUGGGGUUUGUCAGUGAGGAUACCAUUGCAUCCGGAGCGUCUAUCAAUAGUGCUUGUGACUACACCAGGCCGUUCAAAACUGAAUACAUUGACAUCUGGAGGGAGUGGUCCACGGAUCGGCAAGUUUAUAAUCCGAGUCAGUCCAAGGCCUCUCAACUGAAGGAUCCGGUCUUAAAGGUCAUCCACAGGUUCUUGGCUCACAAUUUCUCGGGGCGGAAGGAUUCCUCCGGCACCCUUACCAAAGCAGAAUUUUAUUUCCUUUGGUGCAUGCACAACAACGUCAAGGUUAAUUUUGGAUGUUGGGUAGCCACUCAAAUGCAAUCAGUCAUUCAAAAGCACAGUAAACCGAUCAUUCUGGGUUCACUCAUUACCCACUUGGCCAUUCGAUUGGGUUUACUAGACCUCGACAAGGAGCACAAUUUCGCCCUAACUCGAGAGAUUGAGCCACUGGAUUUGCGCAGUUUGGAGCGGAUGGGGGUUAUUUUCAAAGUGGGCGAUGUCUAUCAGUUUACGCCCCCUGGUGAGGACGGGCCGCGGCCUCUGGUGCCUACCACUGCACCCUCCACUGACUCGCCACCCCAUCCGGAUCAGGCGGGUCCGUCCUCCUCUCAUCCUCCUCCUACUGGGGAUCCCCGCUACCAGGAGCUCCAAGAUUCUGUUGAUGAGCUCCACACCCAGGUGUCGAGGAUAGAUGGCCGUCUUAUGGCGUUCCAGGUCUUCGCCCGCAUUCAGGCAGAGAAUCAGGCGGCCUUCUUCGCUCACAUUGGUUUCACCCCGCCUCACCCCCCUCCGCCUUAGUGUCUCGUUUUUCCUCCCCGGUGGUCAGGGAAGUUUCUCUUCUUUCCUCCUCAUACCUUAUUGGUCUCUUCUACAUUGAGGGCAAUGUAGGUCUUAGGUGUGGGGGGAGUGACUUCCAUUAGUGACUCCCAUUAGUUUUUUUUCCUUUCUCUUUUUCAUUAGCUCUUUUUGCUUUAUAUAAAAAAAAAAUGAAAAAAAGGAAGAAAAGAAAAAAUGAAAAAACAUUGUAGUUAGUCGGUUUUUUGGUUAUUUCUAUGCUUAUUAGUGUUGGGGCAUGUUGCUGUGAUAAAUGAUAUAAUUAAAGUGAGUGGGUAUGUGGUCGGAUAUGCUAGUUGUACAUUUUGCUUCCCUUGGCAAUGUCGUUGAAUGUUGAAUAUGCUGGAAUUGACCCAUUUUUAAAACUUUUGGGAGCUUUUGAGCCUUACAUGAGCACAUUAUCCUUGUUUGCUCUAUUCUUGUUUGAUUGAGUGGGUAUCGCACAUGGUAUGAACAUUCUAGAACUUGCUAUUUUGUACAUGUCAAGACCACAUCCUAUUGAACUAGAUGCAUUUAAAAUGAUAAGGGCAUUUAGGAUUUGACCUCUUUGAGCUUUCGAAAGAAAAUCAUGCAUUCACCUUGUUUCCUAAUAGUGAACCAAUUUGAGCUUUAUCCUUCGCUUUUGGUUGUUAUCCGUAUUUGUUAACCCGAGACCUCUUUAAACUUUCUUGUUUAUCCCUGUGAUGUCAAGGGAUGUCUGAAAUCCAUCAUUUGUGCAAAGCAAACAAAUUUGGGGUUGCAAGUGCUGUUAGAUUAGGAGCUGUAUGAUGUUAUCCUUGUAAAAAAAGGGAGGAAUUGGAAAAAGGCCACUGACCAGAGGACUUUGGCUUACAGGGCGUGCCCGCGCCUUACAGGACUUUCUCCCUCAAAAAAAAAAAAAAUCCUGAAGAGACCUCGUGACCAGAGGACUAUGGGCUACAAGGCGUGCCCAUGCCUUGCGAGCAGUUCUCUCCAAAAAAAAAAAAAAAAGAGAGAGAAAGAGAAAAAAUUGGGGACACUUGUACAGUGUGUACAGCAAAUGAAAACUGCCUUGUUUGUGGAACCCCUCCGGUAGGGCACUGUGGUUAUUGGUGAGUUUCGGACAUUCUCUUGACACUUUACCCCCUAUCUACACCUUCUUAACCCGCCUUUCACCCGAAACCCCAUUACAACCCUAUUAAAACCCCUUUGAUUUAUGUGUUUAGUUCAAUUUUGAGUGGUGGAGAUGUGAUAAAUGUGCAAGCCUAUGGUAAUGGCAUUCCGUGAUGUUGAUUUGAGCGUUCCUAGUAUUCAUAUAUUUUCUUUGAACUACCACCUGUUCGGCGUGUUCUAAUUUUGGCAACAUUGUCAGGGAUCUGAAAUGUUUGUGUUAGUAUAGAUUACUACAUGAUCUUUGCUCUCUUGGUUGUACUUCUGAGUUUCGAAAUGCUUGAGGACAAGUAUCAUCUAGGUGUGGGGGGAUUAGUAACAGUGCAAAAUAAUCCUUUUGUAUGCAGUAUUUAUGUUUAGUAAAAAAUUAGUAAACCAUGAUUACAUUUCAUAAUUUGUAAUGAAAUUAGUAACAUUUUCUAAAUAAAUUGGAAUAAUUUGUAAGAUAUAUUAUUUUUUUUACCAAUAUAGUUAGGGGUGGCAAUCGCGUCCAAAUCAUAUUGGUGUGUCAGGUUGAGAUCGGGUAUAAUAGAAAACCCGCUGAUCCGAACUUGACCUGCCAACCCGAAAUAGGUCUAGAUAUCUGACCCGAAUCCAAAAAUUUCAUGUUGGUGGGUUGACGAGUCAACUCGAAUGACCCGAAACUUAAUUUUAAUUUAUUAAUUUACCACUGUAAUUUCUAAUAAAAUCAAUUUUGCACAAUUUUGAUUACAUAAGCAAGUAAUAAAAAUUUAAAUAAAUAAUCCCAAACCGAGUCUAAAAUAAAUUAAACUACUGUAAAAGUGUUUUAUCCCAAAGAAAAUGGGAAGAAAACAAAUGGGAAGAAAGGAUGAUGGCAUAACUAUAAAUAUGAGCAACUAUAUGCAUAUCACACCAUGAGUUUAGGUUUUAUUUGUUCAAAACAUCGGUAAUUUAUUCGUUAGUAGAUAUAAAAUGCAUAUGAUUUUUCUACAAAUGGAAAAUACACUUUCAUAUAUACUAACCAUUAACAGAAUAUGUAUUUUAAACACAAUCAAUGGAACUCAUAUUUCGUUUGUUUAGCUAUCAUUUAUUUUGUUACUUAGGUUGAAUAUUUACAUUUGAAUAGAGUAUUGAUAUCCGGACUUCAUAUGUUUUUGAAAAUUUUAUAAUUUUGGUAAAAUUUUGCAGUGCAAAUUACAAAAUGCCGAACCUGACCUUACAACUACUUCAAUAUAUUUUGACGCCGAUAGAUAUGGAGGAAACAUUGAGAUGUGUGAGAAGGUUCAUUAAAUAAUGUUUAAAAUUUAUGCAUUUUUCUUGGGUUUUAAACUAAUUUUUAUUAAGAAAUUGGCUUCCUAAACUAUACAUGUUCUUGCAGAUAUUUGUGCCAAUAAAUGAAGAUAAUCAACAUUAGUAUUGCACACUAGUUGACUUAAAAUUUUUCUGGUUCCGUCCGUGAGUUGAAGUAAGACAGAGAGAAGCUGUGAGCGAGCUUCACCCUUCUGCACUUCUGUUCUACCAGCUGCAAUCAAGUUUCCAGCCGCAACAACCACCAUCUCCACCGACAACCACAGCCACACCAACCCAAAACAGAAAACCUGUCGCGUGCUUGUGAGCCGAGAGGAGGAAAACAUUUUCCAGAUUUUCGUGUGAAAGCUUGACUAGUUGUGAGGUAAUUUAUGGAUCAUUUUUAGGAUAAAUCUGAGGUAAUUUGAGUUAUCUAGUAACAUGCAUGUGAUGUUAGAGCAGUCGGAUGUUGAAUUGAAUCAUUAGAAAAUUCUGUUUUGAAUAUUGAGGUACCAUCCGAAAGCUGAGAUGAUAAUGCACUCUAUUUCUGAAUUCCUGUGAUGACUUGAGCACUUAAGUGGAUUUAGCCAAAUGAAAAUGUGAUGAUUUCCACCAUGCAUGUUGAUUUGUACCUUCGGAUGGCAUAGUGAAAGCCUGCAGAAAUUCUGGUUAGAUAUAAAGCUCCUGCCGUGAGCUUGAUGCACUUGUUUUAUUUUGGCUGCUGAAUGGGUCUGAAUUUGGACAAUCUGAGCAUGAAAGAUGUUUAUCUAACUGGAUUUUGGAUGAUUAUCAGGAUUAGAGUCUUGCAUGUGUUAAAUUUCGCAAUCAAAUGGUGAAAACAAAGCUGUGGAAAAUUCUGUCUUGGCUAGAAAAUUUUGCCGUGAGCUUGCUUGGAGUAGUGCAGCUUAAAUUGGUUUUGAUUUUUGUAAUUUGGGCUUAUAAUCAUAAAUAUGCAGCUAAUAAUGAGUACUUAGGCCCUGCAUGUAGCCAAUCAGUUUGAUAAAACAGAGGAAUAAAAAUUCAAAAGUGCAAUCUGCCUUAAGGCAAGAUCAUCCGGACCAAACAGAAAAAUUUCUGGAAAUUUUGAUGGUUAUGGAUAUUAUUUGAACUUGAUUUCUGAGCUGGAAAUAUUCAUAUGCUAGCUUGAUACGUGCAUAAGGAAUUUAAGAGUUUAUAAGCAUGUCCAAACCAGAAAAUGAAAUGAAAAUAGAAAGCUCUUAACACAAUGAUUCAACCGAGGUAAAUUCGGAUUUAAGACCAACCAAGUGCUGGAAAAUUUAUGUGACUUGCCAAGGGAGUGAAACCAGAAUUUGCAGUUGUUUCUGGAAUUUUUCAUUAGCAAAUAAUGCUUGGAAAUGCAUGAAAAAUGUUGUUUUAAGUCUUGUAUGACAUUCAGUAGUAAACCAUUUGAAUUGUGGGCAGAUUUGGCCAAAAUUGUUGACACAUAGCUGCGGCAAUGUUGUAAUUAGAAAAUGCAGAAGUUUGCGACUUGUUUUCCUGAUUUGUUUGGGUCAGAGUUUAGUGUGAAUGUAGAUCAUUUCUGAUGUAUUUUGAAACUGAAAGUUUGUUGGAAACUCAUGGUAUGAAUUGCUGAAGUCACCAAGUUAUUUAAAAGUUCCUCCUUUCAAAAACACAGCAAGCAAAAGCUGCUGCAUUUUUUCGGUCUUUUCCCUGCCGCAUUUCCUUUCCUUUGGUUGCUGGUUAAGUUUUGCCCUUCAGUUUCAUGUUUGAUCUUGUGUUGGAGGGAAUCAAUGGAAGGUUGGGUGUUGAGUUUGAGUGUUUAAACAUCUAAAAUAUUUGAGCUGGAAAGUGGAUUUCAGAUUGCCAAAGUAUUCUACAUGAAUGUCUGUCCAGAUUUUCUGUAAUGCAUUAGCUCCUUCAUUGUUCUUGUUUGUUUGGAGUUGAGUUAAGCAGCUUGUUGUUUAGUUAGAGUUAAGAUGCUGGUUUGAGAAAUAUCUAAUCAAAGCUUUGUAUUUGAAUUAAAAAUCUGGUUUGCAUGAUGAAAAGAAAUGCCGUGGCUGAAAAAUUGUAGAAUGCUGCAGAGAAAAUUUUCCAGAUUUGCAUGCUCUCUUUCCUUGAAUUGUUGUGUUUACACAUAAGAGUUUUAUGAUUAAAAAGUAGAAAGAAUGUUUGGUAAUCUUGUCCAAACCUUUGUUGCCUAAGUUGUUCCUUGCGUUUGAACUGCAUCAGAAACCCUGAAAGUUGCAAUAAAAGAAAAACGCAGCAUAGCUUCAGCUGAGUUGCAUGAGUUUUUGGGGGUGUUUUCUGUUUUUUUUUUUUUUUUUUUUUUUUUUUUUUUUUUUUUGCAUGUUCAGCUGUGUGUGUUGUGUUAAUCAAAGUGUUUAGUUGUUAAAUGGUGAUUGAGUGAGGGUCUUUGGUGGCUUUUGUUUGAAGUUUUCUAUGAAACCUGCAGUUGAGAGUUUAAAGUUGUAAAAAGGAAAAAUUCUGGAUGAAUGUUGCAGCAGAAAAUUUGCUUCAUCAUUUUUGCAGGCUCUUUUUGUUUGAUUGAUUGUUUUGUUGCAUUAUAAAGUGGGUAGAUCAAUUGGUGUUUUGUUAUUUUGUGCGAACUGCAUUUGUUUUGGUCUAAAAGCCUAAGGAAGUUCACAAAUUAUGAAGAAGUGCAGCUGGUUUGGCAUUGCAGAAAUUGUUUGUUGCAGAAAUUCUUCUUCUACGUGAUUUGCAUGCAUGGAACUUUCAAAAAUUUGCACUUUGGCCCCAAGUCUCUCCUUGUUCUACUAGAACCCAAUCAAUUAAUAAUUUCAUCAAUUUGGUCCUUGGCAAUUUUAAUUUGUGCAACUUCAUGGCUUGUUUUGUUUCAAUUAACUACCAUGUUUUGUCAAUUGCACUUAAGUCAUGACUUUAGGGGUUUCAUGACCGAAUGAGCUCGUGUUUGCCUAUUUUUUAAUUUCCCUAAAUAAAUUGGUUGUUUGACCUUUUCUUGCUCUUGAGACCUUUGGAGUGCUUAAAUGUUUCGAUUGAAUUCGAAUCGUUGACUAAGGUUUGCAAUUGGGUCUUUAAUUGGUAAUUGGGUCCUUGGUGGGUCCUUUUUCUGAAACUUAUGCAUUAUUUGAUUUCAUUUAAAUUGCAAUUAGGAGAGAUUUGGUGACUUUGUUAUACUUUACUAUUUGAGGUACCUUGACUUUUUUAUUGUUUUGAAGCCAUUUUUCUUUCAUUUGGACACCAUUCAAAGGGGCGGUAUAAUUUCUUUUAUCCCUUUUGUUUCUCUCCUAUGUGACCCAACGUGUUAAGUGAAUUGCAUGCCUACUUUGCUUUCCUAGUUUUUUCUCAAUUCCUUUUACUUAUGUCAUUUACUUUCAUUUUCAUGAAGUUAUUCUUUAAUGGGGUAUGUGUACACCUCUUGGCUUGUAAUAGAUAGAGCUUUGGCGAGCAAUUUGGUCCAUUUUCCCCUUCCCCUUUUGUUUUAAUUAGUGAAUGUAAUAAGUUCAUUAGUUUGGUUGCAUGCCUUUGUGUUACGUGUUACUUGCUUUAUUAGGUUUUGCAUCUAGUCGAGCAUGUUAAGUGUUACGUGCUACGUGUUUAUGAGCGUUUGGCAUGUCUACUAGCUUUCUGUAGUGUAGAUGAAUGGAAUGGAUGAAUGUACGUUUCCACUAGUCCAAUGCUAGUCGGAAUUCAUAGAAUGGGCUAGUCCAACGCUAGACCCUUAGGGAUUUCCCCUCGUUAGUACAUGUUUGCAUGUUCAUUACAUGUCAUGCAUUUCUUUUUAGUUUUAUCAUUUUGCAUGCCCCUCGACCCCCUUUUCCCUCCAUUUUAGGAUUUUUGCAUUUCAUGCUAGUUAUAGGGUUCAUUUGCUUGAGAGUCCCUUAAAUAUGGAUAUAGAUGAGUGUGGCUUUUUCUAAGCCUUAGCACGCUUGUAUUCCCUCUAUAAAAGGGCAAAUUGAGUCACGAUUUAGGUCUCCCCGUACCCAAUAUGCAUGAAUUCCCUAGGCUCAUGCAUUUUCAAAUCCACUUUACCAUUUUAUACCCUCAUCACACUUUCAUUUUUCCUCCCAUUUUGCACACGUGCACCUUUAUGUUUCUUCACUUGCACACGAACACUUUUAAUCACUUGCACACAUGCACUUCAUAUUAUCAUUUCACAUACCAUACCUUGCCGCUCACGUGCACAUUUUCAUUUACAUAUUUAUUGUUUUUUAUUACUUUUUCAAACUCAUGUCCUCACAUUGCAUACAUGCAUUUCAUUCAUUUGCAUCACUCGCAUUAUUCGUGACCUCUCCAAAGGGUCAUUAUUGGGCUUCACAAUUAAUGUGAUUGGCACCAUUCAACCUUUGAAGAGAAAUUUUCCCCAAUACCCUAGGUCUAGGUUUGCAUUCAUAUAGUACAUCCAAAUGUAAUAAAUUUUUUGGUUAAAACAAGAAAAUAUUUGAUUAAAUCACGCAACUAGCCUUGGCUAGGUCGAAGGGGUGCCUUGGAUUUUUAUCCUUGCCUUCCCCUUCUCAAAUGUGACUCCCGAACCUUUUUUCGUUGGCUUACGUGGACUAGGAGUCGUUUUAAAAAGGGUUUUACUACUUUGUCUUUAAAAAACACUUUUUGGGUGACUUGGUACACCCCAAAUCUAUACCAAGUGGCGACUCCGUUUUCAUAUUUAAAAACCCCUUUUUAAAAUUUCAAUUGGCCAAAUCGUCGCUUUCCAAAGUCCCAUGGCCUUUUACUUUUCAUUUUGCACACGUUCACACCACACUUCACACACACAUCACUCACACAAUUCACACAUUCAAAAGUGGGGCGCGACAGUUGGCGACUCCACUGGGGACAUUCGAGAGUCCGAGCAAAUUUGAUUUAAUCAAUCUUUUUCUUCUUUUAACCUUUUCAUAUAUUACAUUUGGGUGUUUUAGGGUUGCAUUUUUCUUUUUUAGGAUUUUGCAUUUCACGCGUGUCCAACUAAUCCCCUCGACUCAUGAAUGUAUGUUUGAAUGAAUGUUUACUUGUUAUCUCGCGCUUGCAUUGCAUUUUGGGAGGUAUGGGUCACCCUAGAGAGCCUCGCAUUGGUUCUUGACCCUUCCCCUCCAAACGAGCACUAGCAUACGAGCAUACGCUUUACUUCUUUUAUCCCUUUUAUUUUUCUUUAGUGGCUUGUCACGCCACUCCACCCUAUUAGGAUUAGGUGACUCACUUGGCCAUGUGAUCACGACACGAUGUGUGUGUAGCAUGUUCCAAUGGGUCACUCAAUCUUCCGCUUAAAGCUAUUGGUUGAUAGCCUUUAGCUUUUUGUCGAAGGUUGAGGAUUUUGAUAGAUUCACUCAAACGUAGCCGUGACACGAUGUGUGCGUAGCGGUGUUUGGGGAAUCGCUCGAGCCACCGACAAAGAACCUUGGAUUGAUGACCCUUGGUUUCUAAGUCUGAAUGCUCGGGGCCUGAGCUUAUCGAGUCUAGAUGCAUUAGCGAAGCCCCAACCUCAUGCAUCCAUAUUAGAAUUGCCUAGGGUAGAGUCGGCCUUAUCCUGAGCUAGGACACUAUUCACGAGGGGAGGGGUCCAACCCCUUUUUCCCUUUUAUUGCUUUAUUUCUUUGUAUUGAUUUCGUUGCUACAAUGUGUUAUGUGUAUUUAUCUGGCUGAACUAACUUUUCUUGGUUUUAUGUCCCCAUUGCAUUCACAAACCCUAUCAAAUAAGAGGUCUGGCAUGACUUCUUUUAGAACCUACUCUUGUAGAUAGGUUAUUGCACGUUUAAAGAUUUUGGUAUAUUGCAUUCGUAGAUUAAUGAUUGCAUAUCAUUCUAGGCCUACCCUGGCAAAUAAAGGGUUCCUUAGGUCACGUUUCAUUUCGAAUUGCACAUUUACCGCUUUAAUAAAUGGCAUCAUGCAUAAACCCUAGAAAGGGAAUGCCACUUAGGGAAUCCCGUGUUAGGAAUAAACCACCUUGUGUCUCGGAUACUUAAUCCAGUGAGACUUGCACGUUUACAUUUUGUACCAUCCAAAGGGGUAGUGCACAAGGUAAGGUAGGAUCCGAUCAUUUUCAUAGAGUGAUCUUUGGAAUAUGAGCAUCUAAUAAUCACUUUUUGGCCCUUUUAUCAAAAAUUGGUAAAAAUCCCUUGCGUGAAGGACAUUAAUUUGAAGAAAUUCACAAAUGAUUCCUCCUUUGAGACGAUAAAUAAAUUAAGACCAAAAUUUGAUUUUUAGAAGGUCAUAGACUAAUGCACUCAAUGAUUUUUGAAAUAACCAAUGGCGGGCAAUUCAACCAAUCCAUUUUGCCGAUUCAUUCAAUAAAUUGUCAAUUCAUUUGACCAAUUUACCCUUUUUAGGGUCGUCCUGGUCCGAUUUUGAAUAAAUCAUCAAUUCAUUUGACCAAUUUACCCUUUUUAGGGUCACCUGGUCGAUUUUGAAUAAAUUGUCAAUUUAUUUGAUCAAUUUACCCUUUUUAGGGUUAUUUGACCAAUCUACCCUUUUUAGGGUCAUCCGGUCGAUUUUGAAUAAAUCGUCAAUUCAUUUGACCAAUUUACCCUUUUUAGGGUCAUUCGACCAAUUUUUGAAUAAAUCACUAAUUCAAUUUCAUUCAUUUUGCCAAUUUACCCAUUUUUAGGGCAACCGAGCCGAUUUUGAAUAAAUCAAGUUUCGUUCAAUCUAUUUGAUCAAUUUACCCUUUUUAGGGUGAUCUGAUUAAUUUUGGAUAAAUUAAAUUUCAUUCAAUUCAUUUGACAUGUUCCCCUUUUUAGGGUAAUCUGGUCGAUUUUAAAUAAAUGAUCAAUUUCAUUCAACCCAUUUGACCAAUUAAGGUUUCAAGAUCGAAUUUCAAAUUGGGAAACCUAGUCGGUUUUAAGAAAACCGUCCACUGCAUCCAGCCAUUUGAUCAGUUGGGGUUUUGACCCGCGCUUUACUGAGGAAAUUUUGUCAAACGAAUUCCGGUCUCUUCGAUAGGAAGUUUGUCAAGGUCAAACCUGUGCGUUUUUACAAAUUCUUGUAUCGAUCAAAAGUGAUCAAUCCAUUCGGACGUUGACCUCAUUUUGACAAAGUGUCUCUCGUCACUCCAAUUGGCCAAAAUUUUCAAAUCAUUCUUCACACGAUCAGUCGAUCGGAUCCAUCAGGUAUUGUAUAGUGCCUGCUCUGGAGGACUGCAUUUUCAUGCUAGGCCUACCCUUGGCACAAAAAGGGUUCCCCCAUAGGACAUGCAUCCGAAUUUUCUGAAUAUCUACUAACUCUUGUUUUUUUUCUUUUCUUUUUCUUUGUUUUUAUUGGAAUAACUAAGUGAGGGUUGAAUCUAAAGGCAAUUUUUUUAAAAAAUUUUCAGGUAAUAUUUAAACUUAGCUUUUCGUCGAAACCCCAUCAUAACGCGAUCCCGUAGUCAAGUCCAAAGGAAUCGUGUAAACAUGAGUUCACAACCAGAACAGUCAGAUAGGUCUGCUACUACCGCUCAACCCGAGACUGCAAGUUUGGGGAUUCAGUUGACUGAGAUGCUUACCAAGUUCGGAGAGAUGGCGUCUGAGAUGGCCGCUCAAAGGAAGUUGGAUGAUGAGCUAAUUAGCAGCGGAGUUCAACCUGAACCUGUACCCGCCAGACAGCCUGAGCAAGAGACAUUUGUCCUACCUUCGGCCCGCCACGCCACUGUUACUCCCAUCAUUCCCUAUUGCACCCGAAGAAACUUUCACCUGUCCCACCACAAAUUUGCCAUACACUUACCCUCCUCAUCCUUCAUUUUUUCUUACUCACAUGCGAGGUCCACAACCCCAAAUCACUUCAAAUAUACCCACGUGAGCCACAUACCUUUUAUUACCUGCUCUGCUGCUGAGCCAUUCUUGCCGGACCAUACUUUUCAAACCAAGCCAGAAAUGGGGGAAUCUUCCGCUCCCGUUGAUAUGAAGCUGCUUAAGCGCCUUGAUCGUUUUGAUGAAUUUAUAAGGAAGAGUCAGGGGUUGAACAAGCAAGGAGUCCUGGAUUACGAUGAGCUUUGCCUUUUCCCGAAUGUGCAAUUACCUGAGGGGUUCAAGACCCCAAAAUUCAACAAGUAUGAUGGAACGGGCAAUCCCAAGACACACCUCCGAUUGUUCGCCAAUAAGUUGGGUAGGCCAACAGAUGAUGAAAAUCUGCCUUUGAGGCUAUUCCCAGAAAGUCUGGAGGGGGAUGCACUCGACUGGUAUUCCAAGCUGAAACCUGAAGAAGCAAAGACCUGGCUGGACCUGUCCAAUGCGUUUGUAAAGCAGUACGAGUAUAAUUGCGAGCUGGCUCCAACACGAACCACGUUGGAAGGGACAAAGAGGAAGUCAUCUGAAGAUCACAAGACUUAUGCCAAGAGGUGGAGGAAAAUAGCUGCACAAGUCGAGCCACCAAUGACGGAGGACGAAAUCAUACGCACUUUCAUUAAGGCACAGGAUCCUCCAUAUUUCGAAGAAAUUUUUCGCAUGACUGGAUGCUCGUUCGCUGCUAUUGUCAAUAAACUUGAGGAGUACGAUGACUUCGUGAAAGCUGGGAAGAUUGUUAAUGUCUCUACCCUCAAGUCACAGUUGGAUGCUUUGCAUGGUCAGGAAACUAGUGGGAAGAGCCCGCAAUUCCAAAAGAAAGAGGGGGAAACUGCCUUCACAUGGAAUCAAAACCCUGUCCCAAGACCCAGACCUCGACAAUACCCUACCUACUCAAACCCUUACCCCUACUACUCAAAUCCUCGUCCUGUUUACCACACCAAUAUCACCCAUCCUCGGCCUCGCCCAAAUUAUGCCAACCCGCGCCUACAACUCCUUUCCAAAUAUUUCAACCAAGCUUUCAACAAACUCGUCCUCGACCCACCUUACCACCCAAGAUUUUCCCCACCAAAUAGACCCACCUACAACUAUCCCGACCCACUGAAACCUACAAUCAAAGCCGUACCCGAACCUUCGCCAACCUAGGCAGGCCUUUGGACCAAUUGUAUGAGCAAUUGAAGGCUGUCAACAAAAUAGGCGUGAUUCCCCCUCCAACUUACCUUCAUGGCAUGCCUGCUGGGUACAAUCCACAUGCUAUUUGUGCCUAUCAUUCGGGAGUACCUGGUCACUCAACCGUCGAUUGCAGGGCACUCAAGCACAAAGUCCAAGACAUGAUCGAGGCAGGGGAAAUAAUGCUAAGGAAAAGAGGUGAACAAGGGCCGAGCAUAAGUACAAAUCCUUUCCCUGAACACAAGGACACCUUCGAAGCAUCCACCUCCAAUGACGAAAUUUGAAAAUCCUGAAGGAACUUUGCAUAAUUUGAAUGGCCGAGUAUCUUCCCUCUCGAAGGGAAUUUCGGUAAAUCUAGGGUUGUUAUUUACUAAGGUUCACGAAAACCAUUUCUUGCAUAUGUGAAUAGCUUAAUGAAAACAUCUUUUGCAACUAAGUUUUUGUCUUGUUUCCGUUUUGACCAGUUUUUCCAUCAAAUGCAUAAUUUGUUUUUUCUGUUUAUUUGAUUAUUGUCCCGAAUUUUUAAUUCUUUUAGAUGGCCAAAGAUGGAAUUAUUUGACCAUUUGAAUAUCACUGUUCUGGAUUCCGAUAAUACCAUUCAUUCAAAAAUUUCUUCGUGAAAAAUUCCUUUGUUGAAAAGGGCAAAAAUUCCUUUGUUGAAAAGGCCAAAAAUCCCUUCGUUUGAAAAGGCCACAAAUCCCUUCGUUUGAAAAGGCCACAAAUCCCUUCGUUGAAGAAUCCCUUCUUUGAGAAGGACAAAAAUCUAUUCUUUGAGAGACCCCUUCGUGAAAAAUCCCUUCAUUGAGAAAGUCUUCAUUGAGAAAUUCCUUCAUUGAGGAAGCCUUCAUUGAAAAAUCUCUUCAUUGAGAAAAUCCCUUCCUUGCCAAGUUCGAAGCUGAUUGAUUAAAGCAGCGUCACCGACAAUUGAUUUUGAUGGAUGAAAAGCAGCUGAACGCUAUGUGCCAUGGCCAAUGUUAUCAAAGUGCGUGGCCUGUGUUCAUAACAAAAAGGUCCGCCUCCGAGCCUUUAGAGAAGGAGGACAAAGAGUUAAAGCGAGUUUUGCCAAUGCAAGAUGAAGUCAAAGACGAAUUUGAUCUAAACUGGUAAGAAUAUUUGUCAUUCAAAAGGUGCCACCGAGUGGAGCACUUAUCCCUGAAGAGAUGGAUGGGCAAACAUUCUCUCAACCUAUCAAAUCAGACAUGUGUAAGAAGUCUUUAUUUUUGAUUAUGCAAAUUUCUUUUGGAAAUCAUGCAAGGGACGAGGUAAAAGUCAAGCCAUCUUCCUUUUCAAUCAAAACAUUUCAUCCCUAGUUAUCCCUUUUGAGCCAUCAGAGCAGUAAUUUUCGUUUGGCAGCCCCUGAGAGUUGCAAACCCCACACUGGGCCAAGUUAUUUUGGAAAAGAGAUGAUCAAAAGAAAAGAAAACCCUACACUGGGGCAAAUUUAUUUUGAAAGAGAAAGAAAAAGCAGAAAACCCUACACUGGGGCAAAUCUUUGAAAAAGUUCAAAAGAAUGGCAAAAGGCCAAAAGACAAAUCAAAAAAAAAAAAAAAAGAUGAAAAGGAAAAGAGAACCCCAUACUGGGGCAAAUUUAGCUUUGAAGAAAAAUGCAAAAAGUGAGGAAGAUACAAUGGAAAAAGCAAAGAGAGAAAAUUCAAUCAAACUGGGGCAAAUUUCCCUCAGUUUCGUUCGAAAUUGAAGAUGAUUUCAAAUGAUGCAAUCUCAGGUUAUUUCACCUCUCAUAAGAGCAAAUUGUUUUCAAGCCUUAACUUUUCUUGACAUAUCCCACCUGACUCCAUUACAAAAGCCCAAAGUCCUGACUUUCGUCACUUGCUAUAUUUCUAUUGGAAAGUUUGCUAAUCAACUGACAAGUGAUGUCCAUAAUGCCUUCGCUUAAUCUUACAAGGGAAGUGCAUUUUACUGAUGUCAGAAAUCUUUAACUCAUACUUCUGAGGCGAUUAUGGUUGAGCUCUUCCAUUGCUUUCUUACGUAAAAACCCGAAAGGGCACCUCAAAAAGAAAAAAAAAAGGAAAAAAGAAAAAAAGAAAAAAGAGAAAAGACAAAACAAAAAAAAAAAAGGGGGUGGGGCAACCUUGAUGAAAACCCGAAAGGGCGCUAGGUAGGUUUCUUCAAUGAGCAAACACGAGGAAGAACAGUUGAUGACUUGGUUCAUUUGGAAUUUCUCUUCAUAAUACUUCUGCCAGUGUCGAAUUGCAGAACAAAGAUAUUCAGGAACUCGAAUAUGACAUCCGUUGGCCAAAACUGUGUCGUUUUGUAAAAAUAUUUCUUUAGCAAAUUCAUUCUUAGGAAGCUCAUUUUUUUCUCAAUUGCUUGUAUUCAUGGCAUUUUUGUAGGCUUUAAGCACAAAUGGUUUGUGUUUGCAUUCUUUCACAUAUUCAUUUCUGCAUGAUAGGUGAAAUUACUUUUUAAUCAUCGAAUUUUGGUGAAUGAUAACCCCAUGGUUUAUUCAAAGCAUACUUGGGUUCAGUCAUCUUGCGAAAAUGGUUGAAAUUCAGCAAGGUCGGUUACGCAAGCUUCACAAUAUGGCAAAAUGCACGCUCGGCUAGUCGGGAAAAAUCAGAGACGUUUAGAAAUGACAAAUCCAACCAAGUCAGAUGCCACGGUCAACUUUGACGAAGGCAUCCAAAGACUCAUGUUUACACGAUUCUCAAGGACAAACGGAUCAAAUAAGGGUGGCAAUUCCUUUGUUUUUUCUCUUUUGCAGGAAAUUUCAUGCAUGGAUGAAAACAAUCACACCUCGCACUGAAAUCGGUGUCGGAAAGAGUCCUCCGGUGAACAAAGGCAGAUUGAAAAUGUCGCAAGCAAAUUUCAUCAAAAAAUGCAACAGCAUGGCGAUACAGAAUCAACUCUGGACUCAAAUAGCAAAAAUUCAUCAUACUGGGGCAAAUUAAUUUUUUGUAAAGAUUUUGAAAAGUCAAAAAGAAAGUCAAAAAGAAGCAAAAAUCAUCAAUCAAAAACAAAAAUCGAAUCAAAUUUCGUCACGGCAGGAUCGGGCUUAAUCCACUGACCGACGAUCAAAGCAUUCGGGUCAGUCCCUCGAUCAAAAGCUCAUUCGGGUCAGUCCCUCGAUCAAAACAUUUUCGGGUAAGCUCAUUCGGUCAGUCCCUCGAUCAAAAGCAUUCGGGUCAGUCCCUCGAUCAAAAGCUCAUUCGGUCAGUCCUCGAUCAAAAACAUUUUCGGGUAAGCUCAUUCGGGUCAGUCCCUCGAUCAAAAGCAUUUUCGGGUCAGUCCCUCGAUCAAAAGCUCAUUCGGGUCAGUCCCUCAUCAAAAGUAUUUUCGGGUCAGUCCCUCGAUCAAAAGCAUUUUCGGGUCAGUCCCUCGAUCAAAAGCUAUUCGGGUCAGUCCCGAUCAAAAACAUUUUCGGUCAGUCCCUCGAUCAAAAAACAUUUUCGGGUCAGUCCCUCGAUCAAAAGCUCAUUCGGGUCAGCCCCUCGAUCAAAAACAUUUUCGGGUCAGUCCCUCGAUCAAAAGCAUUUUCGGGUCAGUCCUCGAUCAAAAGCUCAUUCGGGUCAGUCUCGAAAAACAUUUCGGGUCAGUCCUCGAUCAAAAGCAUUUUCGGGUCAGUCCCUCGAUCAAAAGCUCAUUCGGGUCAGUCCCUCGAUCAAAAGCAUUUUCGGGUCAGCUCGAUCAAAAGCUCAUUCGGGUCAGUCCUCGAUCAAAAGCUCAUUCGGGUCAGUCCCACGAUUCAAAAGCUCAUUCGGGUCAGUCCCGCGAUUAAAGCUUGUUCGGCGCAGUCCCAUGAUUUGAAUUUCCUUCUCUAGUCAGUCCCAAUUUUAAAUUUCUGCUGGGUCAGUCCGUUUUAAUUUCCUGUUUGGGUCAAUUCCAUUUUAAAAAAAAAAAAAAAAAUGUUAAAGAGGUCGAUCCUCAUUUCAGAAGCGUCCAUUGCAGCCGAAUAACACAGGUAAGUAUUUGGUGUCUAUUUCUUUGUCUCAAGUUUUUUCAAAACUCAGACAAAGAGGGGCAAACUGUAGACACAAAUUUUGGUGUAAUUUCAUUUGCUGUUUAUUUUUAAUUUUUUCAUUUUAGUUUUAUUCGAUUUUUAGUUUUAGUUUCUAGUUUUAUUUUUAUUUUUAAGCUGUUAGCAUAGAAUCUCUUGAAAAUGAAUGAAAAUGAGAAAAGUGAAAAGAAAAGAGGAGAGAAAAGAAAAAAAAAGAAAAUUGCCCACAAAAUAUGUUUUAUGUCUUCUAAAUUCAAUCUUUUGGCAUUUUGUUUAUUUUUGUUAAGUUAUAUUUGAAAAAAAAAAAAAAGAAAAAAAAGAGAAAAACGAUGAAAAUAGGAAAUGGAAAAGAAAUGGAAAUUGCACUUUAUUGUUCUAGUUUAUUUUUCAUCAAAUGUUAAUUAUUUUGUUUUGGUUAUUUCUUCUUAUUAUUAUCAAUUUUGUUUGUUUCAAAAAAAAAAAAAUCAAAAAAUCAAAAAAUCAAAAAUCAAAAAAUCACAAUUCUAUUUCUGCCGAAUCCAUUUCCAUUUUACAUUCCAGCACCUUCCAUCUCUAUGCCGACUUAUAACCACUAAUGCACUCCACUAUAUCACACACUAGUAUAUCAACUACCAUCCACCACAAUAUAUUUCUUUUCAAUGGCUUUUCAGCCGUGAGUGAGCAAGGCUUCCUGGGCCAACUUUAAAAAAAAACAUCUCCAAUUCUGCCGGAUGACAUCUGAGUCUCCACUCACACCCAUUUCCCUUCAUUCGUGACUUGUUUCCCAUUUGAGGAACUCCAACAUUCCAAAACACUUCCUCUCCAGCCUCUGCCUUGGGACCAUCGACAGAAAGUGCGAGAGAGAGAGAGCGGCAACCGUGCAUCCGAGAGGGAAGAAAAGGAUCCGCGAGCGGCAAAAAUUUUUCUGGUUCCGUCCGUGAGUUGAAGUAAGACAGAGAGAAGCUGUGAGCGAGCUUCACCUUCUGCACUUCUGUUCUACCAGCUGCAAUCAAGUUUCCAGCCGCAACAACCACCAUCUCCACCGACAACCACAGCCACACCAACCCAAAACAGAAAACCUGUCGCGUGCUUGUGAGCCGAGAGGAGGAAAACAUUUUCCAGAUGUUCGUGUGAAAGCUUGACUAGUUGUGAGGUAAUUUAUGGCAUUUUUAGGAUAAAUCUGAGGUAAUUUGAGUUAUCUAGUAACAUGCAUGUGAUGUUAGAGCAGUCGGAUGUUGAAUUGAAUCAUUAGAAAAUUCUGUUUUGAAUAUUGAGGUACCAUCCGAAAGCUGAGAUGAUAAUGCACUCUAUUUCUGAAUUCCUGUGAUGACUUGAGCACUUAAGUGGAUUUAGCCAAAUGAAAAUGUGAUGAUUUCCACCAUGCAUGUUGAUUUGUACCUUCGGAUGGCAUAGUGAAAGCCUGCAGAAAUUCUGGUUAGAUAUAAAGCUCCUGCCGUGAGCUUGAUGCACUUGUUUUAUUUUGGCUGCUGAAUGGGUCUGAAUUUGGACAAUCUGAGCAUGAAAGAUGUUUAUCUAACUGGAUUUUGGAUGAUUAUCAGGAUUAGAGUCUUGCAUGUGUUAAAUUUCGCAAUCAAAUGGUGAAAACAAAGCUGUGGAAAAUUCUGUCUUGGCUAGAAAAUUUUGCCGUGAGCUUGCUUGGAGUAGUGCAGCUUAAAUUGGUUUUGAUUUUUGUAAUUUGGGCUUAUAAUCAUAAAUAUGCAGCUAAUAAUGAGUACUUAGGCCCUGCAUGUAGCCAAUCAGUUUGAUAAAACAGAGGAAUAAAAAUUCAAAAGUGCAAUCUGCCUUAAGGCAAGAUCAUCCGGACCAAACAGAAAAAUUUCUGGAAAUUUUGAUGGUUAUGGAUAUUAUUUGAACUUGAUUUCUGAGCUGGAAAUAUUCAUAUGCUAGCUUGAUACGUGCAUAAGGAAUUUAAGAGUUUAUAAGCAUGUCCAAACCAGAAAAUGAAAUGAAAAUAGAAAGCUCUUAACACAAUGAUUCAACGAGGUAAAUUCGGAUUUAAGACCAACCAAGUGCUGGAAAAUUUAUGUGACUUGCCAAGGGAGUGAAACCAGAAUUUGCAGUUGUUUCUGGAAUUUUUCAUUAGCAAAUAAUGCUUGGAAAUGCAUGAAAAAUGUUGUUUUAAGUCUUGUAUGACAUUCAGUAGUAAACCAUUUGAAUUGUGGGCAGAUUUGGCCAAAAUUGUUGACACAUAGCUGCGGCAAUGUUGUAAUUAGAAAAUGCAGAAGUUUGCGACUUGUUUUCCUGAUUUGUUUGGGUCAGAGUUUAGUGUGAAUGUAGAUCAUUUCUGAUGUAUUUUGAAACUGAAAGUUUGUUGGAAACUCAUGGUAUGAAUUGCUGAAGUCACCAAGUUAUUUAAAAGUUCCUCCUUUCAAAACACAGCAAGCAAAAGCUGCUGCAUUUUUUCGGUCUUUUCCCUGCCGCAUUUCCUUUCCUUUGGUUGCUGGUUAAGUUUUGCCCUUCAGUUUCAUGUUUGAUCUUGUGUUGGAGGGAAUCAAUGGAAGGUUGGGUGUUGAGUUUGAGUGUUUAAACAUCUAAAAUAUUUGAGCUGGAAAGUGGAUUUCAGAUUGCCAAAGUAUUCUACAUGAAUGUCUGUCCAGAUUUUCUGUAAUGCAUUAGCUCCUUCAUUGUUCUUGUUUGUUUGGAGUUGAGUUAAGCAGCUUGUUGUUUAGUUAGAGUUAAGAUGCUGGUUUGAGAAAUAUCUAAUCAAAGCUUUGUAUUUGAAUUAAAGUUGCCGGGGAGCGGUAAUAUUAGGGCCUAAUCAUCUCUAUUAAUUUAGAUAUUUUUCAUUGUUUUUAUUCAAGUUGUUGAAUUUAAACUGUAAAAUUUCUCUUGUUUUUGUUUGUAGUGUUUGCACCGGGCGUCUCGAGAAGUUGCACUUUUCGAUCCAGAAAUUGAGAGGACACUACAUAGACAAAGGAGGAACACACUACAGCAAGAGGAACAAGAGAUUUGGCAACCAAUAGAGGAAAUCUUAAUAGAGCUUCCAUUUGAAGAAGAAAUGGCAGAAAACGAAACAAAUGGGCGAGUUCUACGAGAUUUUGCUCUACCGGAAACACAAGAAUCUCAAACGAGCAUAGCAAGGCCUUCGGUAAAUGCUAACAACUUUGAGAUUAAACUAUCACUUAUCCAAAUGGUUCAACAAUCUCAAUUUGGAGGUAAUGCAGUAGAAGAUCCUAAUACACACUUAGCUACAUUCUUGGAAAUUUGUGAUACAAUUAAAAUGAAUGGAGUUAGUGAUGAUGCUAUAAGGCUAAGAUUGUUCCCAUUUUCAUUGAGAGAUAAGGCCAAACUUUGGCUACACUCUCACGCUCCUAAUACUUUCACCGGAUGGGAUGAUUUAUCAAGAGCAUUCUUAAAUAAGUAUUUUUCACCAGGUAAGACUGCUAAGCUUAGAAUGGAUAUCACUAGUUUUAGUCAAUUAGAAGGUGAAUCAUUAUAUGAGGAAUGGGAAAGGUUUAGAGAUUUGCUUCGGAAAUGUCCACAUCAUGGACUGCCGGAGUGGUUAAUCAUACAAACCUUCUAUAAUGGUUUAGUUCCAAUGAUACGAUUGAAUUCCCAGGCAAAGGUUUCCACUUUGGUCCACACUUUUUCUUUGUUACAAUUGAAUAAAUUUUCUCACUUCAAAAUUUUCAUCUUUAGUUCACACUUUCCCUCUAUUCUUUCUCAUCGUUCGGUUGGGUUUGAGUGCUGCCAUAUGCAGACACAACAAAAGAAUUAGCGACGGUGGUAGCCAGCCAAAGAGCAUAUGAAAAAUAGCAGUGACGAGGUUAGAUCAUCAAGUUCUCUUGAAAUCGUUUGAUUAUAUUGCUGUAAUUUAUUUAUAUUUCAUUUGUUUUGUUUGUCAAGAUUUUCUUGGGUAAUCAAGGCUAAGAAUUUGAAGAUUUUAGUGCAAUUUUGGGGCCGAAAAUGUCCGUUGAAACAUCAAGGAAAUGGUUGUAGUUUUGAUUGUCUACGGGUAAAAUAUGCUUAAUAGCCAUGUGAAACAUCUAGGAAUAGACUUAAGAUCAGGCGUUUAAGUUAAAUGUGAUUAAUUUGUGAAUGCAUAUAAGAUGUUUGGUGAAAUGUCAAAGAGAAAUUUGUAUGUUGUGAUUGCUACUCUGUGCGGGUGAGAAUUACUAAUAUAUUAAUAAUUCAACAUGAGCUUUAUAACUUGAAUUCUUCAGGCAAGAGAGAUUUCUCCCGUUUUGAAAUUCUAAGUUGAUAUGCUUGAUGGAGCAGAUGUUAUUGAACUGAACUGGUCUAGAAUCAUUGUUGCGAAUCUGUUGUUUCUAUGAAAAUUUAUUAUCAGCCUCUUGAAUUUUUUACUCCAUGUUAACGUCUGCAAUGCCACGAAAAUUUGGCCAUCUAUGGAAAUUUAUUAUCAGCCUCUUGAAUUUUUUACUCCACUGUAACGUCUGCAAUGCCACGGAAAUUUGGCCAUUAUUACUCUUGUAAAUCUGUUGCCGGGGAGCGGCAAUAUUAGGGCCUAAUUAUCUCUAUUAAUUUAGAUAUUUUUCAUUGUUUUUAUUCAAGUUGUUGAAUUUAAACUGCAAAAUUUCUCUUGUUUUUAUUUGUAGUGUAUGCACCGGGCGUCUCGAGAAGUUGCACUUUUCGAUCCAGAAAUUGAGAGGACACUACAUAGACAAAGGAGGAGCACACUACAGCAAGAGGAACAAGGGAUUUGGCAACCAAUAGAGGAAAUCUUAAUAGAGCUUCCAUUUGAAGAAGAAAUGGCAGAAAACGAAGCAAAUGGGCGAGUUCUACGAGAUUUUGCUCUACCGGGAACACAAGGAUCUCAAACGAGCAUAGCAAGGCCUUCGGUAAAUACAAACAACUUUGAAAUUAAACUAUCACUUAUCCAAAUAGUUCAACAAUCUCAAUUUGGAGGUAAUGCAGUAGAAGAUCCAAAUACACACUUAGCUACAUUCUUGGAAAUUUGUGAUACAAUUAAAAUGAAUGGAGUUAGUGAUAAUGCUAUAAGGCUAAGAUUGUUCCUAUUUUCAUUGAGAGAUAAGGCCAAACUUUGGCUACACUCUCACGCUCCUAAUACUUUCACCGGAUGGGAUGAUUUAUCAAGAACAUUCUUAAAUAAGUAUUUUUCACCAGGUAAGACUGCUAAGCUUAGAAUGGAUAUCACUAGUUUUAAUCAAUUAGAAGGUGAAUCAUUAUAUGAGGCAUGGGAAAGGUUUAGACAUUUGCUUCGGAAAUGUCCACAUCAUGGACUGCCGGAGUGGUUAAUCAUACAAACCUUCUAUAAUGAUUUAGUUUUUUCUACUAAAACUAUAAUCGAUGCAGCUGCAGGUGGAGCUUUAAUGGGUAAAUCACCCCAAGAAGCUCAUAAUUUGAUAGAAGAAAUGGCAGCAAAUAACUACCAAUGGGCCAAUGAGAGAGGUAAUACAAGACGUCACGCAGGUAUGAUAGAAAUGGACACUCUCAAUAUGCUGAGUGCUCAAAUGAAUAAUGUGAUGAAGUUGCUAAGUAGACAAGGUGGAGUUGGUCCAAGUUCAUCUAAUGCACAUGCAGCAUGUUGUUCUAUAUGUGGAGGUGAAAAUGAUACUAAUAAGUGUGUUGAUUCUGAGCAGGUACAAUUCGUCAAUAAUUACAAUCGUAAUGCUCAAAAUAACCCCUACUCGAGUACUUACAAUCCGGGGUGGAAAAAUCAUCCAAACUUUGGAUGGAAGGAUCAAGGAAAUCAACCAAGGCCAGCCAAUCCACCGGGAUUUCAAUCAAGGCAACAACAAGCUGAAACUAAACCUGAUUGGGAAAUGGCAGUGGAAAAGCUCGUAAAAGUUACUUCAGACAGAUUUGAGCGAGUAGAAGGAAGAUUGGACCAACUCACUACAAUGUACAGGAAUGUAGAGGUCCAAAUUGGUCAAAUUGUUAGUUCUUUGAAUAAUCGUAAUCAAGGAGAAUUACCUAGCAAAACGGAGGUAAAUCCUAAGGAGCAUGUCAAAGCCAUUACUCUUCGUAGUGGUAAGCAAUUAGAAGAUCCUCCAGUGAUGGAAGUUGAGAAAGAUGAGAAUGAAAAAUAAGAAGAAAAGCAGAGGAACCAAGAAGCGAUAGUGGAAGAAAAUAGCCGGGAGAAAUCAAGAGAAAAUCAACCAUCAUCUUCCGCUACCAUUCCAAUACCUCCUGCGGUUCCAUUUCCACAAAGAUUAAAGCAAAAUAAGUUUGAUAAAGAUUUUGAAAAAUUUGUUAAACUUUUCAAACAAUUGCACAUUAACAUUCCUUUUGCCGAUGCUAUUUUGCAGAUUCCGUCUUAUGCGAAAUUUCUCAAGGAAAUCAUGACUAGAAAAAGAAAGUUGGAAGACUGCGAAACAAUAGCAUUAACGGAGGAAUGUAGUGCAAUUAUUCAAAAUAAGCUACCACCGAAAUUGAAAGAUCCGGGGAGUUUUUCUAUACCUUGCACCAUAAGUAACGUUGAUUUUUCUAAGGCAUUGUGUGAUCUUGGUGCUAGUGUAUCAUUAAUACCUUUAACGGUGGCUAGACAAUUGGGUUUGCAUGAGUUUAAACGCACUAAUAUUACUUUGCAACUAGCGGAUCGGUCUAUUAGAUAUCCAUUGGGAGUGUUGGAGAAUGUAUUGAUAAAAGUUCAAAAAUUUAUCAUUCCAGUGGAUUUUGUGGUAUUAGAUAUGGAAGAAGAUAUAUCUAUGCCAAUUAUUCAAGGUAGACCAUUUCUAGCCAUUGCAGGUACUAUUAUUGAUGUCAAAAAUGGCAAGCUUAAGUUUCAAGUAGGUGAAGAAGAUGUAGAAUUUAAUUUGAAUGAAAUAAAAAAAAUACCCUUCUUUUAUCGAUCAUGCUUAUUCUAUUGGCACAAUUAAUAAACUACCCCAAGAGAUGAGUCAAGUCAACUUUGACUUAGAUCCUCUUGAGUAUUAUUUAAUGAGUUUAGGUAAGUAAGAAGAUAUUUGUGAAGAAAUUGAAGAAUUGGCCAAGUACUUGGAUUUUCAAGCACCUUAUAAAAGGGGUAAUUUGUAUGAAAGUCUUGGCCAAGGAAAAGGGUUUUCACAACCUUCAGAAAUUGAAGCUCCAAGGUUAGAGCUUAAGCCACUUCCAACUCAUCUAAGGUAUGAAUUUCUUGGAGAAAAUAGCACUUUACCUGUAAUUGUUAGUGCUGACCUUGAUGAUGAGCAGUGUGCAAAAUUGUUAAGAGUUCUAAGAAGGCGUAAGAAGGCAAUUGGAUGGACAAUUUCAGACAUUAAAGGUAUAAGUCCUUCUAUAUGCAUGCAUCGAAUUUUAUUGGAGAACGGUUGCAAACCAGUGGUGGAAACACAAAGAAAACUCAAUCCAAACAUGAAAGAGGUGGUAAGAAAUGAAAUUCUUAAGUGGCUUGAUGCAGGUAUAGUUUUUCCUAUCUCCGAAAGUGUUUGGAUUAGUCCAAUUCAUGUGGUACCAAAGAAAGGUGGAAUGACUACAAUCGUGGGUAAAAAUGAUGAAUUAAUUCCAUCUAGACUUGUGGUAGGGUGGAGAGUGUGUAUUGAUUAUCAUAAGUUAAAUACGGUAACAAGAAAAGAUCAUUUUCCCCUACCAUUUCUUGAUCAAUUAUUGGAGCGAAUAGCUGGAUAUGAAUUUUACUGCUUUCUUGAUGAUUUUUCAGGAUAUAAUCAAAUAGCUAUAGCUCCAGAGGAUCAAGAGAAGACUACAUUUACAUGUCCUUAUGGCACUUUUGCCUUUAGAAGAAUGCCAUUUGGUUUAUGCAAUGCUCCUGCAACUUUUCAACGAUACAUGAUGGCUAUUUUUUCUGAUUAUAUUGAGAAAAUUAUGGAGAUAUUUAUGGAUGAUUUUUCUGUGUAUGGUUUAUCUUUUGACCAUUGUCUUCAUAAUUUAGAAUUGAUUUUGCAGAGAUGCGAAGAAACAAAUCUUGUAUUGAAUUGGGAGAAAUGCCAUUUUAUGGUAAAAGAAGGAAUUGUCUUAGGGCACAAGAUUUCUUCCAAGGAAAUUGAGGUGGAUAAUGCCAAAAUAGAAGUUAUCGAAAAAUUACCACCCCCAAGCAAUGUCAAGGGGAUAAGGAGUUUUUUAGGACAUGCUGGCUUUUAUAGACGUUUUAUUAAAGAUUUUUCUAAAAUAGUAAAGCCAUUAUAUGAUUUAUUAUGUAAAGAUACCCCUUUUCAAUUUGAUGACAAUUGUUUGGUUGCAUUUGAAAGGUUGAAGAAGGAAUUGAUUUCGGCCCCAAUUAUAACUUCGCCCAAUUGGUCACUACCAUUUGAAUUGAUGUGUGAUGCAAGUGAUUAUGCGGUUGGAGCAGUUUUGGGACAAAAGAAAGAAGGACGGUUGCACGUCAUUUACUAUGCUAGCAAGUUGCUAAAUGAGGCACAACUCAAUUAUGCAACUACAGAAAAAGAGCUAUUGGCAGUAAUAUAUGCUUUGGAUAAAUUUAGAUCUUAUUUAGUAGGAUCUAAAGUUAUUAUAUAUACGGACCAUGCGGCUCUUAAAUAUUUGUUACAUAAAAAAGAUGCAAAACCAAGAUUAAUUCGGUGGAUUCUUUUAUCACAGGAAUUUGAUGUGGAGAUAAAAGACAAAAAGGGAACGGAGAAUCUAGUAGCAGAUCAUCUAUCACGCCUAGAAUAUAUUCCAGUCAAGGAUCAAGUUCUUAUUCAAGAGAAUUUUCAGGAUGAGUUUGUCCUAGCAAUUAUCAAUUCUCCAUGGUAUGCUGAUAUUGCUAAUUUUUUGGUAAGUGGAGAGAUUCCAAGGGGAAGAAAUUCUUACAUGAUGUCAAAAGUUACUUUUGGGAGGAACCAUUGCUGUAUAAACAUUGUGCCGAUGGUAUGGUAUGUAGAUGUAUUCCCGAAAAUGAGGUACAUAAUAUUUUAUAUCAUUGUCAUAACCUUGAAACAGGUGGUCAUUUUAGCACUUCAAAAACUGUGGCAAAGGUAUGGCAAUCAGGGUUUUAUUGGCCAACUAUGUAUCGAGAUGUUCGGGAAUAUGUUAAAAGUUGUGAUGCAUGCCAAAGAAUUGGAAAUAUAUUUCGAAAGAAUGAAAUGCCCCUAACUACCUUCUUAGAAGUUGAAUUAUUUGAUACAUGGGGUAUAGACUUUAUGGGACCAUUUCCUAGUUCUUUUAAUAAUAAGUACAUCUUAGUAGCAGUGGAUUAUGUUUCUAAAUGGGUAGAAGCAAUUGCUUCACCUACUAAUGACUCUAAGAUUGUACUUAGAUUUCUUAAAAAGAAUAUUUUCAGUAGAUUUGGUAUACAAAGCCAUAAUAAGUGAUGAAGGAAAAUAUUUUUGUAACAAACAACUGGAUUCCUUAUUGUUUAAAUAUGGCUGUAGGCACAAGACAUCACUCCCGUACCAUCCUCAAGCCAAUGGACAAGCGGAGCUAGCUAAUCGUGAGAUAAAGCUCAUUUUGGAGAAAACUGUGAAUAAAUCACGCAAGGAUUGGGCUACAAAGCUAGAUGAUACACUAUGGGCUUACCGAACGGCAUUUAAGACUCCCUUAGGGAUGUCGCCGUAUCGUUUAGUCUAUGGAAAAUCUUGUCACUUACCUGUAAAGAUUGAACAUAAAGCUUAUUGGGCUAUUAAAGCAAUUAAUAUGGAUUUUAAUCUUGCAGGUGGAAGGAGAUUACUUGAGUUGAGUGAAUUGGAGAAACACCGGUUACAUGCAUACGAAAAUGCCAAAAUUUAUAAAGAAAAGAUCAAAUAUUGGCAUGACAAGCACAUUAUUCCUAAACAAUUUCAGGUAGGGCAAAAAGUACUUUUAUUCAAUUCACGCCUGAGGUUAUUUCCAGAAAAAUUGAAAUCAAGGUGGUCUGGAUCAUUUGAAGUCACUCAAGUAUUUCCCUAUGGAGUGGUUGAAGUGGCAAAUUCAAGAAAUGAAAGGUUUAAGGUCAAUGGACAACGAUUGAAACCCUACUUGGCAGGUGAAAUCGUACCCAAGGGGCUUAUAUGUCUUUUGGACGAGCCCUCUUCAAUUUAAGAACCCUAAUAUGUGAGUCGAGCCAACGACUAUAAACAAGAGCGCUAAUUGGGAGGCAACCCAAUGUUUAUGUUAUAUGUGUUAAUUUGGUAUGAUUUUGUGGUUUGAAUAAGUGUUUAAGUUAAGUUGUUGUUUUUGUAUUGUAGGGUUGACAAUUGGAAGCAAGAAUGACCAUUUGAGGAAAAAAAAAGCGAACUUUGAUCAAUCCACUCAACCCCUUCAUUUGCGUUAAAGGUGUAUUUGAUCCGUCGAAAAGGGGUAAAAUGCAUGUUUUUAUCAUUUUACAUGUGCGCACAUUGAUAAGUUUUGCAAACAAAUGAUCCAUGAUGCAUUUUGAGUGAUUGGGGUACCAAUGGUAAUUUUUUAAAGUUCAUUUUCUGCAAAAAAAAAUUGCAGAAGAAAACGCGCCUAGCAUAAAAACGCGCUUCUUUGUCGCGUUUUCAUCAAAACGCAUUUCAAAUUCUGCAACCACAAUGAAGAAAACGCGCUUAAAAACGCGACAUAGAGUCGCGUUUAUCAGAUAAAUCGCGUUUUCAAGCCUGGAUCAAGAUUCAAAAACGCGACUUUAGAAACGCGACUCAUUGUCGCGUUUUCCAACAUAGUCGCGUUUUCAUUCCUGCAAGAUUUGUGCAGGAAACGCGACUUAGAAAAUGCGAGUUGAAGGCGCGUUUCUAGUCGCGUUUUAUGUGUCCGAAUAUAACCUCCAGAAACGCGAUUUCAGCUUCAUUUCUUCUUCUCUUCUCCAUUUUUCAGGCGCGUUUUUCCUCCCUUUCUACCCAACUCACAAAUCUUCAUUUUUACUCCAUAAUCUUGCUAGAAAUCAUCACCCAACACCUUUUGAGCUUCAUACAACCUUUUUAACUAAUUAAAAUCCAAGAAAAACACCUCAAAUUCAGUUUUUGAAAGAUUGAAGGUUAGGGUUCUUCAACUCUAAUUUCUUCAACUGGAGGUCAAUCGGAGGUUGUUUCAUAGGGCUUUUUGCAUUUUUAGCAUCACCAAACAUCCUUCUACGUGAUUGAGGUAAGUUUUUUCAUCAAGUCUUUUGAUUUUUGAAAGUCAUAUUUUUUUAUCCUGAGCUAUCUGGCAUCUUUUAAUGUCGAAAAUUUGAUGAUGUAUUUGACUAUUUUUUAAUUUAUUCAUGCUUAUUGAGAUUUUUUAAGUAUGUUUAUGAGUUUAAAUGUAGCAAUUUAUUGGUCAUUAUUGCUUUAUUAAUUCAUAAUUGCUAUAUUUGAAGGAAAUCGGAAAAUGAAGUUAGGAUGUUUUUGAGCCAUUGGUGAUGUUUAAUUAUGGUUAAGAAUGGUUAGUUGAUGAUGUUUGAGCAUGUGCAUUGUGUAAAGUGAGUAAUUUGGUUGAUUUGGUGAGUUAAUUGGUUUAAUUUUUCCUUAAACAUGAUUAUAGCUAAAAGCAUAUUUUUAUCGUUAAGUUUAAAUAAUUAUAAUCAUAAUUGUUGCUAAUUUCACUGAUUGGGUUAUAAUUAUUCAAUAUCUUGUUUCAAUUGGUGAUUUUGAGCAAUUUUUGGCAUAAAUUAUGGCUCUUCUUGAUUCGGUCUUUUACAUUAGUUAUUGGACGAAUUAUCACUUGCAAGGACACAUUAGAGAUUAUUUGGAUCAUUUUAGGAUAUUCAUUGCCAAAUUGUGCAUUGUGUCUAAAUACAUGUGGUUAAUUGCAACAUUUUCUUUUAGGUACUAUGCCAAGGGGAAGAAGAGCGGUACUUUCAUCCUCUAAUAGUGAGGAGAGGGAGGUUAACGAGGAGAUGGAGGUGACUGAGGAGGAGAAUUCACCUUUUCCUCCACCAGUUAACCGACAGCCUGGCGAGGGCACCUCCCGUGGAGCGGGUAGAUCGGUAUUUGACGGUGCUAGAUUCAAUAAUCGCAGGAAUCAAGAAUAGCAUGAGGAGCAUGCUAACUUGGAGUUCUUGUUUGAGAUGCAUGUCAACCCAACAGUUGAGAUGAUGUAUAACAUCUCAGAGGCUUUUGCUCAGCUGGGAUGGGCGCCGAUUCUCACCCUACCAAACUAUUACUACCCCGACUUGGUGCGCGAGUUUUACGCUAACAUUGAGAGUAAGGCGCGUCAUAGUGGAGAAAUAGUUGAGUCCUGGGUACGUGGAAGACAAAUCACCUUGUCAUGUCAAGAUUUGGCCGCUAUUUUGGGGUGUAUGGAUGCCGGCCGUCCGGUAAAUUUGAAGAAGGAGUUUGUUCCCCUGAAUAGGAGGUGGGAUCCCUCGCUGGCCAUGGCCAGGUUUGGUCUUGAGUGCCAACCUUUUCGCUCUACAAGGAAGGAGACCAUUUUGGCAAAUGUCUUCGAACCUUAUCAUCGGCUUAUCAUUUACAUGAUGGCUCACAAUGUCAUCCCAAAGAAGACGGGGUAAACGGAGGUUCGCAAGAGCGAUAUUUACUUCCUUGAUUACAUGUUCCACAACCGAACUUCCCCGUAUACUCGAAUUUCAUUGCCGAACAUCAUCAUCAGCCACAUUAGGUCUACAGCGAGGCGUAAGACAACUUCCUUCAAACUUUCAUUUCCUCGUCUACUGACUUUAAUCUUCCCCCGUUUUGAGGUUCGCUUGGAAGGCAUGCUGCGGGAGUAUGUUCCACCACGUGCUGAGAUGACUAUCACUACUUUUCGCCGCCUUGGUAUUGGCACGAGGGACAUUCCACGCCCUGUUCAGGAGCGGAGACAGAAGGCUAGACAUGGUCGGGAUGAAGCUGGACCAUCUACUGCAGCACCACCUCCUCUUCUGCCACAAACCAAUUGGCAGCGGCUUUUUGUUCGCUUGAACGACAUCGACCAUCAUUUAGCCCUACUAGAUACUCGCCUGGACCACAUUGAACAUCAUCUAGGCUUACAUCCACCUCCCGUCGAUGAUGAUGAAGAUGACGAUGAAGAGGAUGAUUGAGGCUGCCCUUUGGCUGGCUUUUCUUUUGUUUGCUUGUUUGCGUGUUAUUUUUAUCUUUUGUUUGAAAAAUGUUAACUUACAUUCCUUAUUUUGAAUAUUGGAACUUGCGGCAGUAACUAGUAGAUCGUUUACUGUAGAUGGUUGAGCGGUCGAUGGCUCAUGAUUCAACUGGACCGCAGCCAUAUCACUUGGGGAGUCACUUGUUCCUUUCUUUUGUUUCUUUUCUUUUCUUUCCCUACACAUUGAGGACAAUGUGUAUUCUAAGUGUGGGGGAAGAAAUGUGUGGUACUUGUGAUUUUAGUUGUGUUUGAGGUUGGAAAUAUUUCUGAUGCUUCAAUUUUGUUUCUUAUGGUUUGCUGGCAGGGAGUUUAGUCCACUUUUAAGGGGAAACUCUGUCAAAAUUUUUCCAAAGCCUUAUACUUAUAUAUAUAUAUAUAUAUAUAUAUAUAUAUAAUUAUAAAUAAACAAAUAAAAUUUUGUCACUUAUCCUUUUUGAAAUAGAUAUAUGUGGUUUUGAAACUUCUUUUCUCAGUUAACUUGGAAAUGAUUAUUAUGUGAUUAUAAUUUUUACAUUUGUAGGAAAGUAUAUCUAGUAAAGUAGAGAAAAUUAUGCCUAAAUUUUGCAUAUUUGAUUAAAUUUCUUCUUUUUAUUUGAUUUUACAAGUUAAGGAAUUAAUAUGGUCAAUAAGUGUUACUCUCUUCUCAUGAUUGCUUUUUAGAGGGAAUUUUAUUAUUUCUUUCUCUAUAUAUAUAUAUAUAUAUUUUGUUUCAUAAAAAAAAUUAUUCUACUCCAAUGGUUCUUGUACUUAGUAACCGGGAGUCGUCAUCUACAAAUAUCGACUUUCGCGUAAAACGGUACUUGAAUUAAGAGUAUGAAAAGCAACUUGAGUAUGUGAAAUAUUGAGUAACCGGUGAUUUUCAUCUAAAAAUAUGGAUCUUCGCGUCAAAAGGUAUUUUUCACAACUUAAGUAGUAUUUAACUCUUAAAAUAUAUAAAACAAAAAAAAAUAAUAAAAUAAAAGAAAAUAAAUCCUUAUUUAAGAAAAAAGAAGUUGAUCAUGAGAUUAGUUAGCAUCUUUAUUGACUAUAUGAGUUACUUGCUUGUAAAAUUGGGUAAAAAUGAGAAAUUGAGUUGAAUUAGUAAAAUUAUGGUAUACUUGACUCUUCUUUGCUUGAUAUUAUGAGUACUUGAGGUUAAUUGAAAGAUCACAUAAGGGUUGUUUACCUUGAUUCAAGGAAAUGAAGUUGAAAUGCUACAUAUGUGUAUUUUUAAUCUUUGGAUCAUUGAUGGUUGGAAUUUCAUAUUGCUUGAGGACAAGCAAUGAUUCAAGUGUGGGGGUAUUUGAUAAGAGUUUAUUUUACGUAUUUUUAAGUGCAUUUUAUUAGUUAAUUUUGAGUUGAUUAUUUAGUUUUAUAAAUAAAAUAAAGAGGUUUUUGGUAAAAUUAUAUAUUUUUGGUAAAAGUGGAUAACAUUGCAUUUUUAGUGAUUUUAAUGAUAAAAACUUCAUUUUUAUGCAAGAAUGAUGAUUCAAUCACCAAAGGAUGUCAAAUGAGAUGAAAAAUAGAAAUUUGGUGAUGAAUUCAAGUGGUAACAAGAAGAAUGAAGUGAAAAACGUUCAAGUGAGGAAAUGCAAUACAAAUCAGUUUUGACACUCUUCGGUAUUUUGAUCAUAUCUGGAGCUACACUUUUCGAAUUGAGGUGAUCUUUAUACCAUUUUAAAGCUAAGAAAGAGACCUACAAUUCGUAUGAAGACAUCGAAAUCCAAUUCUGCCAUUUUCAUGGACAAAAAGUCAGAAUACAGAAGCUGCACUCUGUGGUCGGAAUUGGAAAAAAAGGUUUGACCAGGUGAUAGUAUUUCUACCAUAUCUCAGGCUGCACAACUCCGAUUUGGAUGAUUUUUAUAGCAUUGGAAAGCUAACUCAAAGGGUUACAACUUUUGUGUUUUGCACAAAAGCCAGUUCGGCCUUCAUCAUGGAGAAAAUUGCAGUUGAAAUAAGGCCAGAGUGAAAAUGCGAGUAUACAAAACGCGAGUUUAUUCCGCGUUUUGUGUAGGCGCGUUUUGUAGCCGAAAAUCUGCAAUUUGCUCAGCCAUUUCUCUUGUGUUCAGACUACUUUCCAGCUAUAAGUUGCAAGGGAAUUCGGUGCACAUGCUUCAGAAGACCAAAGGGCAAGAAAGGGGCUUAUUUUCAAGUAAAAAAAUAUUGAUUUUUGACUAUGCUAACAAAGUGGAGAUUUGGGAAUCAAAGGUUAGAAUUUGACUUAGAAAAAUGGAGCCUUUGAGUAGUUUUUAUGCAGAGACAUUGAGGGAGGUCUAGGGAUCCAGACGUAGCUAGUAUUCUCACUAAAAAGAAAACAUAGUUUCUCUAGCUAGGUACUUGCAAGGGGCAAUUGAGGUUUCAUCUUGUAAUCAUCUAAGUUCAAGACAAAGGAGAUUUUUGGAAGGCUUCACCAUAUUUUAGCUAAGACUUUCUUUACUCUUUUUGUAUUUGUAAUUCAUGACGAUUUACAUUAAUGAAGUUAUGAGUGUUUCAUCAUUCAUGAGUAGCUAAUUUCCUUUAUCUAGGGAGUAGAUGAAACUUAUGGCCAAGUGAUAUGAAGUGAUUGUGAUUUAUACUUGUUAGAUCUUGUAUUAACCUAUCUACUUGUGUAUGUUGGAUUACUCGUUGUUGUUUGAUCACCAAUAGCAGGUUUAUAGUUGUUUUUACUCAUUGAGAAAUGGUAACAAUAAUGGAAUGACAUAAGUAGAGCUUGAGUAGUAUAUUCAUGAGAAUAGAAAUACAUUCAAGUGGAUGAAAUCUACAUUUCCUGUGUGUACAAAACAGAUUUAGUAUUUACCAAGAGAUUAGGAAAAACUAAUCUGUUUCAACCCAUUAUUAUCAUGAGAAUGUGGUUUUGGUAUUGUUGGAAAUGAAUCCUUGGUCAAACAAGAGUAGUAACAAGUGUUAAAUUCAUUCGUUUUAGAUCUUUUGUGUUAUAUGUGGAAUCUACAUCCCUAGAUCUUAAUAUUUAGUGAAUUCUACUCCUAUUGUGAAAUUGCAUUUAUCUACUUAAGAAUUUUUGUAGUUGAAUUAAAUUCUGAAUUUUCUGCUCAAAUUUAUUGUGAGUCUAAAUAAUAGAGUAAAUUAGUGUCUAAUAAUUAUUUUAAUUGCUUCUCGUGGGAUCGACCCGAUACACAUCUUGUACUACAAUUGCGACCUGUAUACUUGCAGUCCAACGGGUGUAAAAUCGGAAUUGAACUUGCAUUGAUAUAAAAAAAUUCCGUCAAGUUUUUGGCGCCGUUGCCGGGGAGCGGUAAUAUUAGGGCCUAAUCAUCUCUAUUAAUUUAGAUAUUUUUCAUUGUUUUUAUUCAAGUUGUUGAAUUUAAACUGUAAAAUUUCUCUUGUUUUUGUUUGUAGUGUUUGCACCGGGCGUCUCGAGAAUUUGCACUUUUCGAUCCAGAAAUUGAGAGGACACUACAUAGACAAAGGAGGAACACACUACAGCAAGAGGAACAAGAGAUUUGGCAACCAAUAGAGGAAAUCUUAAUAGAGCUUCCAUUUGAAGAAGAAAUGGCAGAAAACGAAACAAAUGGGCGAGUUCUACGAGAUUUUGCUCUACCGGAAACACAAGAAUCUCAAACGAGCAUAGCAAGGCCUUCGGUAAAUGCUAACAACUUUGAGAUUAAACUAUCACUUAUCCAAAUGGUUCAACAAUCUCAAUUUGGAGGUAAUGCAGUAGAAGAUCCUAAUACACACUUAGCUACAUUCUUGGAAAUUUGUGAUACAAUUAAAAUGAAUGGAGUUAGUGAUGAUGCUAUAAGGCUAAGAUUGUUCCCAUUUUCAUUGAGAGAUAAGGCCAAACUUUGGCUACACUCUCACGCUCCUAAUACUUUCACCGGAUGGGAUGAUUUAUCAAGAGCAUUCUUAAAUAAGUAUUUUUCACCAGGUAAGACUGCUAAGCUUAGAAUGGAUAUCACUAGUUUUAGUCAAUUAGAAGGUGAAUCAUUAUAUGAGGAAUGGGAAAGGUUUAGAGAUUUGCUUCGGAAAUGUCCACAUCAUGGACUGCCGGAGUGGUUAAUCAUACAAACCUUCUAUAAUGGUUUAGUUCCAAUGAUACGAUUGAAUUCCCAGGCAAAGGUUUCCACUUUGGUCCACACUUUUUCUUUGUUACAAUUGAAUAAAUUUUCUCACUUCAAAAUUUUCAUCUUUAGUUCACACUUUCCCUCUAUUCUUUCUCAUCGUUCGGUUGGGUUUGAGUGCUGCCAUAUGCAGACACAACAAAAGAAUUAGCGACGGUGGUAGCCAGCCAAAGAGCAUAUGAAAAAUAGCAGUGACGAGGUUAGAUCAUCAAGUUCUCUUGAAAUCGUUUGAUUAUAUUGCUGUAAUUUAUUUAUAUUUCAUUUGUUUUGUUUGUCAAGAUUUUCUUGGGUAAUCAAGGCUAAGAAUUUGAAGAUUUUAGUGCAAUUUUGGGGCCGAAAAUGUCCGUUGAAACAUCUAGGAAAUGGUUGUAGUUUUGAUUGUUUACGGGUAAAAUAUGCUUAAUAGCCAUGUGAAACAUCUAGGAAUAGACUUAAGACCAGGCGUUUAAGUUAAAUGUGAUUAAUUUGUGAAUGCAUAUAAGAUGUUUGGUGAAAUGUCAAAGAGAAAUUUGUAUGUUGUGAUUGCUACUCUGUGCGGGUGAGAAUUACUAAUAUAUUAAUAAUUCAACAUGAGCUUUAUAACUUGAAUUCUUCAGGCAAGAGAGAUUUCUCCCGUUUUGAAAUUCUAAGUUGAUAUGCUUGAUGGAGCAGAUGUUAUUGAACUGAACUGGUCUAAAAUCAUUGUUGCGAAUCUGUUGUUUCUAUGAAAAUUUAUUAUCAGCCUCUUGAAUUUUUUACUCCAUGUUAACGUCUGCAAUGCCACGGAAAUUUGGCCAUCUAUGGAAAUUUAUUAUCAGCCUCUUGAAUUUUUUACUCCACUGUAACGUCUGCAAUGCCAUGGAAAUUUGGCCAUUAUUACUCUUGUAAAUCUGUUGCCGGGGAGCGGCAAUAUUAUGGCCUAAUCAUCUCUAUUAAUUUAGAUAUUUUUCAUUAUUUUUAUUCAAGUUGUUGAAUUUAAACUGUAAAAUUUCUCUUGUUUUUAUUUGUAGUGUAUGCACCGGGCGUCUCGAGAAGUUGCACUUUUCGAUCCAGAAAUUGAGAGGACACUACAUAGACAAAGGAGGAGCACACUACAGCAAGAGGAACAGGGGAUUUGGCAACCAAUAGAGGAAAUCUUAAUAGAGCUUCCAUUUGAAGAAGAAAUGGCAGAAAACGAAGCAAAUGGGCGAGUUCUACGAGAUUUUGCUCUACCGGGAACACAAGGAUCUCAAACGAGCAUAGCAAGGCCUUCGGUAAAUACUAACAACUUUGAGAUUAAACUAUCACUUAUCCAAAUAGUUCAACAAUCUCAAUUUAGAGGUAAUGCAGUAGAAGAUUCAAAUACACACUUAGCUACAUUUUUGGAAAUUUGUGAUACAAUUAAAAUGAAUGGAGUUAGUGAUAAUGCUAUAAGGCUAAGAUUGUUCCCAUUUUCAUUGAGAGAUAAGGCCAAACUUUGGCUACACUCUCACGCUCCUAAUACUUUCACCGGAUGGGAUGAUUUAUCAAGAACAUUCUUAAAUAAGUAUUUUCCACCAGGUAAGACUGCUAAGCUUAGAAUGGAUAUCACUAGUUUUAAUCAAUUAGAAGGUGAAUCAUUAUAUGAGGCAUGGGAAAGGUUUAGACAUUUGCUUCGGAAAUGUCCACAUCAUGGACUGCCGGAGUGGUUAAUCAUACAAACCUUCUAUAAUGGUUUAGUUUUUUCUACUAAAACUAUAAUCGAUGCAGCUGCAGGUGGAGCUUUAAUGGGUAAAUCACCCCAAGAAGCUCAUAAUUUGAUAGAAGAAAUGGCAGCAAAUAACUACCAAUGGGCCAAUGAGAGAGGUAAUACAAGACGUCACGCAGGUAUGAUAGAAAUGGACACUCUCAAUAUGUUGAGUGCUCAAAUGAAUAAUGUGAUGAAGUUGCUAAGUAGACAAGGUGGAGUUGGUCCAAGUUCAUCUAAUGCACAUGUAGCAUGUUGUUCUAUAUGUGGAUGUGAAUAUGAUACUAAUGAGUGUGUUGAUUCUGAGCAGGUACAAUUCGUCAAUAAUUACAAUCGUAAUGCUCAAAAUAACCCCCACUCGAGUACUUACAAUCCAGGGUGGAGAAAUCAUCCAAACUUUGGAUGGAAGGAUCAAGGAAAUCAACUAAGGCCAGCCAAUCCACCGGGAUUUCAAUCAAGGCAACAACAAGCUGAAACUAAACCUGGUUGGGAAAUGGCAGUGGAAAAGCUCGCAAAAGUUACUUCAGACAGAUUUGAGCGAGUAGAAGGAAGAUUGGACCAACUCACUACAAUGUACAGGAAUGUAGAGGUCCAAAUUGGUCAAAUUGCUAGUUUUUUGAAUAAUCGUAUCAAGGAGAAUUACCUAGCAAAACGGAGGUAAAUCCUAAGGAGCAUGUCAAAGCCAUUACUCUUCGUAGUGGUAAGCAAUUAGAAGAUCCUCCAGUGAUUGAAGUUGAGAAAGAUGAGAAUGAAAAACAGGAAAAAAAGCAGAGGAACCAAGAAGCGAUAGUGGAAGAAAAUAAGCCCCCUUUCUUGCCCUUUGGUCUUCUGAAGCAUGUGCACCGAAUUCCCUUGCAACUUAUAGCUGGAAAGUAGUCUGAACACAAGAGAAAUGGCUGAGCAAAUUGCAGAUUUUCGGCUACAAAACGCGCCUACACAAAACGCGGAAUAAACUCGCGUUUUGUAUACUCGCAUUUUCACUCUGGCCUUAUUUCAACUGCACUUUUCUCUAUGAUGAAGGCCGAACUGGCUUUUGUGCAAAACACAAAAGUUGUAACCCUUUGAGUUAGCUUUCCAAUGCUAUAAAAAUCAUCCAAAUCGGAGUUGUGCAGCCUGAGAUAUGGUAGAAAUACUAUCACUUGGUCAAACCUUUUUUUCCAAUUCCGACCACAGAGUGCAGCUUCUGUAUUCCGACUUUUUGUCCAUGAAAAUGGCAGAAUUGGAUUUCGAUGUCUCCAUACGAAUUGUAGGUCUCUUUCUUAGCUUUAAAAUGGUAUAAAGAUCACCUCAAGUCGAAAAGUGUAGCUCCAGAUAUGAUCAAAAUACCGAAGAGUGUCAAAACUGAUUUGUAUUGCAUUUCCUCACUUGAACGUUUUUCACUUCAUUCUUCUUGUUACCACUUGAAUUCAUCACCAAAUUUCUAUUUUUCAUCUCAUUUGACAUCCUUUGGUGAUUGAAUCAUCAUUCUUGCAUAAAAAUGAAGUUUUUAUCAUUAAAAUCACUAAAAAUGCAAUGUUAUCCACUUUUACCAAAAAUAUAUAAUUUUACCAAAAAUCUCUUUAUUUUAUUUAUAAAACUAAAUAAUCAACUCAAAAUUAACUAAUAAAAUGCACUUAAAAAUACGUAAAAUAAACUCUUAUCAAAUACCCCCACACUUGAAUCAUUGCUUGUCCUCAAGCAAUAUGAAAUUCCAACCAUCAAUGAUCCAAAGAUUAAAAAUACACAUAUGUAGCAUUUCAACUUCAUUUCCUUGAAUCAAGGUAAAUAACCCUUGUGUGAUCUUUCAAUUAAUCUCAAGUACUCAUAAUAUCAAGCAAAGAAGAGCCAAGUAUACCAUAAUUUUACUAAUUCAACUCAAUUUCUCAUUUUUACCCAAUUUUACAAGCAAGUAACUCAUAUAGUCAAUAAAGAUGCUAACUAAUCUCAUGAUCAACUUCUUUUUUCUUAAAUAGGGAUUUAUUUUCUUUUAUUUUAUUAUUUAUUUUAUUAUUUUUUUGUUUUAUAUAUUUUAAGAGUUAAAUACUCCUCAAAUGGUCAUUCUUGCUUCCAAUUGUCAACCCUACAAUACAAAAACAACAACUUAACUUAAACACUUAUUCAAACCACAAAAUCAUACCAAAUUAACACAUAUAACAUAAACAUUGGGUUGCCUCCCAAUUAGCGCUCUUGUUUAUAGUCGUUGGCUCGACUCACAUAUUAGGGUUCUUAAAUUGAAGAGGACUCGCCCAAAAGACAUAUAAGCCCCUUGGGUACGAUUUCACCUGCCAAGUAGGGUUUCAAUCGUUGUCCAUUGACCUUAAACCUUUCAUUUCUUGAAUUUGCCACUUCAACCACUCCAUAGGGAAAUACUUGAGUGAUUUCAAAUGGUCCAGACCACCUUGACUUCAAUUUUCCUGGAAAUAACCUCAGGCGUGAAUUGAAUAAAAGCACUUUUUGCCCUACCUGAAAUUGUUUAGGAAUAAUGUGCUUGUCAUGCCAAUAUUUGAUCUUUUCUUUAUAAAUUUUGGCAUUUUCGUAUGCAUGUAACCGGUGUUUCUCCAAUUCACUCAACUCAAGUAAUCUCCUUCCACCUGCAAGAUUAAAAUCUAUAUUAAUUGCUUUAAUAGCCCAAUAAGCUUUAUGUUCAAUCUUUACAGGUAAGUGACAAGAUUUUUCAUAGACUAAACGAUACGGCGACAUCCCUAAGGGAGUCUUAAAUGCCGUUCGGUAAGCCCAUAGUGUAUCAUCUAGCUUUGUAGCCCAAUCCUUGCGUGAUUUAUUCACAGUUUUCUUCAAAAUGAGCUUUAUCUCACGAUUAGCUAGCUCCGCUUGUCCAUUGGCUUGAGGAUGGUACGGGAGUGAUGUCUUGUGCCUACAGCCAUAUUUAAACAAUAAGGAAUCCAGUUGUUUGUUACAAAAAUGUUUUCCUUCAUCACUUAUUAUGGCUUUGUAUACCAAAUUUACUAAAAAUAUUCUUUUUAAGAAAUCUAAGUACAAUCUUAGAGUCAUUAGUAGGUGAAGCAAUUGCUUCUACCCAUUUAGAAACAUAAUCCACUGCUACUAAGAUGUACUUAUUAUUAAAAGAACUAGGAAAUGGUCCCAUAAAGUCUAUACCCCAUGUAUCAAAUAAUUCAACUUCUAAGAAGGUAGUUAGGGGCAUUUCAUUCUUUCGAGAUAUAUUUCCAGUUCUUUGGCAUGCAUCACAACUUUUAACAUAUUCCCGAACAUCUCGAUACAUAGUUGGCCAAUAAAACCCUGAUUGCCAUACCUUUGCCACAGUUUUUGAAGUGCUAAAAUGACCACCUGUUUCAAGGUUAUGACAAUGAUAUAAAAUAUUAUGUACCUCAUUUUCGGGAAUACAUCUACAUACCAUACCAUCGGCACAAUGUUUAUACAGCAAUGGUUCCUCCCAAAAGUAACUUUUGACAUCAUGUAAGAAUUUCUUCUUUUGAUGGUAAUUAAAUCCCUUUGGAAUCUCUCCACUUACCAAAAAAUUAGCAAUAUCAGCAUACCAUGGAGAAUUGAUAAUUGCUAGGACAAACUCAUCCUGAAAAUUCUCUUGAAUAAGAACUUGAUCCUUGACUGGAAUAUAUUCUAGGCGUGAUAGAUGAUCUGCUACUAGAUUCUCCGUUCCCUUUUUGUCUUUUAUCUCCACAUCAAAUUCCUGCGAUAAAAGAAUCCACCGAAUUAAUCUUGGUUUUGCAUCUUUUUUAUGUAACAAAUAUUUAAGAGCCGCAUGGUCCGUAUAUAUAAUAACUUUAGAUCCUACUAAAUAAGAUCUAAAUUUAUCCAAAGCAUAUAUUACUGCCAAUAGCUCUUUUUCUGUAGUUGCAUAAUUGAGUUGUGCCUCAUUUAGCAACUUGCUAGCAUAGUAAAUGACGUGCAACCGUCCUUCUUUCUUUUGUCCCAAAACUGCUCCAACCGCAUAAUCACUUGCAUCACACAUCAAUCAGCCUCUUGAAUUUUUUACUCCAUGUUAACGUCUGCAAUGCCACGGAAAUUUGGCCAUCUAUGGAAAUUUAUUAUCAGCCUCUUGAAUUUUUUACUCCACUGUAACGUCUGCAAUGCCAUGGAAAUUUGGCCAUUAUUACUCUUGUAAAUCUGUUGCCGGGGAGCGGCAAUAUUAUGGCCUAAUCAUCUCUAUUAAUUUAGAUAUUUUUCAUUAUUUUUAUUCAAGUUGUUGAAUUUAAACUGUAAAAUUUCUCUUGUUUUUAUUUGUAGUGUAUGCACCGGGCGUCUCGAGAAGUUGCACUUUUCGAUCCAGAAAUUGAGAGGACACUACAUAGACAAAGGAGGAGCACACUACAGCAAGAGGAACAGGGGAUUUGGCAACCAAUAGAGGAAAUCUUAAUAGAGCUUCCAUUUGAAGAAGAAAUGGCAGAAAACGAAGCAAAUGGGCGAGUUCUACGAGAUUUUGCUCUACCGGGAACACAAGGAUCUCAAACGAGCAUAGCAAGGCCUUCGGUAAAUACUAACAACUUUGAGAUUAAACUAUCACUUAUCCAAAUAGUUCAACAAUCUCAAUUUAGAGGUAAUGCAGUAGAAGAUUCAAAUACACACUUAGCUACAUUUUUGGAAAUUUGUGAUACAAUUAAAAUGAAUGGAGUUAGUGAUAAUGCUAUAAGGCUAAGAUUGUUCCCAUUUUCAUUGAGAGAUAAGGCCAAACUUUGGCUACACUCUCACGCUCCUAAUACUUUCACCGGAUGGGAUGAUUUAUCAAGAACAUUCUUAAAUAAGUAUUUUCCACCAGGUAAGACUGCUAAGCUUAGAAUGGAUAUCACUAGUUUUAAUCAAUUAGAAGGUGAAUCAUUAUAUGAGGCAUGGGAAAGGUUUAGACAUUUGCUUCGGAAAUGUCCACAUCAUGGACUGCCGGAGUGGUUAAUCAUACAAACCUUCUAUAAUGGUUUAGUUUUUUCUACUAAAACUAUAAUCGAUGCAGCUGCAGGUGGAGCUUUAAUGGGUAAAUCACCCCAAGAAGCUCAUAAUUUGAUAGAAGAAAUGGCAGCAAAUAACUACCAAUGGGCCAAUGAGAGAGGUAAUACAAGACGUCACGCAGGUAUGAUAGAAAUGGACACUCUCAAUAUGUUGAGUGCUCAAAUGAAUAAUGUGAUGAAGUUGCUAAGUAGACAAGGUGGAGUUGGUCCAAGUUCAUCUAAUGCACAUGUAGCAUGUUGUUCUAUAUGUGGAUGUGAAUAUGAUACUAAUGAGUGUGUUGAUUCUGAGCAGGUACAAUUCGUCAAUAAUUACAAUCGUAAUGCUCAAAUAACCCCCACUCGAGUACUUACAAUCCAGGGUGGAGAAAUCAUCCAAACUUUGGAUGGAAGGAUCAAGGAAAUCAACUAAGGCCAGCCAAUCCACCGGGAUUUCAAUCAAGGCAACAACAAGCUGAAACUAAACCUGGUUGGGAAAUGGCAGUGGAAAAGCUCGCAAAAGUUACUUCAGACAGAUUUGAGCGAGUAGAAGGAAGAUUGGACCAACUCACUACAAUGUACAGGAAUGUAGAGGUCCAAAUUGGUCAAAUUGCUAGUUUUUGAAUAAUCGUAUCAAGGAGAAUUACCUAGCAAAACGGAGGUAAAUCCUAAGGAGCAUGUCAAAGCCAUUACUCUUCGUAGUGGUAAGCAAUUAGAAGAUCCUCCAGUGAUUGAAGUUGAGAAAGAUGAGAAUGAAAAACAGGAAAAAAAGCAGAGGAACCAAGAAGCGAUAGUGGAAGAAAAUAAGCCCCCUUUCUUGCCCUUUGGUCUUCUGAAGCAUGUGCACCGAAUUCCCUUGCAACUUAUAGCUGGAAAGUAGUCUGAACACAAGAGAAAUGGCUGAGCAAAUUGCAGAUUUUCGGCUACAAAACGCGCCUACACAAAACGCGGAAUAAACUCGCGUUUUGUAUACUCGCAUUUUCACUCUGGCCUUAUUUCAACUGCACUUUUCUCUAUGAUGAAGGCCGAACUGGCUUUUGUGCAAAACACAAAAGUUGUAACCCUUUGAGUUAGCUUUCCAAUGCUAUAAAAAUCAUCCAAAUCGGAGUUGUGCAGCCUGAGAUAUGGUAGAAAUACUAUCACUUGGUCAAACCUUUUUUUCCAAUUCCGACCACAGAGUGCAGCUUCUGUAUUCCGACUUUUUGUCCAUGAAAAUGGCAGAAUUGGAUUUCGAUGUCUCCAUACGAAUUGUAGGUCUCUUUCUUAGCUUUAAAAUGGUAUAAAGAUCACCUCAAGUCGAAAAGUGUAGCUCCAGAUAUGAUCAAAAUACCGAAGAGUGUCAAAACUGAUUUGUAUUGCAUUUCCUCACUUGAACGUUUUUCACUUCAUUCUUCUUGUUACCACUUGAAUUCAUCACCAAAUUUCUAUUUUUCAUCUCAUUUGACAUCCUUUGGUGAUUGAAUCAUCAUUCUUGCAUAAAAAUGAAGUUUUUAUCAUUAAAAUCACUAAAAAUGCAAUGUUAUCCACUUUUACCAAAAAUAUAUAAUUUUACCAAAAAUCUCUUUAUUUUAUUUAUAAAACUAAAUAAUCAACUCAAAAUUAACUAAUAAAAUGCACUUAAAAAUACGUAAAAUAAACUCUUAUCAAAUACCCCCACACUUGAAUCAUUGCUUGUCCUCAAGCAAUAUGAAAUUCCAACCAUCAAUGAUCCAAAGAUUAAAAAUACACAUAUGUAGCAUUUCAACUUCAUUUCCUUGAAUCAAGGUAAAUAACCCUUGUGUGAUCUUUCAAUUAAUCUCAAGUACUCAUAAUAUCAAGCAAAGAAGAGCCAAGUAUACCAUAAUUUUACUAAUUCAACUCAAUUUCUCAUUUUUACCCAAUUUUACAAGCAAGUAACUCAUAUAGUCAAUAAAGAUGCUAACUAAUCUCAUGAUCAACUUCUUUUUUCUUAAAUAGGGAUUUAUUUUCUUUUAUUUUAUUAUUUAUUUUAUUAUUUUUUUGUUUUAUAUAUUUUAAGAGUUAAAUACUCCUCAAAAUGGUCAUUCUUGCUUCCAAUUGUCAACCCUACAAUACAAAAACAACAACUUAACUUAAACACUUAUUCAAACCACAAAAUCAUACCAAAUUAACACAUAUAACAUAAACAUUGGGUUGCCUCCCAAUUAGCGCUCUUGUUUAUAGUCGUUGGCUCGACUCACAUAUUAGGGUUCUUAAAUUGAAGAGGCUCGCCCAAAAGACAUAUAAGCCCCUUGGGUACGAUUUCACCUGCCAAGUAGGGUUUCAAUCGUUGUCCAUUGACCUUAAACCUUUCAUUUCUUGAAUUUGCCACUUCAACCGCUCCAUAGGGAAAUACUUGAGUGACUUCAAAUGGUCCAGACCACCUUGACUUCAAUUUUCCUGGAAAUAACCUCAGGCGUGAAUUGAAUAAAAGCACUUUUUGCCCUACCUGAAAUUGUUUAGGAAUAAUGUGCUUGUCAUGCCAAUAUUUGAUCUUUUCUUUAUAAAUUUUGGCAUUUUCGUAUGCAUGUAACCGGUGUUCUCCAAUUCACUCAGCUCAAGUAAUCUCCUUCCACCUGCAAGAUUAAAAUCCAUAUUAAUUGCUUUAAUAGCCCAAUAAGCUUUAUGUUCAAUCUCUACAGGUAAGUGACAAGAUUUUCCAUAGACUAAACGAUACGGCGACAUCCCUAAGGGAGUCUUAAAUGCCGUUCGGUAAGCCCAUAGUGUGUCAUCUAGCUUUGUAGCCCAAUCCUUGCGUGAUUUAUUCACAGUUUUCUCCAAAAUGAGCUUUAUCUCACGAUUAGCUAGCUCCGCUUGUCCAUUGGCUUGAGGAUGGUACGGGAGUGAUGUCUUGUGCCUACAGCCAUAUUUAAACAAUAAGGAAUCCAGUUGUUUGUUACAAAAAUGUUUUCCUUCAUCACUUAUUAUGGCUUAGUAUACCAAAUCUACUGAAAAUAUUCUUUUUAAGGAAUCUAAGUACAAUCUUAGAGUCAUUAGUAGGUGAAGCGAUUGCUUCUACCCAUUUAGAAACAUAAUCCACUGCUACUAAGAUGUACUUAUUAUUAAAAGAACUAGGAAAUGGUCCCAUAAAGUCUAUACCCCAUAUAUCAAAUAAUUCAACUUCUAAGAAGGUAGUUAGGGGCAUUUCAUUCUUUCGAGAUAUAUUUCCAGUUCUUUGGCAUGCAUCACAACUUUUAACAUAUUCCCGAACAUCUCGAUACAUAGUUGGCCAAUAAAACCCUGAUUGCCAUACCUUUGCCACAGUUUUUGAAGUGCUAAAAUGACCACCUGUUUCAAGGUUAUGACAAUGAUAUAAAAUAUUAUGUACCUCAUUUUCGGGAAUACAUCUACACCAUACCAUCGGCACAAUGUUUAUACAGCAAUGGUUCCUCCCAAAAGUAACUUUUGACAUCAUGUAAGAAUUUCUUCUUUUGAUGGUAAUUAAAUCCCUUGGAAUCUCUCCACUUACCAAAAAAUUAGCAAUAUCAGCAUACCAUGGAGAAUUGAUAAUUGCUAGGACAAACUCAUCCGAAAUUCUCUUGAAUAGAACUUGAUCCUUGACUGGAAUAUAUUCUAGGCGUGAUAGAUGAUCUGCUACUAGAUUCUCCGUUCCCUUUUUGUCUUUUAUCUCCACAUCAAAUUCCUGCAAUAAAAGAAUCCACCGAAUUAUCUUGGUUUUGCAUCUUUUUUAUGUAACAAAUAUUUAAGAGCCGCAUGGUCCGUAUAUAUAAUAACUUUAGAUCCUACUAAAUAAGAUCUAAAUUUAUCCAAAGCAAAUAUCACUGCCAAUAGCUCUUUUUCUGUAGUUGCAUAAUUGAGUUGUGCCUCAUUUAGCAACUUGCUAGCAUAGUAAAUGACGUGCAACCGUCCUUCUUUCUUUUGUCCCAAAACUGCUCCAACCGCAUAAUCACUUGCAUCACACAUCAAUUCAAAUGGUAGUGACCAAUCGGGCGAAGUUAUAAUUGGGGCCGAAAUCAAUUCCUUCUUCAACCUUUCAAAUGCAACCAAACAAUUGUCAUCAAAUUGAAAAGGGGUAUCUUUACAUAAUAAAUCACAUAAUGGCUUUACUAUUUUAGAAAAAUCUUUAAUAAAACGUCUAUAAAAGCCAGCAUGUCCUAAAAAACUCCUUAUCCCCUUGACAUUGCUUGGGGGUGGCAAUUUUUCGAUAACUUCUAUUUUGGCUUGAUCCACCUCAAUUCCCUUGGAGGAAAUCUUGUGCCUAAGACAAUUCCUUCUUUUACCAUAAAAUGGCAUUUCUCCCAAUUCAACAAGAUUUGUUUCCUCGCAUCUCUGCAAAAUCAAUUCCAAAUUAUGAAGACAAUGGUCAAAAGAUGAACCAUACACAGAAAAAUCAUCCAUAAAUAUCUCCAUAAUUUUCUCAAUAUAAUCAGAAAAAAUAGCCAUCAUGCAUCGUUGAAAAGUUGCAGGAGCAUUGCAUAAACCAAAUGGCAUUCUUCUAAAGGCAAAAGUGCCAUAAGGACAUGUAAAUGUAGUCUUCUCUUGAUCCUCUGGAGCUAUAGCUAUUUGAUUAUAUCCUGAAAAACAUCAAGAAAGCAGUAAAAUUCAUAUCCAGCUAUUCGCUCCAAUAAUUGAUCAAGAAAUGGUAGGGGAAAAUGAUCUUUUCUUGUUACCGUAUUUAACUUACGAUAAUCAAUACACACUCUCCACCCUACCACAAGUCUAGAUGGAAUUAAUUCAUCAUUUUUACCCACGAUUGUAGUCAUUCCACCUUUCUUUGGUACCACAUGAAUUGGACUAAUCCAAACACUAUCGGAGAUAGGAAAAACUAUACCUGCAUCAAGCCACUUAAGAAUUUCAUUUCUUACCACCUCUUUCAUGUUUGGAUUGAGUUUCUUUGUGUUUCCACCACUGGUUUGCAACCGUUCUCCAAUAAAAUUCGAUGCAUGCAUAUAGAAGGACUUAUACCUUUAAUGUCUGAAAUUGUCCAUCCAAUUGCCUUCUUACGCCUUCUUAGAACUCUUAACAAUUUUGCACACUGCUCAUCAUCAAGGUCAGCACUAACAAUUACAGGUAAAGUAUUUUCUCCAAGAAAUUCAUACCUUAGAUGAGUUGGAAGUGGCUUAGCUCUAACUUGGAGGUUCAAUUUCUGAAGGUUGUGAAAACCCUUUUCCUUGGCCAAGACUUUCAUACAAAUUACCCCUUUUAUAAGGUGCUUGAAAAUCCAAGUACUUGGCCAAUUCUUCAAUUUCUUCACAAACAUCUUCUUGCUUACCUAAACUCAUUAAACAAUACUCAAGAGGAUCUAAGUCAAAGUUGACUUGACUCAUCUCUUGGGUUAGUUUAUCAAUUGUGCCAAUAGAAUAAGCAUGAUCGGUAAAAGAAGGGUAUUUUUUAUUUCAUUCAAAUUAAAUUCUACCUCUUCUUCACCUACUUGAAACUUAAGCUUGCCAUUUUUGACAUCAAUAAUAGUACCUGCAAGCUAGAAAUGGUCUACCUUGAAUAAUUGGCAUAGAUAUAUCUUCUUCCAUAUCUAAUACCACAAAAUCCACUGGAAUGAUAAAUUUUUGAACUUUUAUCAAUACAUUCUCCAACACUCCCAAUGGAUAUCUAAUAGACCGAUCCGCUAGUUGCAAAGUAAUAUUAGUGCGUUUAAACUCAUGCAAACCCAAUUGUCUAGCCACCGUUAAAGGUAUUAAUGAUACACUAGCACCAAGAUCACACAAUGCCUUAGAAAAAUCAACGUUACUAUGGUGCAAGGUAUAGAAAAACUCCCCGGAUCCUUCAAUUCGGUGGUAGCUUAUUUUGAAUAAUUGCACUACAUUCCUCCGUUAAUGCUAUUGUUUCGCAGUCUUCCAACUUUCUUUUUCUAGUCAUGAUUUCCUUGAGAAAUUUCGCAUAAGACGGAAUCUGCAAAAUAGCAUCGGCAAAAGGAAUGUUAAUGUGCAAUUGUUUGAAAAGUUUAACAAAUUUUUCAAAAUCUUUAUCAAACUUAUUUUGCUUUAAUCUUUGUGGAAAUGGAACCGCAGGAGGUAUUGGAAUGGUAGCGGAAGAUGAUGGUUGAUUUUCUCUUGAUUUCUCCCGGCUAUUUUCUUCCACUAUCGCCUCUUGGUUCCUCUGCUUUUCUUCUUGUUUUUCAUUCUCAUCUUUCUCAACUUCCAUCACUGGAGGAUCUUCUAAUUGCUUACCACUACGAAGAGUAAUGGCUUUGACAUGCUCCUUAGGAUUUACCUCCGUUUUGCUAGGUAAUUCUCCUUGAUUACGAUUAUUCAAAGAACUAGCAAUUUGACCAAUUUGGACCUCUACAUUCCUGUACAUUGUAGUGAGUUGGUCCAAUCUUCCUUCUACUCGCUCAAAUCUGUCUGAAGUAACUUUUACGAGCUUUUCCACUGCCAUUCCCAACCAGGUUUAGUUUCAGCUUGUUGUUGCCUUGAUUGAAAUCCCGGUGGAUUGGCUGGCCUUGGUUGAUUUCCUUGAUCCUUCCAUCCAAAGUUUGGAUGAUUUCUCCACCCCGGAUUGUAAGUAUUCGAGUAGGGGUUAUUUUGAGCAUUACGAUUGUAAUUAUUGACGAAUUGUACCUGCUCAGAAUCAACACACUUAUUAGUAUCAUGUUCACCUCCACAUAUAGAACAACAUGCUGCAUGUGCAUUAGAUGAACUUGGACCAACUCCACCUUGUCUACUUAGCAACUUCAUCACAUUAUUCAUUUGAGCACUCAGCAUAUUGAGAGUGUCCAUUUCUAUCAUACCUGCGUGACGUCUUGUAUUACCUCUCUCAUUGGCCCAUUGGUAGUUAUUUGCUGCCAUUUCUUCUAUCAAAUUAUGAGCUUCUUGGGGUGAUUUACCCAUUAAAGCUCCACCUGCAGCUGCAUCGAUUAUAGUUUUAGUAGAAAAAACUAAACCAUUAUAGAAGGUUUGUAUGAUUAACCACUCCGGCAGUCCAUGAUGUGGACAUUUCCGAAGCAAAUCUCUAAACCUUUCCCAUGCCUCAUAUAAUGAUUCACCUUCUAAUUGAUAAAACUAGUGAUAUCCAUUCUAAGCUUAGCAGUCUUACCUGGUGGAAAAUACUUAUUUAAGAAUGCUCUUGAUAAAUCAUCCCAUCCGGUGAAAGUAUUAGGAGCAUGAGAGUGUAGCCAAAGUUUGGCCUUAUCUCUCAAUGAAAAUGGGAACAAUCUUAGCCUUAUAGCAUCAUCACUAACUCCAUUCAUUUUAAUUGUAUCACAAAUUUCCAAGAAUGUAGCUAAGUGUGUAUUUGGAUCUUCUACUGCAUUACCUCCAAAUUGAGAUUGUUGAACUAUUUGGAUAAGUGAUGUUUAAUCUCAAAGUUGUUAGUAUUUACCGAAGGCCUUGCUAUGCUCGUUUGAGAUCCUUGUGUUCCCGGUAGAGCAAAAUCUCGUAGAACUCGCCCAUUUGCUUCGUUUUCUGCCAUUUCUUCUUCAAAUGGAAGCUCUAUUAAGAUUUCCUCUAUUGGUUGCCAAAUCCCUUGUUCCUCUUGCUGUAGUGUGCUCCUCCUUUGUCUAUGUAGUGUCCUCUCAAUUUCUGGAUCGAAAAGUGCAACUUCUCGAGACGCCCGGUGCAUACACUACAAAUAAAAACAAGAGAAAUUUUGCAGUUUAAAUUCAACAACUUGAAUAAAAACAAUGAAAAAUAUCUAAAUUAAUAGAGAUAAUUAGGCCCUAAUAUUGCCGCUCCCCGGCAACAGAUUUACAAGAGUAAUAAUGGCCAAAUUUCCGUGGCAUUGCAGACGUUACAGUGGAGUAAAAAAUUCAAGAGGCUGAUAAUAAAUUUCCAUAGAUGGCCAAAUUUUCGUGGCAUUGCAGACGUUAACAUGGAGUAAAAAAUUCAAGAGGCUGAUAAUAAAUUUUCAUAGAAACAACAGAUUCGCAACAAAUGAUUCUAGACCAGUUCAGUUCAAUAACAUCUGCUCCAUCAAGCAUAUCAACUUAGAAUUUCAAAACGGGAGAAAUCUCUCUUGCCUGAAGAAUUCAAGUUAUAAAGCUCAUGUUGAAUUAUUAAUAUAUUAGUAAUUCUCACCCACACAGAGUAGCAAUCACAACAUACAAAUUUCUCUUUGACAUUUCACCAAACAUCUUAUAUGCAUUCACAAAUUAAUCACAUUUAACUUAAACGCCUGGUCUUAAGUCUAUUCCUAGAUGUUUCACAUGGCUAUUAAGCAUAUUUUACCCGUAGACAAUCAAAACUACAACCAUUUCCUAGAUGUUUCAACGGACAUUUUCGGCCCCAAAAUUGCAAUAAAAUUUUCAAAUUCUUAGCCUUGAUUACCCAAGAAAAUCUUGACAAAUAAAACAAAUGAAAUAUAAAUAAAUUAUAGCAAUAUAAUCAAACGAUUUCAAGAGAACAUGAUGAUCUAACCUCGUCACUGCUAUUUUUCAUAUGCUCUUGGCUGGCUACCACCGUCGCUAAUUCUUUUGUUGUGUCUGCAUAUGGCAGCACUCAAACCCAACCGAACGAUGAGAAAGGAUAGAGGGAAAGUGUGAACUAAAGAUGAAAAUUUUGAAGUGAGAAAAUUUAUUCAAUUGUAACAAAGAAAAAGUGUGGACCAAAGUGGAAACCUUUGCCUGGGAAUUCAAUCGUAUCAUUGGAACUGAAACUGAAUAAGAAGAAGGUAGAUGACUUUAAAGAGAAAGGUGAUACCCAAAAACCGUUUUCAGGAACCAAAAACCAUUUUUUUUUACUUAAGUAUGUACAUUUUUUACUUUUAGUAUUAGUAAGUUUAAUUUAACAUAAGUAAUUUUGUCAAAUAAUAAGUAAAUUAAAUUACUCAAGGUGUAAAUUUCUGUUCUGACUAAAACUUAUCUCUCAGGCAUAACUUACUAGUUUUAAUUAAAAACUUACUAAAGUUAAUAUUAAUUAUUUUAAUAAAACAUUUAAAAAGUCACUAAAAGAUUUGAUCUGUCACUAAAGGUAAUAGAAACCUGUAAUAGCAGGUUUUCCUAAUAUCGUUAUCAUAACUAUAGGCACUCUAGCACUGUCCAUAUUCUGUAUAGGCAAAACAAGAAAAGGUUGGGUUUCUCUUUUUCCGCUUUUCACACAAGUGGUAGAGUAAAUACACAUGUUUAACGUAUAAAACUAAGCAGAAGAUUUUUAUCCUCUUUGCUCAUAGCAGCUAGGUCCCUGAUACGAGUAAGAAAGAAAGGGGAGAGACAUUUUCCCCAAUCCCCAGUUGUUUGUCAGCCACAAUCCUACGUGGCCUGCAAUAUGACCAGUUAAAGCAAUCGAUGGCCGCGACCGGAUAAGAAAUCGAUAAGGCAGUAAGGCACAGAGCUUGACAACCCUCAGAUGGAUUCAUCAGUCAAUCCAACGGACACAGAUCCCAUGAGAGAUAAUCCCUUGCACCCCAAAAUCUCUCUAUUUCUCCAUCAGCAAUUGCAUUUGCGGGCUCUAUAUGUUAUGGAACUUAUGUACCAUCUAGAAUUCUACAUAAUGUUCUAUUAAAAAUGUUUUACAUUCCAAUCAAACCAAAAUUGUUAUUAGGCCAAUAGUCAUUACUUUACGUUAAUUUUUUGUCGGUAACGAAAAUUAACCGGUAGAAUGGCCAUAUUCAUAUCACUGGCCAUCACUUCACCGUGACCAUGCAACUUUUUAAACAUAUUGCAUGAUUUCUAAGUAGGCCUGUUAGACCUGGACUAAUUAAUCCAUUUUUUCCCCACGCAUUAUCUCAAGAUUCAUCCCAUGUUUCGUCCCUUUCAACGUCUAUUUCCUCCUCUAUCUAUCAUGAUAGUAGCAUAAAGAGAAGAACACGGUGCUUGAUGCCUUUCCUGAUGCGCGCACAAUGACUUUUCAAUCAAAUACAUAUUAAUCAUUAGAUUCCCACAAAGGGCAUUUAAGUGCCUAUAAACUCAAAGCUACCAGGCUUCGACAGUCGCAACCAAUUACAAAAAUCUAUUGCCAGUCAGUCUUGCUCGCGUCCUAGCUCCUUAAGGAAAAAAUGGCCGCCGUCGGAGCCAGCGACAACAUCAACAUUUCUGAAAUCACAGCCAACAGUAAUAUUCUAUACAUAUUCUUUAAAAAUUCACGCAUUAGAUUUAUAGUUCGAUUGCAUUGCAUGUUUAUAUUCUUUUUAAAUAAAAGAGUGGUUUUUAUGCUGUUUGGAUUAAAACGGGCUUUGCUCCUUGAUGGAAAACAGUGAAAGCGGAGGGAGUCCAGUCCCCUGAGAUGGAAGCUAUAGUGAAGGCACUUUCAGACGACACGAUAUGGAAAACAAUCGAGGGAUUCAAGGGCAAGGACAUGAGCACUCAGGAGAAAAUGAUUGUAUGUAUGACUAGUUAGACCUAUUUUUUCCUUCCCCCCCAAUUUAUAUGCCUCUAUUAGUUUUUUUUUUUUUUUUGAAUGCUUACAAUUAAAUUCGCACAUGCAUAACAGUUUUUAAUUGAUUCGUUAGCAGCAGGCAAUUUGUUUUCCAAUGCUGAUUCUGCAAGUUCUUAAUUUUCAUACAUUUGAGUACCGAAAAAGUGCCAUAUAAACUUUGCAUUCUGCAUUGACUGGUUUUAACAAAUUUUUUUUUAAAAAAAAAAAUUCAUGCACAGUAGCUAUAGAUAGUGUGAAAUUCUUUAUUUGAAUACAAAAAUGAUUGAAUUUUGAGGCCAUAAUAGGACCUUACAAAAAGCUUGUAUGGAAACUUUUGAAAAAGUAAAAGGAGUUGCAAUUGAAAGUAGUUUAGUUUGUACAUUCUUAAAUUGCUUAUGCAAUUUAUUACUAUUAUUUUCUUAAAUUGUAAUGUAGUUUCAUAUUAGUUGAUUGAAUUUAGUUUUCUGGCUGUUUGUUUGAAAAAGAAAUCCAAUUAACUUUUUGUAAUCUCAAAGACUCUUUUUAAUUUGUGUUUUUUUCCUUUUUAACUAAAUAAGAAAUGUUUGUUUGGGGUUUACACUUUACAGAACAACAUGAUGGCCAGUGGUGGUCUAGCUCAACUCGGCAUUCCUGUUCCAGAGCCGGUGAACCCAGAUGACCCUCACGUGAUCACGAUCGCAAAAUUUGCAGUGGAAAAGCAGAACGAGAAUGCCGGGACAAGCCUGGUUUUCAUCCAAGUGAAUGGAGGCCUGCAGUGGAAAAUUGUCAUUGGCACUCUCUAUAUCCUUUUCCUUACAACUCAGGAUUCUAAGGGCACAUACACCGAUCAUGCAGUGGUUUUUGAGACCUUUUUGGGUCAGAAGUACCUCUUCUGGUACAAGCAUUAAUCAAGCAUCACUGCCCGUCCUGAUCGAUCAAUUGAGGAUGACUAAUGUACUCUAUUA
rnacentral:lncRNA from 1 species